rnacentral:lncRNA from 1 species
UUUUUUUUUUUUUUUUUUUUUUUCUGUAUUAUAAGGAUUUUGUCCUCAGUUGAGACAUCGAACUCAUCCAUCAAAUUACAGACUAUAAUUCACAUAUAUUAAUAAUAUGGAAUGGAUAUCAUGCCUUUGUAAUUUACAUAACAACAAACAACAAUUUAGAGGAUAUUGCUUUGGUGUUAGAAGACAAGAAGAUAUAUGUUAGAGGACAAAAAUAAAAACUCCUGAAUUUGAUAGUAAUGUGUGAUUUUUUUAGAUUUUUAGAGUAAUUUUGAAAAGCCUUUGAAAUCAUAAGGAGUUUUUUUCUCGAAACCCAACUUCUCGGUAAAAAAAAAAUAUGAAAUUUUGAAUUUUUUAUAAAUAUUAAAUUUUAUAGUCAUGUGGGAUCUAGUUUGAAAGAUCUCGUCGAGACCUUUCCAACCAUAUAAACCAUGUUAAUUUUCGAUUUCUAAAACACAACUUAUAAUAUUUUCAAAUGUUAAAACCAAAAAGUUAUACACCAACUGUUUUUUUGUCAUUUUCUGUUUUUUGUCAUUUUCUGCUUUUUUGUCUUAUCCUGGUUUUAGAGGAUAAAAGGUUGAGAUUAGAAGAUAGAAUACAAGGGUAAUUUUGACCUACUAAAAAUAUGAUCUAGUCAAAGGGCUUGUUUGAGAAGAUUACCCCAUGUCAGGGCCUAUUGGGGAAGAGGCAUCUAAACAUGGGGCUUUGUUGGGAUAUUACCCUAAAUAUAAUUAAAUCCGGCUCGUAUAUUACACGGGCCUAGACACUAGUUGUUGUGUAUUGUCUACUAGUGUCGUAGCACCCUGGUUAAUUUUAAUUUCAUUUUCGAUUACUACUAGUUUUUUCUAUUCAUGGUUGUUGGAUUUGCUUGGAACAAAAUGCGGGAGUUUAAAACUCAUUCUGCUGUUGUGUGAUGCUUAGGUGUCGUUAAUACAUUAACUCAUUAAGUGAUUCAUUCUACCAAAUUUUCAGUCUAAAUGCAUGACAUAACUCAAAUCUCAGUUAAUAAAAUAUAUUAAGUACUCAUCUGUUAGUAGAAAACAAACAAUCCGAAUCCGAAGACUGAAUGCAGUGGUCCACCCACAUAACUUCUUUUUUUUUUUUUGCUAAAGGGUAAUUUUAUAAAUAAAAGAAUGGUUACAAGGGGGUGCAUCAAAAAUAUGACUACACCAAACAUCAAUGAAAGCGAAAAUACACUGAAAAAGGAUUCUCUAGAGGAACUCUAGGCAUAGAAGAGUUGGAGAACCAUUCCUUUCUUCCUUUAGCUAAGUGAACUCCUUUUGCAGCACAAGCAUCUGCUGCAAAAUUUGCUUCUCUCUUUGUACUGGUUAUAAGUAACCAUUUGAACCAGUUUUUUAAAUGCACAAAUCUCUGUUGCACAGUCCAGUGAGGCUUACCACUGUUGAAUGCCUAGCAACUGCAACUGAAUCAGUUUCCACCCAUAGUUGGUCCCAACCUUUUUCCUUAGCUUUGUCAUUUGCUUCAAUGAUACCGGCGCACUCUGCCUCAUAAUUUGUUACCUUACCAAGACCACCAAAAUACACCCCCUUCACUGCACUGCCAUGGUUUCGGAAAAUAACUCUCCAUCCUGCCUGUCUUGGAUUACCAUGAGAUGCCCCAUCACUAUUUGCCUUUAUCAUUCCAUGAGGCGGAGGUAACUAGUAACAUCCAAUGAUAGUUUCUGGCUGCCUUCUUUUGACCUGCAAGUUUAGAUUCAACAACACUUUCUUAUCAUAAUCUGAGCCAUAGUGUGACCCAGGGAUCAUCAUGUAUGCCAACUCCACAGCUUUCUUGAUUCUGAGAGUAGCCUGCCUAUAAUUGGGCUGCACGUCAUCGUAUCUUUGCCUAUUUCUUGUUUUCCACACCUCCACCAAAAGUGACAAAGAACCUGCCUUCCACAUACCUGCUAGAAGUAGGCUUUUUCCUUCUUUCAUUCUAAUCAAUGACAGUAAAUUAUCUGGUGGCCUAGCAUGACAGAACCACUCACAUAACACUUUCCAGAGUUUGACAGUCGUUGGACAAGAGAAGAAGAGGUGCUGAUAUGAUUCAAAAUUCAACUUACAUAGACAACACUGCGAGACAAUAGGAAUGCGCAUAUACUGAAUUCUCUCAUCUGUGUUGAGAGCUUUGUGCAUGAUUUUCCAAAAGCAAGAGCUUUAGUUCUUGGGUGAAGAUGAGAAGAGUGCCAGAAUCUAGCCCAAUGGGGUCGUCCAGGCUUCCUACAAAUAGCUUUAUAGGCUGAAGAAGAGGAUAACUCACCUGAACAGUUGUAAGGCCAGACUCUCUUGUCAGAAGAUCUUCUAUCUGGUGGUUUCAAAUAUCUCCAAUCAAUAUUCAGCUGAUCAAACAAUUGAAUAAGGUUUGGAAGGAAAUCCCACAUAACUUCAAUCAUUCAGUCUGCUUAAUUAAUGAAAAACAAACAACAACUUAGGCAAUCAUUUCUAAAGUAUGAUUGUCACUUCACACUCUUUGGCUUGUGUUGAAGAUUGAAUGUGCUCUUCCUAUCUCAUAAAAGUGCAUUAGUUAUGCGGUUCUACUGUAGAUCAUGUAGCUUGAUUAUUAAGAAUUAAAAGUACGGAACAAACCAUUCAAGUAUGAAAUACUGGAGGAUAUUGAAGACAAUUGUCGAAGAACCCUGACAGAGAAGGGUUUUAAUAUAAAUAAAUUGUUAUCUCUAGUCAGCCGUGCCUAAUGUAAAAGAACUCGAGUUUGGUCGGUGCCUAACAUAAUCUCUACGGUCGAAAAGGGUAGCCUUCCAUGUUUAAUUUGAUAAGAGUAUCAUCAGGAAAUUAAAUCUGUUUUCUGUAACAUUUGUUUGUAUCAAAUAUUCAACAAAUAACCUUUGCGAAGGACAGAGUCAAUAUUCAAUGUGGUCUAAUUGAGGCGAAGAACGAAAUCAGCAUUUCAUAGCCAACCUAUGCAGGCUGAGUCUAAUUGACUGGCAAAAUACAUUUUCAUAUCUAGUGACAAAUUUUCAAAUAUUUAAUGCUAUCUAGAAGAUACAAUGAUGUUAUAGAACCUCUUUAUAUUAAUACUCGAUUCGUUAAUCUCUCUAAGUUAAUGAAAUUCUCUCGUCCCAAUGUACAUAGUAAGUAGCUAAAUCAACACUCGGUAAGUUAAUAAUCUCUCUAAGUUAAUAAAUUUUAAUAAAAUUACAUAGGUCCCAACGCUAUUAAUUUAAAGAGGUUCUACUGUACUUAUUAGUAUUGCACUUCAGCAGUUCAAAGUAUGACUUCAAUUAUCCAAGUAGAAGACAAUAUUUAACAUUCGCCCCUAAGAAUCAUGUUACUCCAAAUACAGAGGAGCUCAGGAGCAAAAGUAAUUCAUACAGAUCUCAAUAUUUUUAUAUUAUCAUGCUGAUUCUGCCAAAACAUUUAUAAUAUUAAAAUAUUCUAUUCUAACAAGAGAGGGGUUCCAGGGAACUUGGGAAAUGUUUGACUCAAUUUUGACUCAAUCCUAUUUAGGGUACUUGUACAUGUUGGAUUGGCAUGAUUUUUUGUAGGAUGAAUGUUCUCAUUAUGUACAACAUCUUCACCAAAAUUUAUCAUAAUCUGAAUUUUCUAACCCUAAGAAAAUCAUAGUACAAGUUAAUGUAUUGUGGAACGUUCAUUUUUACCGUUGAAUUUAAUAUUACAUUUGAUGGGUCUAAAUAUAUUCAAAUGAGCUGAUUUUUUAUGUAGUAGAUCUUUAUAGUAAGGAGAUCAUAUCUACAAAAAAUCAUGCCAAUCCAAUAUGUACAAGUACCCUCAAUAGGAUUGAGUCAAAAUUGAGUCAAACAUUUCCUAAGUCCGUAGAACCCCUCCCUUCUAACAAUGUUAUAAAAGUAACUUCAAUUCCCUCAUCUUCCUCCUACAUAUCCUAGUGGGAUUUGAACAAGUAUUUUUGCUAAUUUUAUAGACACGUGACCAUAUUUCAUUGAUCCCACAAACCCACACAAAAAAAAUCACAUAUAAAUUUUUUUGAUAAAAUAUCAGGAAAUGCCAUUCAUUAAUAAAGGCAAGUAAAAAACAGCCAAAACUGCAUGCAAACAAUCACGAAAGAUGUCAAUAACUGGAACUAACAAUGAGUUCAGCAACAUAUAGAUCUUACCUCAAGUCCAACUAGUCUUUAGAAACACAACUGAUAUGGCAAAGGAAAGUACUUUCAAGUUUCAACAACAUGGACGUACAGACAACAAUUAUCCAAAGGAUAGAUGAUUCAUUCAUGUAAUUAAUCAAAUAAAUGUAACUCAAAACAUAAGAAAUGCAUCUUGAGAUAAUUAAUAUUCCAAAUGUACUUAGUAUUGAUUACUAGUAUUGAAAAACAUACACAAACAUCCUUAAUAGUGGAAGUCAUUGUGUGAAUGUGACAACAAACAGUUUCAAUCUCUGACAUUCUACGCAGGAAACAGCGCUACAACAAGACAUUACAUAUAACUUAAAUGCAUAAUUUGCUUUUCUUGCUAGUUGAUUUUUUUUUACUACUUUGCAAGAUUUUUUUCAAAGCUAUAAAUCCGAUCAUUUCAAUCUGAUACCCUAACUGACCUAUUUCUUUCAGUUCAUCCAACUUUCGCCUUGUCACAUUGUUCAGCCCUUUCUUCAUCUUCAUUCAUUUUGAGGAUAAUUGAUUCGAGACGUUUUGUUAUGUCGACACUUACCAACUCUUCUUUCCAACUUCACAAUUCAUUUCCCAACUUAAGCAAAACAGUUUGAUUUUCCGCACGCAGUUGUGAAAAUUCAAAUAGAAGUCUUUUAUAUUCUUCAAACAGAUCCUUGCAACGUCUGUCAAGAUACUCUGAAAGUAUCUCCAUUAUAAGAAACAUUGAAGAAGCAAUCCGCUCGUAGACCUCUGGCGAUAGUUUGACAUACAGAAAUGCAACAUGAAAAUAUAAAAGUUAAAUAUAUCGUAACAUAAAUGGACAGAAAAACUUGGUCUGUAGAACUCAACUCACAAAUAACAGAGAUUUUGAAGUCUCUUAUGACGGUAUCAAGUAGUGAAUCCGUCGAUACCGGUCAUGUAGACUUCACUUAACACUAGAUCAAAUCCACCUUGUGUCUCAUGGAGUUUGGUAAUGGCAUCUGUUGUGAUAUUAACAACUGUAGCUGAAAGGGAACAAAUGUAAAAAAAUUAAAUUUAAAACCCCAUGAUAACAUAAAUACUCAAAUUAAUAAACUCGAUGAAUUAUAGAAAUGUAGAGGACAAGCGUGCUACAAACUAAACUGGGACAUUACAUUUUAUUAGUAAAUCAAAUUUUAAAUACAAUUAAAUUUUAAACGACUGUCAAUAGGGCUUCUUGAUAUAGACCACCAACUACUAGUAUAACUAUCCAGUUGGAUCCAUUGGCGCAUAAUCCAUUUUUUGUGUCCUUAGUAAUUGCAGAUACUAAUUUUUUCAGUUGUACCUACCGUUACUAACCUAACUACAAAUUGAAAGUAAAUGCUCGAAAUGAAAUCAAAUAUUGCAUAUGCUAGAUUCUAGUAAAAUCAAUUUAAAAGAUUUGAACAGUAUAUUAACAAAAAAAAAAAUAAAAAAAAAAAUGAAUGUCAUCUGUAACAUAAAAUCUAUGACAUUUAUAGUCGCAUAAGCUAUAAUAUCCUUCGACAAUCUUGCGGUACAUAGGACAAUCAUUCACUACAAAGACAGGAAAACCUUUAGGAAAGUGUUUAUUACUUGUAUCUUAAGUAAAGCCAUAUGGUCGCUCUUUGUCAUUACCAUAUAUAGGCCAUGAUAAGAGAGAAAAUGAAGAAACACAAAAGGAAGAAGAUAAAAUCUCUGAUUUUUGAAACAAAAUUGGGUAGCUCUUAUCAUAUUGGGUGUUUUUAAUUAGUAACAAUUAUUGGAUGAGGUAAGCUUAAUUUUUUGGAUAUCUGUUUGUAAAAUACCGAGUGUCAUUAUGAUUUCCCUUGAAAGAAUGGGGAAGAGAUACAAGAGAAUAAAGAAAAAGAAAAAAUUGGGUAGCUCUUAUCAUAUUGGGUAUUUUUAAUUAGUAACAAUUUUUGGAUGGGAUAAACUUAAUUUUUUGGAUAGCUCUUUGAAAAUACCAGGUGUCAUUAUGAUUUUCCUUUAAAUAUUAACUAUGUGAAUACACGCUCGUGCGUGCUGCAUAAAUAGGAGGUAUUAUUUGGUAUGGGCCUGGGCAUUUUUACAGCCUGCUUAUAAAUAAGAUGUAAAAUAGGAUCAUGAAAUACUAACAAAAUACUAUUUUAGAAUUUUGGGAUAAGAGAUAUUGAAUAGGGCCAUAUCACGGUAUGGUGGUUGGUGGGGGUCAGUUAAAGUUUAUGUAAUGGAUAUUUAAAUUAAUUAUACGCAAUCAAUACUUUUAAUGCUUUUUAAUUUCCCAGAUAGAGGCAAAUAAUUAAACGCUUUAAUGGGCUUCAUAAUAAUUAUAUUUUAAUAAUAAUUUUUUUUUUUGGUUGUAUAAUUAACACAGUAUUCACAUGCCUAUAUUUUUCUUCUUUUCAUAAAAAAAAUUCUAGUGGCUUUUCGGUUAAAAAAUGUACUUAAAUUACGAAUUUCCAUCCUUGAGUUUAUUAUUUUUUGGUUUUUCUAUCAAAACUACUAUUUAUUUACUAAAAAAGAGCUACAUUUAUCUUGUGUAUACCAUAUUUCAAAAUAUCGUUGGUAUUUAAGCAAUCAAAUAUAUAAAUAUCCACGAAUACUCAGUUUCCAAAUUCUUUUCUAGUGUCGAAAUUUUGACAUAUACCGUUUUUUCAGGAUUCGAUAUUUUGCUCGAAAUCAGCGUUUCAAAAUAUGGUGCAUACAUUUGAGAUGUUGUCCCGGUACAAAAGCUGAGCCAAUUGUGGAUCAGGGUACAUAAUCCACACAUAUGAUUAUAUCUUACAAAUAUUCAAGUAGUUCACUAUUUACAAUCUGCUACAAGUCUUUCAAAAUACCAUAUAAUUUACUUGAAAUGUUUGUCAGAUCUCAGAAUUAACAAGAUUUUUUUUUUAUUUUAUUAAAAUUAAUUAAAAAUUAAUAAAAUAUAAACACAACAACAAACAUUAAUAACAAAAACAACAAUAAAAACAAACAUGUUUGAGUAAAAGCUUACGGUAUAGAAUGAUGACCACAACACUAGUGGGCCUUCCGCAGAAGAUGCCUUUUCUUUCCGAUUCCACCUAUUCCCACAUAACAUAUCUCUUCAAAAUCUCUUAAAAGUUUUAAAAAUAUUACUAAGAACUUGAAAGCUUCCAUCCUACACUAAAUAAAUCUUUUAAUACAUUAAACACAAUAAGAUCUGUCUGCUAUUUAUAACCGUAAAAUUCAUAUGUAAGCGAUGGUCAAAAAACAUGACAUAUGUAUAAAUAUGGUAGGCUAGCUAUGACGCGAUGAUACCAAAUAAUCAUGACGCGUGGUAUAUAUAUGGCACGUGUAUGAAUAUGAUUGGUUAGCCAUGGCGCGAUGAUAACAAAUUACCAAUAAACUUGUGGCACUUAUAUGUGAACGACAAAAAACAUGUGUAUUGAUAUGGUAGGCUAGCCAUGACGUAACGUAAUUAAUGAUAUAAAAUAAAUCAUGUACAUGGUAGGAAAUUAAAGAUAACCAUGGUGCAUGUAUGUCAAGACCCGAAUAUAUAUAAAACAUAAACCCAGUGUGUAAUUAUUUUAGAAAAACAAAAUUCAAUUGAAACCGAGAAUGAAAUACAAUAAACAAAAGAAAACAAAAUAGUAACAACAUACGUAUUAUAUUUCACGAAAAAUAAUCAAAUAGAAGUAUACGACUUCAAUAAGAAAUGGAUGCCUCUCAUUACUUUAGGGAGAAGCCUUGUUCAUAGUCAUAGCAAAAGACAUUUUUAAGUUAAAUUCCCCAAAAAUAUGCCACAUGAUAUUUGUUGACUAGUCAUCACACUUACAUAAGUACAUAACUAAGGCCAUAUCCAUGUCCAAUCCACAUUUUUCCAUUCAUGGUCCACAUUCAUCUUUGCUACUUUAGAAGGGAACAGGGCUAAGGAAUAGUAAACAUAGUAUGUGGUAGUAUCUGAUUGGCUAAAAACUAAAAAAAAAAAAAAAUUGUUUGGUUCAAUUGCGGUACAACCAACCAAAUUUUGACACGUUAUCUUUAAUUACAUUAAAUAUAAAAACUAAACUAGAUAUAGAUAUGAUAUUAUGGGCUGGGCUAUUAUGGGUUCACACACAUGUUCACAUAGUUUGAAAUAAACAGAGAGUAGCGUGAAAUCAUUGCAUUGUAUUUGAUAAUAAGUCAAUAAUUUCUAAAGUAUAAUUAUGGGUUAUUUUGUAUUUGGUCCCUCUAGAAGAAGGAUAAUUAUCAUGUGAAAUAAAGUUUUUCGUUUAUUAGUAUUUUGUUCUACGGUUAGUCAAUCAAGUUGGCACUGAGGUCAAAUCAUCUAUUUUUCUAAUUACCUUUACUACCCUUUCAAAUAAAUUUUUAUGAAGAACAACUACAUAUAUCAUCAUCUUAUGCACAAAGAUUUUCAAGGGAAAGGCAUUUACAAUUAAGGGUAUAUGCACUAAGAUGAAAGACAUUCUCUGGUAUUGGGAUGGUGCUUUGGAUUAGGAUAGAAACCAUUGCUUCAGGGAAUUACCGUUGAAUUCGAAUGAGAUCAUUGUGAAAAAUGGAUCGUGAUGUGCCUUCUAUUUCUAUCCAACAAUAAUGACCGUGUAAGAUAUUUUGUCAGGUAUCAAACCCGUUUUAUUCAUAUCCUUGAACAUAUGCUUCCUUGUUUACCAAAAUCUUAAAUUUAAUAUUUUAUUUAGUAUUACGACGAUGGUAAAUUUGUAAGAGAAAAUAAAAUACCUUAAUAUGGAUGAAGACUCACUAUCUUAUGAAGAAAUUCAAGUUGUUUCUUCUUAGGCUAAGUUAAAAAAUAAUGUGUUUCUUCUAAACCUAAUAAUGUGUCAAAUAAAAUAAUAUUAUUUAACUUAAAAUUGAAGGAGAAAUUAAUUAAUUAAAUAUUUUAGGGUGUUAUUUAAAUAUUUAAUUUACUUUGAUAUUUGAAGAUGGAAUUAAGAAUGUGAAUAAAUUUUGUUGAAAGAGAGACCGAGAGAGGGGAGAAAAUAAAAUGGAAAAAUUCGGUGGCUCUUAUCAUAAUGGGUAUCUUUAAUUAGUAAAGAAAUUUGGAUGGGGUAAGCUUAAUUUUUUGGAUAACUCUUUGUAAAGUUAAAAAUGGGUGUCAUUAUGAUUUCCCUACAUAAAUGAUACUUAAAAGUAAAACUCCAUUACUCAAAAAUCACAAACAAAAGCAGAAAUAAUGAUUAGUGAAGAAAUUUAAAUGGUACCCAUUUUUCCUAAUGUAAUGAUUAGUGAAGAAAUUAACAAAUAGAAGUUAGGGUGUCUUUGAUAAAGUUUUGCCGGUUUGCUAUAAUUUUUGGCAAAAUUGUUAUAUUAGCUUAUUUGCCAUUUUGCCAAACUUUUGCCUCCAUUUGCCUAUUUGCCAAUGAUUGAUACUUGUUUGGAAAAAGUGGCAAAGUACUUUUGCCAAAAAGUUUUUGUUUGAUAAUCGCUUCGGCAAAUGAUGGCAAAACACAUUUGCCUUUUUGCUAUCGUUUGAUAAUAACAAUAAUGUAAUUUUAGCAAAUCCAUGCAUAAAAAGCCUGUAUUAUCCUUAAUAAGUCCAAUGUGAGCCCAUGGAUUAAUUAUUUUAUCAAUUUCAUAUGUCCAAUGGUAAGUACAUUAUUUCAUGUGAUAUUAAUAACGUGGUUGUGCACAUCUCAUAGUCAAUUUAUGGAAUCCAGAUAAAAAAUAAUUAUAUUGCAUGUGUAAUCUAAAUAUUUGAAGCUAUUAUAUAUUUAAUAUUUGAAGUCAUUCCCAAUCAAACCAAUGUAAUACAUUAAGAAGAAAAUUUGAUAAACUUAGAUAUAAAGGAGAUACAUUUAUGUGUAAAUCAUUCCCAUCCCAUGCGGUGUUGGUGAGUUGGUCGAGAGUAGUAAAUCAUUCCUAACAAAUGAUUAAAAUUUCACAGUUUUUAGAAUGUUGGUUGAUAUAAAAGGGCUUUGUUCCUGUUCAAUGGCUUGCAAUUUUUAGCAAAAGUUUUAUUUAGUUGAAGGAAUUGAUUAGUAUGUCAUACUUAUUAGAUGCAUAGUAUAAAACAUUGGAGGAAAUUGAAUAACAUGUUACAGGUCCUGGUUCUUUUAAACUUAUUUAAUAUAAAAAUCAUCAAUCGACUGUCAAAACAAAAUUUGUAAACCAGUUCAGAUGGGGUUGUGAUGCUUCUAUACAUUUGUAGACUUCUUCCAAUUCAUACAAUAGCCUUUACAGUAGCCUUUUGGUCUGGUUUAAGAUUUGUUAAUAAAGUUUAUAAUCAUGUUUGGAUAUCUAGGUGUGAAUGAUAUACAUCAGCCUUGGUAUCAAAAUCUAUAGGAGGCUUUAUAUUAUUAUUAAAAAAUAACUUUUUUUUUUUAACCUAGACAAAUAUCAACAAUUUCCUAAAAUAUUAUUUAGCCUAGCCUGUUAAUAAAAUUGUUGAAACAUUCAAGACUUCACAUCCUACAAACUAAAUUUUAGUCAACAUGACUAAGGAAAAUGUGAGAUUGUCCUUCUUACCCUGAAUUCUUCUUUCUUACAAACCAUGCAGUUGUCCUUAUUUCAAAAAGCCAAAUUCUCGUAGUUUCUACUUUCUAGAAGGAAGGAUCAGAAUUCACAUUUCACUUGAGUCUGACAACAACAUGGACAAUUUCCACCACUCGGUUUUCUAUCUGCAGCAAUGUUAUCAUAACCAACCCGGACACCAACCCGGUGAAGGCUCUGGGUCACUGGGUUAGUGGUUCGACCAUUGGGUCAUUGGUCGGACCAGUCCAAUAUUAGUAGGGUUAAAUAUAUCGUUAAAUCCUAAUGUUUAAAUCUUUGUAAUAUGUUUGUAUUAAAUAUAAACAUAAUUUAUCAUAAAAUAUUAUGAGUACAAUGGUAUGCACACCGGUUUGUGUGCUUUAGGUUAUGAGUUCGAGUCCAACUAAAUCUUUUUUAAUUAAAAAACAUUAAUUUUAAAGUCGAACCGGUUUUUUGGGUCACUGGGUUUGAUAAAACCGGUAAAACCCGGCCGGUUUUAGUGGUUCACAACUGGGUUAUAUGCAAAAACGAUCCAUUGAGUAACCCAACCCGUGUAAGGCACUGGGUCACCGGGUUCCCGGGUCAACCCGCCGGGCCGGGCCGGGUUUGAUAACACUGAUCUGCAGACCCGUAGCUAGACUGGGUUUUCUAAAGUUCAGACCCCUAAACCUUUUUACUUACUUCGGACCUUGGUCCAUUUGGGCAAUUGUUUUGACCGGGUUUUCUAAGUUGUCUCCUUUAAUGAAAAUUACCACUUCGCGUUUUUUUAUUAUUAUCAUGAAAUAUGAAAAAAAUGGACAAAUGAAUGAUAAUUUCGCACAAAACAAUUAUCUAAGCAAAAAAAAAUAAAAAAUAAAAUAUAUAUAAUCAAUUCCAUGCAAAUCCAAAUAUCCAAUUGAGAAAAAUACGCACAUUUUGACAUUUGAUUUAAGCUAGACAACAACUUUAAGGAAAAUUUAUCAUUUUGCGUUUAUUUUAAUUAUAACGAAAUGUUUCAAAAGAUGUUUGAACUCAAUCAAUUGGGGCAUGUAUCUAUGAAAUUGGUUAAUUUUUUUUCAUAUUUCAUGAUAAUUGUUUUUUUCAAAAAAAGUUUUUAAAUUUUGGGACGCUUAAAUAAGGCCUAUUUAGGAAAUGAGACGGUUUUAAUUGAUAUUGAGAGUUUGGGGCACCUUCUGACUGCAGACUAUUGCUUGCUUGUUAAAUUUUUUGAAAAUAACAAUAUUACCUAUUCACAUGCAUAACAUGACAUUGAAUUUCAAUAACGAAAUUGUUACACGUGUCGUUAUAUCAUCCCUUGACAGGUGUUAUAUCAUCCCUUGUAAAUUUUUUAGAUUUUUAGUUAUUAGAGAAGAAGACACACAGUGUUAAAUAAAAUUAGAGAACAUGAGACAUGUGUAGGGUACUAUGGGUAUUUACAACAUAUGAGUUCUUUGUCUCGAGCCAAAUGUUAGUCAUAACAAUCAACUGACGGGAAGGUGUUCCAUACACUAAAUACCAAUUAAAAGCGUCUUGUUUCCUAAAUUAGCAUUAAUUAGGUGGAUCAAAGCCUAAAACCUCCCCCCCCCCCCCCCCCCCCAAAAAAAAAGUAAAAUGUUAAAUUUUCGUUAAAUAGGACAACUUUGUCCGUUUUGCCAGUGGACAAUGUUGUCCAACUCAAAACAAUGCUAAAAUGUUCGCUUUGUUGUCAGAAUAUGUUUUCUCAAUUGGGAUUUGCAUGGAAUUCAUUUGAAAGGCUAGAUAAUUAUUUUUAUGUGAAAAUAUCAUUCGUUUGGCAAUAUAUUUUAUUAUUUUAUGAUAUUUCAUGAUAAUUAAAAACAGAGUAAAGUGGAUAAAUUUUACUAAAGAGGACAGCAUUGUCCAUUCUGUCAGUGGACAAUGUGUCCAGCUUAAAUCAACUGUCAAAAUGUGCGCGUUUUGGUCUAAAUAGGUUUUCUCAGUUUAAAUUUGCACGACAUUCAUUUCAAAGGCUUAGGUACUUGUUCUUAUGUGAAAUUAUCAUUUAUUUGGCAAAUUUUUCAUAUUUCAUGCUAAUUAAAAAAAAGCACAAAGUGGUCAAUUUUCAUUAAGAGGACAACUUUGUCCAACCUGCCAGUGGACAGCAUUGUCCAGCUUAAAACAAAUGUCAAAAUGUGGCGUUUUUGUCAAAAUGGGUAUUCUCGGUUCAGAUUUGCAUGAAAUUCAUUUUAAAGACUUAGGUUCUUGUUUUGAUGUGAAAUUAUCGUUUACUUGGCAUUUUUUUUCAUAUUUCAUGAUAAUUAAAAAAUUAGCGCAAAGUGGUAAAUUUUCAUUAAAAAUGAAAAUUUGUCCAAUCUGUGAGUGGACAAUGUAACUUUGUCGAUUUAGGAGUUGACAACGUUGUCGUGCUUGUAACUGUGCUUCAACAAUCUGCAAUUUUUUGGGGGUUUUAGACUACGAAAACUGAAAAGCACGAAUUCGUGCUCGUAAACCUUUUUAAACAGUUCUAGUUGAAUUUAAUUGUACGAAUUGGUACUUUUGAGUUUAACAUUAUAACCCAUAAAUUUGGGGUUUUAAAUUUGUUCAUUGUCCACUCACAGAUUGGACAAAUUUUUAUUUUUUUUUAAAAGGGUUUAGGGUGAUUUUGGUUUUGGUCAUCAAAGGUUUAUACUAAUUAGGGUUCGAAGUUGGUUUUUAUUUUUAUUAGGCUUUUGCCAUCAACCGUUGAACCAAAACCAUGAAAAACCCGGUUGAGCCAAAAAUAUUUUUAUAAUACCUAAGUUACCUCUGGAACAACACGUGGCCUGCACGUGAAAACUUAAAAAUAGAAUUAUUCCUUAGUACUUAUCAGACACGUGACCAGCACUUGAAAAUUUUAAACCAAUGUACGUGUUUUAAUCUAAAGUGAUUACAAGUGUUUGUAAUCACACAUCUUAACAUUGCCUGGUUUAAUAAUCCCCCACAUUACACCAUAAUGCAUAACAAUACUUCUAAAAUCACCAUCAGCCAUUAUACUGCAAACAAAAUAAGUAAUGUAUGUUAAUAAAAAUAAUUGAACCAGGAAAAAUAGUGUAACAAUUAAGCAAUAUAUGCUCAUCAAAAAAUAAAAACAACUUAUAACAAUGUAUCCACUUGUACAUAACAGUACGUGUACCAUAGUUAAGUAAUGUACAUAACAUUCAGGAUGCAAACAAGGGAAACAAAAUUGUAAGUUAAUGUUCAUGUACACUUAGGAAGCAAUUACAUAACAUUGAAAGCCAUAUUACAGAUAUGAAUAAAUAACUUGCAAGAAAAUAAAUCAAAAAUUAGUACAGGUCAAAAUUUGUUAAACCAUUUAAAAUAACCAUCUAAUUUUAACAAGGGAGAAGCUUCAAUUUUUGUUGAACAUAAUAUACAAAAUAAUAAAAAAAAAAAUUAAAACAUUCCAGUGAAACAGAGUACAGAGAGAGAGAGAGAGAGUAUCAUAAAAAAGAUGAACUUUUUACAUACCUUCAACUUGAUCGAACACUAGAUGUCCAAACCCCAGGUGUGAGAUAGAGAUUUCUUCUUCUUUUAACAGACUUCUUCAACGAGAAGCAUUUGAGCAAUUACAGAGUUUUACACAUUUUAGUGGUGAGAGGAGGAGAGAGAGAGGAAAAAAAAAACCUUAGUCUUGUUUUGUUUGCAGAGAGAGAAAAGAAGAUACAUGUUUUCUUCAUUAAGGGGUAUUUUGGCCAUUAUAAAAUAUUGGUUGGUUCAGUUUACGGUUGAUGGCCAAAGCCUAAUAAAAAUAAAAACCAGCUCCGAAUCCUAAUUAGUAUAAACCUUUGAUGACCAAAACCAAAAUCACCCUCAUUAUUAUCGUCAUUGUCAUCAACAUCUUUUAAACGAAAAUAAAAUCCGUCAUUAAUGUCUUCUAAACCAAAAUAAAACUCAUGAUCUCCAUCUUGCAUUUCUUCAACAUCAUAAAGCUCUUCCAAACUCCCAUUUGGCUCUAAGGUGGUGUUUGAUAACGCCCACAUUUUUUGUGUUUGCCAUCGUUUGAUAACGUAACUGGAUGAUUCGGCAAAGUUUGCCGCUAAGCCCUCACGUGACCCUGUUUGCUUGCUUAUAUGCGGGAAAAUUUUGCUUGGGUUCCCCCUAGGCAAAAUUUGCUUUGCCACUCCAACCAUGUUAUUUUGCCGGGUAUAUAAGGUAAACAAAACACAAAAAACCUAUCUCAUAACCAAAAGCUUCAUAGAACUUCAAUGGCGGCAGAUCUGGUGGCGAAACUCGUGUUGAAGGCUGUUUCGAGUGUUUAAGGUAUGCAUCAACUCUUUUAUCAUCUUUUUUCACUACUCUUCAUCAUUGUACUCUCUUUUUUUCGAACAAUUUCAACUUUAAAAAUUCUCAAAUUCUUUUUCACUACUGUUUAAGGCUGUUUCGAUGUUGUUUUUUUUUUCUUUCUCUUUUGUUGUUGUUGUUGAUGUUUUAUUUGUGUUGUUCUUCUACUUAUUCUUGUAAUCAUCCCCAAUUUCAGAAAACCUUAACCCUAACCCUAAUUUCAAAAAAGUUUGUGAUUUUUUCAAUUUCAACAUUGUUUUAUUCUUAUUCAACAGUAAUUUGCGAAAUUCAUUAGUAAUUUUGAAAAACCCCUAAUUUCAAUAAACCCUAAUUUCAAAAAAAAUUGGGCAUUUUUUCAAUUUCAACAUUGUUUUAUUCUUAUUCAACAGUAAUUUGCGAAAUUCAUUAGUAAUUAUGAAAAACCCCUAAUUUCAAUAAACCCUAAUUUAAAAAAAGUUGGGGAUUUCUUCAAAUUCAAACUAUUUGUUAAAUUGAUAAGUAAAUUAUCAAGAAUUUGUGGGAUUGAACAGUAAUUUAUCAAAAAAUUGUUAACUUUAUAUUGGUUUAUUCUUGGUAUGUUCAAAAUUAUUCAAAUGAUUAAUGGUUUUGUAUUUUAAGUAAUUUAAAUGUACAUUUGUGACUGUUUUAAUAUUUUGGUUUUUUAUUUUUGUUGCAAUGUAACAAUUGAUUAAACUUGUACAAUUUUGUGUAUAUAAUUAUAUGUCCAAUUGCUUAAAUGUUGUGUAUAUGCCCAAUUGCUCAAACAAUUAUUUUGCAGUUUUAAUUUUAAAUAUCAUAUUUUUUAUUAAAAAUAUCUGACAUGUUUGAACUGACAUAUUUAGUUAGUUACUAUGGUUGGCAUACAUGUUUCUUGUAAAUGAAACUAGUAUACCUGCAUGUAGCUUAUAUAAUACUUAUCAGUGUUUUAUUUUCUGGUGUAUCAGUCUGUUUUGUUUUUUAUGUUAAUUUAAAUAUAUGUGCUAAUAAGAUUAUGUUCACAUCACUAUCAAGAAAUCAAGAUAUCUUAUUUUUUGUAUGUAAUGCCUAUAUUCUAUGUUGAUAAUAUCUGAUGAAUGUUUAUGUGUGGUUUUGUCACACUGAUUUUUCUUUUGCAGACCAGUAUCGUUUAAACAUCAGCUCAAGAAGGUAUGAUUUCGAUUUGAGGUUUUUUUUUAUUUGUUCUAAAAAUUGUAUGCAGUAGUGAUGUAUGAUAUAUAUUUUUUGGCAGCUUCGCUCUCUCUUGUCCUUCGAUUUGUCCCUUUCGCUCGUGUUUGUCUUUCUCUACUCAUUGCUUUUCAAGGUUGGUUAUUUCUUUUGCCAUGUAUACGUUUCUAUUAUAAAGCAUGUUUAGUUGGGAUCAGAAAACAUGUUUUUGUCGGCAUUAGGUAUCUAUAUAUGCAGUAGGUAUCUACUAUGUAUCAGUUGGGAUUCCAAUAGCAUGUUUUAAUUAAGUGAUGUUUAUGAAUAGAGUUUUAGAUUGUUUUUAUUAAAUAAUCAUGCUUUCAAGUUUCAAUAUAGAUUGUUUUUGUCAUCUAUAGAUUGUCAUUUGUUUACACAAAUAAUAGUACAUACUAGUAUCCUGAUUUGGACGUACACACAGCGUAAGAUUUUAUGUUAAUUCCUACACACAUACAGAUUAAUGAUUGUAUUAGUUGUUUCUAUAAUUAAACACAUAGUACAGACUAGUAACUUGAUUAGUUGUGAGAACUAUAUUAUACGAAAUAAGUUGAUGUAAUGGUAACUCAUAAUGUUAACAAAAUCUGUAGUUAUAUAAAAAUAGAAAUCUGAAAAUAAAUUGAAAGCUGAUACAUAUAAACUCAUUUUGUUGAAAACAUGUAAUUACCACUUUUCAGAGAAUGGGUAAAUAUUCCUAUUAUGUUGUGCAUCGUGGGUUCUGUCCGGGUAUUUACAAAACUUGGGAGGAGUGCAAGUCACAGACGGACGACUUUAGCAACGUUGAUUGGCGUGGUGCUUAUACCCUUGCUGAAGCAAGGCAUAUGCUUCAGCAACAUCUUACAAAUGGUUUCUGUCAAUCUUCUUGUCUUAUGUGUGAUCCCAAUCAUCUUAUGUCCCAGUCUUACAUUCAUGCGCCAGAACUGUCUGAAAAUUCUGGUCAAUCUUACCAAUCUGCCGCUCAAUCUCAAACACCUCUAUCUCCACUAGUCAGUCAUCGACCCUUAAACAAUGUUGUUGUGGUGAACGACUUUAUGUGGUUGGUGAAGAAGUUGGUGUUGGUUAUGUUGGUUGUUGUUAUUGCAUUGUUAAUUAAAUUGUUAUUUGUCUUAUGAGAUUUAUGUAAUGAACUAAAGUGAAAUUGAUGAUGUAAAUUAUUAACCAGUUUUUAUAAUAAUUUUUUAUUUAAAAAGCACUCUUACGCAUUCAAACACUACUAACAAUUAAAAUUAUUAACCAAUUAUACUUACCACAUGUUCUGUAGAAUGCAUACCGAGGAUGAACGUAUCGUUACAGCUACUAUUGUAAUUGUAGCUGUCGAUUGGUUAAUGCACUAUAUUGCAAUGAGACGUAAACGUGUUCCUAGAGGUCCUAGGGCUCCCUAUACCUAUAAUAGAGAUUCGUCGCGUGGGCGAACCUUAGCCCGGUUCUACACCGAUAACGACAACGAUUGCCAUGACCAAUUGAGGAUGAAACAUUUUGCAUUCCAUCGGUUAUGUGCUAGGUUAAAGACUAUGGGUUUAACCGACUCUCGGUACGUGUCAGUUGAAGAACAAGUUGCAAUGUUCUUGCUCAUAGUCGGCCACGACAAUCGGUGUAGAAGAACACGUCACGAGUUUAGGCGUUUUGGACAAACCGUGAGCUAUUACUUCCACUUGGUUUUGAAUGCUUGUCUACAAUUGUAUAGGCAAGUGGUUGUCAAUGCCACGGCUGAGAACUCACCCCUCAAUGACGGUCCUGGGGAUGUAUUUUGGCAUCAGUAUUUUAAGGUACGAAAAAUUCUUUCGUAUUUUAUCAUCUUCUUAGUCUUAGGUACGAAAAACUCUUUCGUAUUUUUCUGACCAAGUAAAUUGUUAAUUAGGACAUUGUAGGCACAAUCGAUGGUACCCACUUCCUCACCUUAGUGCCCCUUGAUGAUCAACCGAGGUAUCGUAAUCGGAAAUGAGUGAUAUCCCAAAAUGUUCUAGUUGGAUGUACAUUCGACAUGAGAUUCACUUACGUUCUAGCUGGGUGCGAAGGGUCGGCACAUGAUGGGCGGUUGUUGAGAUGUGCGGUUACUCGUCAAGGAAGGAGAUUAACCUUGCCCCCUGGUAAGUAUUACCUUGCGGAUGCUGGCUUUGCAUUAAGUCCUGGCUUCCUCACACCUUAUCGUGGGAUUCGAUACCAUCUCAAAGAAUAAGGACAUCGGGCUGUUGAAACUGAUGAAGAACUGUACAACUGUCGGCAUUCCAGGCUACGUAAUGUUGUGGAGAGGAUCAUAGGGGUGUUGAAGAAACGCUUCGCUUAUUUGAGGAAAGCACCAUUCCAUGAUGUGAAGACACACACAAAGAUAAUAUUGGCGUGUUGUGCAAUUCACAACUUCCUCAAAGAUAUCGAUCCAGCUGAUGUAGUGGAACCUGAUUUGGAAGAACCAGAAGAACCCGUUCCCCCCGAGGCAGAUAAUGCCCAAGGCGGUGGAAUACUCAUAUCCGCAUCACGGUCUUGGAGUAAGUGGCGUGAUGACUUGAAGAAGGAAAUGUGGACUAAUUAUGAGAAUUACAAUGAGCUGGAAUAGCGUUGAGGUUUCGUUGAUUUUAUUAGGGUUGUGAGUUUGGUAGUGUUGUACUUGAGUAUUUGAUGAGUUUUUUGAAAUAAUUUGUUUGGGUUAUAAUAAGUUCGAAUAAUGGAAGAGGUAAUUUGUUUGGGUUGUAAUAAGUUGGAAUAAUUUGUGGUUUGGACUAUUUGAUAGUGUUAUGAGCGAGAUUAUGUUUGGAUAUUUGAUUUGGACUAUUUGAUAAGUUGUUUGGAAUAAUACGCUUGUGUAUGGUUCAUAUUUGUGUAUAACUGUGAGUGUGGGAUGAUUAUGUACAACUAUGUCGAGCGGACAGUUCAAGAAGCCUAGAAAGACCAAGAAGGGCAAUGGUAAUGAUUCAGCGGACCCUUACUUCCCAACUGACAAGCCAGUUAAGUGCCACGUAAGGUGGACCAAAAAAAUGGAAGAGGUGAUGUUGAACACUUUGUAUGAAGAAGUGUUGAGAAACGGUAAGAGAGCUGACAAUGGCUUAAGAACCGAAUAAUUGAAAGCGGUUGCAGAUGGUGUCAAUUCAGCCCUCCGUAUGAAUGUUAGUUUUGAACAUGUACGGACUCGCCUGAAGACACUUAGGAAGGACUACAAGAUUGUAAAGGAACUUCUGGAUUUGUCUGGUUUGGGAUUUACUUUUGACACUGAAAACAAGACUGUUAUUGCUGCAGAUGAGGAUGUUUGGGAACGGUACUUUCUGGUAAGACACAUUUCUUGAUGAGUUUGGUAAUUGUUGGGUCGUAAACUUGACAAAAUGAUUAACACAAGGGUGCUUUGUAGGCUCAUCCUGAAUCACGUAAUGUUCGUGGGAAGCAUUUUCCAUACUUUGAACAAUUGAGCCUCAUCAUCGGCAACGACACUGCAACUGGUGAAGGAGCAUGUGCAGGUGAUGAAGUUGAUGAUAAAUAAGUUGAGGGGUCACCUGCAAGCAGUGGUAAGAUACAACCCUUUUGUGUUUAUUAAAUUCGUUGUGUGAAAUAAUCGGGGGCUGAUUCGUAGAUUGUGAAUGUAUAUAAUCGCAGAUGGAUUGGGGGCUGAUUCGUACUUUUACAUGGAUGAUGGUGCUGGUGUUGGAACGUUCGAAACAAGUGCAACAACUGCAACAAAUAAUGAGAGCUCAAGCAACUGCAGUGAUUCUUCCCCUCGCAUGCACCCAAUUCCACCCCCAGUGCAACCUGUUCAGUCCAAGCGCAAGAAGUCGCGUUUCGGACCCCAAGAACAACCAAGCAACUCUGAGUAUGCAAAGGGUAUCAUGGAUGAUGUUAGGACCUUGGCAGUGGCAUUUGCUGGUCCGAACAUCGAUGAAUUGUGUGAUGCACUCAAGGUUGUAAGCAAGGGGGACAGAGUCCUGUAUCUGAAUGGUCUCGACAUUCUAGGUGUUGAGGACAAGCAAGCGAAGAUAGUUCUUGGCAUGGACGCUGAUCUGAGGGCUGAUUGGUUGGUUGAUAAGCUUAAUUAUGUCACUACUAGAAAAACAGAUAAAGAUAACGCUCAAAUAAUGCUAUUAAAAGUUGUUAAUAGCAUUUAAAAAACGCUAUCUAUGCGGGUGCUAUCUUUUUUUUUGAUAGCGUUUACAAAAAAGCGCUAUUAUUUAAUAGCGUUUAUUUAAAAGCUAUGGUGUUUAGGAUAGCAUAUCCACAAACACUAUUAUUUUAGUAGCAUUUAGUAUAGCAUUUAAAAUGAUGCUGUCCUUUCAUCUAUAGCGUUUAGAAAAUGCUAUCCUUUUGUCUAUAAAUCUUUUAAAAAACCCAAUAAUAAUUAAUAAAUAUGGUAAUUGAUGAGAUUAUUAUAAAUACAAUAAUUAAUUAUAUAAUAUUAAUAAAUACGGAUCCAGAUGGAUUCGAACCACCAACCUCUCAGUUUAUGAGCGCUCUUACCAUUUAGAGCUUAUGGAUCCAUCAUAUCGAAACCAAAACCGAUCAAAUUAAGAAAGAAUAUCAUGUUACCUCUGUUCUAUGAGUCAUUGCUCUAUAGAUUCCUGAUAAAGGGAACAAUGACUAAGUAACUGUCAGCCGAGGAAUCACGCCAAAUCUGUAAUGGUGAACAUCUCCCAUUACCACAAAUUUAAUAGUUGGGGCACCAAAAAAAUCAAAUAAAUGGUUUCUUUUACCAAACCAAUACUUUUGUUGACAAGUUCAAAGCUUUAUUAAUGAACAAAUCAAAAGAGGUUAGAGGUGAGAAAGGUACUCACCUGGUAUAUAAAAAGAAAAGCAUUACAACACCUACUGCUACCUUCCCACAAUAUGAGCGUCCCAGAUCAGAAACAGUUCAUGUAAAUGGUGUCCCCUUCUAACAUCAGAGCAGGCAAGCCAAUACCUGCAGAUAUACCAUUCAACUUCUAAACACACCCUUUGAACAGCCUGCAUUUCUUCCUGAAAGCUACUCACAAACGCAAAGACAAGUUCAUCAAAUAUAUUAAGACUCAAACCAUAAUUCUGCAUACCUAAACUGAAUAAUAACAAACUCCUUACCCUGCUACAAAAAAUGCAUAACCAUCCAUAUGGUAUGUCUGGACUGUGGUGUCAUUGUUCUGAAGUAUAAUUUCAAUGAAUCCCCGAUAUGUGCCAUUAAUAACUGAUGUUCCCAAUCGUGGUGCUCCAGUCAGAGGCUCAUUAGGAAAAUCAAGAGUGUAUUUGCCUUUCACAUUGUACCAAUCAGCAAGCCUGAGUGGUGUGUCAGGGUUAACAUAGGAAAUACCACUGAGAGUAGUACGACGUUUACCCUGGAUCAUCACUGGAGGUUUAUUCUUCAACACAUAAACAUCAGUCACAUUAAUUUCCCCAUAUUUGAAAGACCCCUGUGGAUUGGGUCGAGCAGCACCAGCAGAUACGUUUGUCCUGACCAACAUUAAAAGAUAAAGGCAAAUUUCAAAUCUUCGACGAGGGUAAAAGGAAUGAAACGCAGUUUUAGAAGUUGUACAUGCAAAUCCAAAAUUUUUGGGAACAAACCUGAUGGAUCUUGCCUGGUUCAAUGAAAAUGUCUUGUCAAAUACAUCAUUUGGUCCCUCGGGUAAAGGACCAGAUGCCUUUCCCUUAGAGUUAGAAUAAUGCAAGAUGGCAACACCAGUAACUCUUCUCCAAAUUGUUUCAUUGACAAAUCUUGCACUUGCUACAACAUAGUAAUCUGUACUUGCAUUUUGGUCCAUGGUAACUAAGAACGAAUAGGACUGUCCAACAUGAAUAUCUAAGUUAGUAAAAUUCUGUUGCAUUGUGUAUGUUCCCCCUGUCUCUGCAAGAGCUAUUAGAUGAUUCUGAAUCCUGAAGUUCAAACUAGUCGAGAUUCCAACAUUGUGUACACGAAGGCGGUAUGUUUUUCCUGCCACACCAUAAUUACAUUAUCAGAGAGAAGAAAGAUAUUAAUAUCAAGCAAACAGCAAAUGGGAUAUCAUUUACAACUUGACUGAACUCUAAAAACAGUAAGACACUCUACAAGACUGCAUUAAACACAUGCCUGUUAAUACCAAAGUAGAAGGACACCAAAUGUUCAUUCAUAGCAACACAUACUAUGGCUUAUAGAUUAGGGAGAUGUAAAAUUUGUAAGAUGGAAGAAGAGAGUUAGAGCUUCUGCGUUCCUCUCUCGCUUGCGCCGCUCUUAGCACCGUCAAAUAUGAAACUGCCUAGUGCCUAAUGUGAAAUGAAACUAGCUAGGGCUUUUUAACUUCUAGCAACUAGCCACGAAAAUAUGGGCGGGCUAAUGAAAAAGAAAGCGGUAUAAAUUUUGGACCCAAAAUAGUUUGAAAGGAAAAAAUUAAGAAUGGAUUAUAUUUUACAUUAAGUUUUUUAGAAUUUUUUUUUUUUUUUUUUUAGAUCUGAGAUCGAAGCAUUUUUAUUAUUUCUAAUACAAUCCGAAGAAGGAAAAAAAACGAAGAAAAAACUUUUGUGUUCUUCUAAUUUUUCCUUUUAUUAAGACAAAAAGAAAAAACUAUUGUACAACGGAUAACAAUUACAAAUUAUAACUUAGCUUAAAUUCAAAAUAAUAAUUAAAACCUAAUUUUUAAUUUAAGGUUUUUAGAGCUGUAAUUCGAGCCAAGGAGCCGAGUUUUAGUAUGUUCAAGCUCGGCUAGUUUCCGUAAUAUGUUGAAGCUCGACUUAUUUCUUUAGUAUGUUGAAGCUCGACUUAUUUAGAAACGAGUAGAUCCCAAACUGAGCCCAAAUUUAUUAUCGAGUUUUAUGUCGAAGUUCGGCUCAUUUAAACAAUAAACGAGCUCAAACCGAGCUAAAAACGAGCAAAGCCUGAGUCGAGUUUGAAUUACUCGGCCAAGGCCACACCGAGCUUUGGUAUGUGUUCAAGCUCAACUCAAUUAAAAACGAGUCUAUCCCGAGUUGCGUGGUUGGCUCAAAUUGCACCAUUAGAUGUAUUAUCAUGGCAAUAUCUCUACCGGUUUUUAUCUUACGUAUUUAAUAAAUAAAAAAUUUAUUAUCUAGCUAAAAACAUACUAUUAGAGCUCGACUCAGAUAUGAUUGAUGAAAUUAACUAAUAUAUAUAAAUCAAAAAAAUAAAAAAUUCAGAGUAAUUUUCAAAACAUAGAACCAAUUUUGUCACUAUGGCUCAUUGGCUCACACUCGUAUGUCCCAGACUCGGAUUGUUUUGUAAUUGAAACGUUCAUAGUUUAUUUGGCUAAAAAACAAAAUUUUAAUUUCAUCUGAUAAAAAUUAUAGCUAAACAUAGGUUAAUUCUUUCAAAUUUUUUAAUAAACAUUCAAAGGUUAAUUUUUUAUUUUUUUGGCAAUCUUUGAAAUAGAAAUCUGUUUUGAUUAUUUAAAACAUAAAAUUUGUGUGUUUUUUAUGAUUUUAAGGAAAAAAAAACUACAUUAUAGUAAAACCUUGAUUUAUGAAUGUUCAACAAAAUGAACAACCUUACUUAGUUAAUAACACUACAUUUAGAAUAUUUUUUUUUCUUCAAUUUAUAAUUUUUUUUGUCUUGCUUGAAACAUCUUAUUUUUUUUUAAAAUAAUUUUAAUCAUAUUUUUUAUUUAAAUUUAUAAGUCAUACACAUAAAAUAAAAUCUUUCUCCGAUCUCUAGAUUAAUAAAUAUUAUUUUAUCAAAAAAUUAAUAAAUUAAAAUAUUAUUUUUUUUAUAAUCACCAUGCCCUUGUUCUAUGUCAUUGUGGAUUUGUGGUGAUCAUAAAAUAACUAUGGAUAAGAAUUAUAGCUUGUUGGAUUGGGCUUCACACACAUGGGCUUGGGUGUAUCACAGUUGAGUUUGUAAUGGGUCGGAUUGCGUCUUAUUUUUAUGUCUUUUGACAUUAUCAAUGAAUUAAAUAUAACAUUAAAUUAAAUGCAAUCGUUUAAUAGCAUUUUUAUUUAAAUGCUAUCUUACAUUGAACCACUUGUAAAAUAAAGAUAGCAUUUAAUAAAUUUGCUAUUAAAAAAAACUUUAAUAGCAUUGAUUUGCAAAUGUUAUUAAUUUAAAGCUAUCUUUAUCUGUUUUUCUAGUAGUGUGUUAAGCCUUUCAAUGGGGAUGAGUGGGCCGGGGAGUAGUUGUUUUCAUCUGUCUUGAUGUGUGUGUCUUGAUGUGUUCUUUUGGUGAAUUAGUUAACUUCGUCUAAACUUUGUAACAGAUAUGACUUUUUUUAUUAUCUAUCUAUGGUUUUAACUUUUGUUUAUCUGAAUGGCCUGAAUGGUUUAGUCCUGAAAUUUUCUGUCACACUUAUUACUUUGUGUUGUCGAGUUGUGUCGAGUUCAGAAAAUAUAUAUAUGUUGUAGUUGUAUGUGUGUGAUGUAAACUGACUGCGAUGGAUUGUUUCAGUCAGUGGGAAUGGUUUAGUCCUGAAAUUUUCUGUCACACUUUAUUACUUUGUGUUGUCGAGUUGUGUCGAGUUCAGAAUAUAUAUAUAUGUUGUAGUUGUAUGUGUGAUGUAAACUGACUGCGAUGGAUUGUUUCAGUCAGUGGGAAUGGUUUACACCUGAAUUUUUCUGUCACACUUUAUUACUUUGUGUUGUCGAGUUGUGUCGAGCUCAGAAAAUAUAUAUAUGUUGUAGUUGUAUGUGUGAUGUAAACUGACUGCGAUGGAUUGUUUCAGUCAGUGGGAAUGGUUUACACCUGAAUUUUUCUGUCACACUUUAUUACUUUGUGUUGUCGAGUUCAGAAAAUAUAUAUAUAUAUAUAUAUAUUGUAGGUGUAUGUGUGUGAUGUAAACUGACUGCCAUGGAUUGUUUCAGUCAGUGGGAAUGGUUUAGUCCUGAAAUUUUCUGUCACACUUUAUUACUUUGUGUUGUCGAGUUGUGUCGAGUUCAGAAAAUAUAUAUUUUGUAGUUGUAUGUGUGAUGUAAACUGACUGAGAUGGAUUGUUUCAGUCAGUGGGAAUGGUUUAGUCCUGAAAUUUUCUGUCACACUUUAUUACUUUGUGUUGUCAAGUUGUGUCGAGUUCAGAAAAUAUAUAUAUAUGUUGUAUUUGUAUGUGUCUAAUGUAAACUGACUGCGAUGAAUUAUUUCAGUCAGUGGGAAUGAUGCGAAUUAUUCACAGAAUCCCCCACAAUGGUCAACCUAUAUGGAUAACAAUUUGUGCACCAUAUUGUUAUCUGAUAGGACAGGUAGAAUUCGUCGACCCGAUGGCCGAUUUGUAACCAAUGAACUCAUUGAGGUUGCAAAAACUUUACGAAACGAAACGACAAAAGCUAAUGUCACAGGAUAUGAUGUUAAGGCGCGAAUAAAGACGAUUAAAAAGAUGACAAUGGACAUAAAUACUUUGUGCAAUCUUCCGGGGUUUGAGUGGUGUCCAAUGUCAUGCAAAAUUAGAGCCACCGAUUUUAGUUGGGCGUCGCUACCUCCAAGACUCCGUGUUUUUGAGUCGGAGUACAAGGACAAAAACUUCCUUGUCUAUCCAGUCUCCAAACACCUCUUCAAAGAGGUUUUUAUCGUUUAAUUUUGCAACUUUUGUUUUGAUAUGAAUCAUGUAAUGGUCCUAAAGUGCUUUGUAUUCCUUAUCAUGUAAUGGUCGUAAAGUGUUUUGUAUUAAUUAUCUUGUGUAUGGAACAUAUUGUAUAACUUACGCCGUUGCGGAUUAACAUUAUCGACCCACAAAUGGUUGCUUAUAUUUUGUAUGGAACAUUGCUAGUCUAAUAUGAACAAAUUGUUGCUCAUCGUGUGUAGCAUUGUGUACGUAUGUUGAGUAAUACAUUUGUAAACUUAUGGGUAUUGCAAUAUGUGUUACAGAGAUACCUGAGUAUGGCACCCAACCUAAGGCCAAUUGUUAGAGAUAACCCAUACUGGGUGAAGCAAGUUAGCAAGGGCCACGUCACCAAUUGAUGCAUAAUGGUAAGCAAAUUCCUAAUUAUGUAUGGACUUACAUAAAAUGAUGGGCUUUGGGCUAUUAGUUGGGCCUCACAGUAAUGGCUAGUAAUGUUGAUAUAUAUGGCAAGAAAUCUGGACAUACAUAUGGGCUGCUACAUGUGCAGAAAAAUCUUGUAUAUGGCAGAAUUUUUAUGCUGUUGAUAUAUGGCAGAAUUUUUAUGCUGUUGAUAUAUGGCAGAAUUUUUAAUAAAUACUGUUGAUAUAUGAAAUUGUUUGACAGAACUGUUUCAUAUAUAUGGCUAGUAAUGUUCAUAUAUACUGUUGAUAUAUGGCAGAAUUUCUAUAUACUGUUGAUAUAUGGAAUUGUUUGACAGAAUUGUUUGAAUUCUAUGGCUAGUAAUAUUGAUAUAUACUGUUGAUAUAUGGCAGAAAAUUCCGGCUACUAACAAGUAUUUGUUCGAACACUACAAGCGCGUCGUGUUUAUCUUGCCUGGUGAACAAAGCUUCAGGGUUGAAGUUACCAAUGAUCGCCAUGCUUCUUUGUACUUUCGCUACAAUGGGUGGAAGAGUUUCAUUGAUGCAGUCGAUCUCAAGGAAGGCGACACCAUCUUGUUCGAGUGUUGGGGUCUUUGUCGCACGCACAAGCUGGGGAGGAUCAGAGUUCAGAUUUAUCACUGUGAUGGGCGACGACCUAGGCUUUUCUUUGGGCGUAUACUGGCACCGGCGAUAAGGACUUGGCCUAGCGCGUUUGAGAGAGCACAAUCAGGAGAGGAAGAACCAGAAGAAGAGGAAGAACCAGAAGAAGAGGAAGAACCAGAAGAAGAGGAAGGUUGUGGUACUUUAGCUUCACUGUAUGUGGUCUAGUUGGGUGUUAAGCAUUUCAGUUGAUUGUUUGGUUUAUUUUGUCUGACUAUGGCGGUUGUGUUAAUGACAUUUUUAAGAACUUAUUAUGUUUACAUAAACCUAUAACUAUGUUUUAUAAAUGUAUAUAAUUUCGUUAAUUAUAUUAUGUGUGUUAUUGUUGAGUAAUUUUUUUUGUUUUUCAAAUUCGUUAAUUUUGGUGUUUUUUUAUACAUGUACGUACGCAAUGAUAACAAAUGUUAUUAUUGAGUUUUUUUUUUUUUUUUUUUUGAUAGCGAAAUGUUAUUGAGUUACUAGGGUGACUCUACCAUAACUUUUGGGUGAUAUGUGAUCACUUUUGCACAGCCCAAUCAAGUUUGGACUUGUUAUUUUGGACCAGCCAAAUGGACCUUCAACUUUGCCACUAGGUUUUGCCAAAAUCGAAAGUUUUAUCAAAACCAAUGUAACCGGCAAAUAUAAGUUACAUGGUUUGCCAAAUGUGUUUUCAAAUGCGUUCUAACCGGCAAAUUGCGAUUUAUCUGUUUUUUGCAAAAUUGUUAUCAAACGAUGGCAAAAUAAUUUUGCGGAUAAAUCAUUUGCCAAGAACCGGCAAACCUAACAUUUGCCGCUUCUUUGCCCGAUUUGCCAAAAAAACUUCCAAAGCGGGAAUUCGUUAUCAAACACAGCCUAAGUUUUUCUUUUUAUCCAUUAUUAUCUAAUGCAAGUACGUAAGAAGAUAUAAAAAAUGUUUUUUUUUUCUAAGAUUUCAACAUGAAAGAAAUAAGAGAAAGAAAUAAGAGAAAGAAAAAAUAGAAUACGGGGUUUAAGAGGGUUUCUAAGCUUUGAAAAAGUAUUAAUUGGGCUGGAAAGUGUGGGUUUUGGGUUUUAACUUAUGCAGUGUGGUGUGAACUUAGCAAAUAACACACCUACCGAUUUUUCAAUUUAGGAUGAGUUUGGUAUUACAUAUUCUUUUGUUAGGGGUAUGCACAAAACCAGGUGGUGGAAAUAGCCAUUGCCAAAAAAAAAAAAAAAUUUGUAAUGGAUAGCCACGUGAUCGGGUUCGAACGAAUAAGUAUUUAGAAAAAUCGGGUUUGCUAUCCAUAAAGGAUUUGCCGCGCAGUUUGUAACGCGUUUGUCCUCUACUUUUGUGUAAUUCGUUGAGAUUAUCAAUAAAAUUUGUUUUUUUUUCUAAAACCAGUUCCCUUGUUUCUCUCACAAAACCCUAAAUUUCUUCUUCAAUCCUCUUCCAACCACCUCUUUAGAUUUUUUUUUUUAUAGUAUAAGCUGAUAAAUCUGUUUAGAAUUAUUAGAUUUUUGUUAGUUGGAAGUUGAUUUGGCUUUGAAUUCUUCAAAUUCAUGUAGUUUGAUAUGAAAGAUUAGAUUUUUUUUUUUCCGUCCUGCAUGAGAACCUUUUUUUUUUUGUUAUUUUAUUGAAAGAUUGGAUUUUGUUAAAUCGUAUUUUGAACAUUGUUGAUUUUCAAUUAGUUCUUUGAUUUGGGUUUUGGUGGUUAUUUCAUUGGUUCGUUAGGGGUUUAAUUUGAUAGCUAAGAUCAAAUGAUCAAAUGAUUAUAUUUUCCUGAGUGUUUGAUUUGGAUGAACACAUGAUGAUGUUGUGGUGGAAGUAAUUCUAUCAAAUAAGAUCAUUAUAACAUGUGGGUGCGGCAAUUUUUCCUAUGUUGCACUCUCUGGAUGCAUUCCAUCUCUCUGACAUUUGCCGGCAUUAUUGUUUGUUUUCAUAUUCUGGUAGUUCUAUAAUGUGGUUCAUUGAAGUGUUCUAAACUUUCUAGUUUCUAGAUACUUCUGAUUUGACUGCAUUUCCAUCUUAUUUUAUGAUUCUGGGUGUUUGAAUUCGAUGAAUACAUGAUGACAGUUGUGAUGUAUAUAAUGGCAUGUAUAAGAUGAGAGGAUAGAUCAUCAUAACUUGAGGGUACGACAGAUUCUGGCGAAUUUGCUUACAUUCCUAUGUUGCACCCUCCGGUUGUGAUGAUCUUCCUCUCUUCUGAUUUAGCUGUUUUUCAUCUGUCUGACUGAAGUUCAUUGUUGUUCUCUUUCAUAGUCUUGUAGCUCUACAAUGUGUUCUUUGAAGUGUUCUGAACCUUCUAGUUUCUACUUAUUGUAUAAUUCUGAGUGUUUGAAUUCGAUGAAUAGAAUACAUGAUGACAAUUGUGAUGGAUAUCUUGGCAUGGAUAUAACUUGAGGGUACGGCUGUUGUUUUCAACCUAGUACAGAGUAAUUGACUGUGGCAAUUCUUUGCACAAUCUUUCUCAACAUUUUCUUAGUGCUCUCCCUGAAUAUUCCUCUAGUCAAUGUUGAUUAUGUUGCUCUUGAAAUUUAGGUCCAUACUGUCAAGGUAUAGGAGUUUGAAUCCUCCGUUUGGUAGAACAAAGGUCGGCUUGUAUUUGUGUGGAUCUGUUGAAACCUCCUUGUACUUUGGAACUUGGCCAUUUUACGUCUUUACUCCUCAAAGCGGGUGCUUACUAACAUAAUGCCAUUGCGGGGAGAUAGAUGCACCAAAUUUCGAGACUACUUGGAUUAACACAAAUUGUGAGGAGUAAAGACAACCAUUAAUUUUACAUAACCGGGGCAGGCAAAAAUUCAGGACAAGGAAGAUAUUCCUCCAGACUUAGAUUGAUCUGUUUCUUUCUUUCAGUGUCUAGUACGUGGUGGUUAGUAUUAUGUUAAAGAUUACUCUUUAAAACUUCUCUCUAAUGUGUUAAAGAUUACUCUCUAAGUUCUUUUCCUGUUUGCAAUUUGAGAGUUGUGUGUAGAACCCUGGUCUGAUUAACUUGUAGGCCUCUGAGGAUAUGUAUCCUUAGUGUAUGGGAUUGAUUUCCAUUGUAUUAUGUAUGCAACUUUUUUUUUCAAGAGGUGCUACCGUCAACCUUUCUUUGCAGUCAUGUUAUAUUGCUGUCUAGAUAGAAGGGUACAGGUGGUACUAGUGUACUACCUCUGUCAUAUUCCAAAGCCGAGAGCAUAGUGCUGAGAUCUGUAGACUGUAGUUGCACCUAAUUUCGAGACUACCCUUAUGAGUGACGGAGUCCCAGCCACUGUAUUGUUGGUGUUACUUUCAGUACUUGAUUGUUGGUGUUACUUUCAGCACUGCAUUGUUGAUGUUACUUUCAGAAGUCUACUUAUCCUCUCCGAAUGCAUAUCUAGCCUAAUGUCUCAUUUGGUAGAGAAAUCAACAAAUGAAAGUUCAAAUCGUAGUGAUUUGAACCCUCCCAUCCCCAUGCAUGUCUUGUGUUGCCUUUGGUAGUUGGUAACAGAUCAUUCCUAACAAAUGAUUUAUGUCAUAGUUUUUUAGCAUGGUGGUGGAUAUAAAAAGGCUUUGUUCCUUUCCAUGGCUAAUGGCUUCAUAUUUAGCAAAUCUUUUAAUUAGUGAAAAGGAUACCAAACAUUUGUUAUUUUUUAAAUGAGAAAAAUGAAACAUUGGAGAAAAUUGAACACACUGUUCAAAGCAGACUGAUUAGCCUAGCCUACUGUGUAUGCAAUUAUAGUUGGGGCUAUAGUCCAAUAGAAUUUGGUAAUUAGUCUAGGAUUUGUUUAGGGUUUCAAUGAUAGAGUCGUUUCAAAGGUUCAAUAGGUUUUAUUAUUAUUCAUUAUGUGAUCUCCUACUUUAUCAUCGUUUCAAAGGUUCAAAGGUUCAAUAGGUUUUAUUAUUAUUCAUUAUGUGAUCUCCUACUUUAUCAUCGUAUCAGCUGCAAGAUCUUGGACCUUCUCUUAAGGUUUAGGGGUAUUUAGGUUUUAGUCACUUGAUUUAACUUGAGUCGUAGAAAAACCGGGUUUAAUCGGAUAUUUUGUUAAAAUGGCUGGAUUACACCUGUAAAGGUCACGUGUGCUGCACUUGAUAAACAAAACACCAAAAAUUAAACACUCUCGUCUUCUUCAAAUCGAUUUCUCUCUUAAAUCUUCUUCUUCUCCGGCUGGUCUUAUCUCCUACGGCGACCACCACUUCUCCUUCACUUUACCACCACCACCACCACCACUGUUAAAAAUGUAAUCUGUAAUGUCCAAGUCCAAGAAAAGCCCAGUCCAUAGAAGUGUCCAGAAGCAUAAAGAAUUAUCUAGUCCAUAGAAGUGUCCAGAAGCAUAAAGAAUUAUCUAGCAUAUAACAGUUAAUAGUUAAUAGAGAAGUCUAGAAUGUAUGAGAAAAAAUCAGAACUAUGUAGAACAAUUAAAGUCGGUUAUAAUGUCCUAUAAAUAGGGAGGUGAACAUGUUGUUUGAUCAAUCAAGAAAAGAAGUUCUCUAGUACUAGAAGUCCUCUUUUGUAAUAAAAACAAAGUUUCUUUUAUAAACUUGUUAUUUUGUCAUAUUCUUCUUCUUGACUCUCAUAUACCCACUAACACUUCCAUUGUUUUAACAAAUUGGUAUCAGAGCCAAGUUUUUUCUUUGGUCCCCCAUACCACUUUCCAUCAUCUACACCUUAAACCACUAUAUUCCCAUUAUUUACACUUAAACCAUGGCCAUAAAUCAAACCCCAUAUACAUUCAAUUAUACCCAAAAUCUAAUACCCAUAUUUCAUGGUGAUAGUUAUGAUUAUUGGAGUUUACAAAUGAAAACUCUAUUCAUGUCUCAAGAUUUAUGGGAAUUAAUUGAAGAUGGCUAUGAUGUACCGGAGUCGACGGCAGAAUUACAAACAUGGGAUCAAAGCAAGCAAAAGGAGUACAAGGAGAAGAAAAAGAGAGAUGCCAAAGCAUUAUUGUUCAUCCAACAAGGGGUAAGCAAAUCAAUUUUUCCAAGAAUUCUUGGCGCUUCAAAUUCUAAGGAUGCAUGGGAAAUUCUUAAGAAAGAAUUUCAAGGAACCCAAAAGAUAAUUUCUAUCAAACUCCAAUCUUUAUGGCGAGAAUUUGAUAAUUUUCUCAUGAAAGAUAAUGAGAAAGUUCAAGUAUUCUACAAUAGGGUCUCCAACGUUAUCAACCAAAUUAAAAGUUAUGGAGACACUAUUGAAGAUAAGAAAAUUAUUGAGAAAAUUUUGCGAAGUUUACCCGCAAAAUUUGAUCAUAUUGUCGCCGCCAUAGAAGAAUCAAAAGAUUUGUCAAAAUUAUCAUUAUAUGAGCUAAUGGGUUCUCUUGAGGCGCAUGAAGAAAGGAUGAGCAACAGGUCAGCUGAAAAAUCAUUGGAGCAGGCAUUUCAGUCCAACGUGACUUUUGGGGACAAGAAAGAAAAUUCAAGAAGCUUCCAGAAUCCUGGAGAAUUUAGCCGAGGAGAAAGCUCAAACUGGGGACGUGAAGGAAAAUUCAGCAACAACAACCGAAGGUAUGGCAAAAAUCCUUCUUCAAAACCUUAUUGCAAUGUUUGCAAAAAACCCGGUCAUAAAAGUGAAAACUGCAGAUAUAAAUGCACCACGUGUAAAAAGUUAAAUCACGUGGAUAAAGAUUGUUGGCUCAAGAAGAAAAAUCAAGCCAACUACAUGGAGAAAAAUGAAUCUCCAGACCAAGUAUUUUAUUCUUGCUAUAAUGCAAUGCAAGAACCUAAAGAUAUUUGGUAUUUAGACAAUGGCUGCAGUAAUCACAUGACCGGAGAUAAGAAAGGUUUUAUAAGUCUAGAUGAAGACGUUAAGCUAGGAGAUGGUAAACUUCAGAAAAUAGAAGGAAAAGGAAUAAUUACAGUAAAAAUUGGAGAAGGAGCAUCUAAAAAUAUGCAUGAUGUUCUGUAUGUCCCCGGUCUUGCUCAAAACUUACUAAGUUUUGGGCAACUUAUCCAGAAAGGGUAUAUUGUGCAUUUUGAAGAUAGUGAAUGCACAAUUUACGAUAAAAGAAAGAAGCAGGUGGUUGCCAAAGUACAGAUGACAGAAAAUAAGGUUUUUCCAUUGGUGAUGUCAUCGGUACAAAAUUAUGCCAUGAAAGCAACUGCAGUUGAUAAAACUGAAUUAUGGCAUUUACGAUUUGGGCAUUUGAAUUAUAGAGCCUUAAGGGUUCUAAAGUCCAAAAAUAAGGUGAUUGGGCUACCUAGUAUUGGUGGAGAAGUUAGAGUUUGUGAAGGCUGCAUUUUUGGGAAAUUUUAUAGAUUUCCCUUUGCUAAGUCAUCAUGGAGAGCCAGGAAGUCUUUAGAAUUGGUUCACGCUGACAUAUGCGGACCAGUUCGAACACCGUCAUUAAACAACAAAAGAUAUUUUCUUUUGUUUGUUGAUGAUUACAGCAGGAUGAUGUGGGUGUACUUCUUAGAACAAAAAUCGGAAGCAUUCACCACAUUCUUGAAGUUCAAGGCGCUCGUUGAAAAACAAAGUGGGCAUUCCUUAAAGGUGUUACGCACUGAUCGAGGAGGAGAAUUCACAUCUAAGGAGUUCAACAAAUAUUGUCAAGAUCAAGGAAUCAAGAAGGAGCUGACAGUCCGAUACACUCCUCAACAAAAUGGCGUGGUAGAAAGGAGGAACAGGACGAUCGUGGAGAUGACUCGGAGCAUGCUGAAGGGAAAAGGCUUACCAAACAAACUAUGAGCUGAAGCUGUCAACACCGCGGUCUACAUUCUCAACCGUUCGCCAACUAAAGUAGUGCGAGACAGGACGCCGUAUGAAGCAUGGCAUCAUCAAAAGCCCACGGUAACUUCUCUAAAAGUCUUUGGAUGCAUCGCAUAUUCUCAUAUUCCAUCAAAACACAGAGAAAAGUUUGAUGAGAAGGGAGAAAAGCUCAUCUUUAUCGGGUAUAGCGAAGAAUCCAAAGCUUACAGGCUACUUAAUCCCAGGACCAAUGAGUUAGUAAUCUCCAGAGAUGUCAUCUUUGAUGAGCAUAAUGCAUGGAGUUGGGAUGAUGGAAACAACACUAAUGUCGAGGCGCCACUAAUACUUGAAGAAGAAGAAUCAACCCAAGAACAACCAGGUCCAGAACCUGAACCAGUUACUCCGCCAACAUGCCCAAGAAGUUCAUCUUCAUCAGGGUCAAGCUCUCCCCCAAGAAAGGUACGUCCUUUACAAGAUAUUUACAAUUCAUGCUGUCCAGUUGCUUUUCUUGCUUGUGAACCACAAAAGUAUGAAGAAGCAGCAACUGAAGAAAAAUGGAGAAAAGCUAUGGAUGAAGAAAUGAAAGUCAUCCAUAAAAAUGAAACAUGGGAGCUGGUUGAAAAGCCCAAAGAGAAAGAAGUUAUUGGGCUGAAAUGGGUCUAUAAGACCAAGUAUAAUGAAGAUGGCUCUAUCCAGAAGCAUAAGGCUCGGCUUGUUGCAAAAGGUUAUUCCCAACAACCUGGAAUAGACUUUAACGAGACAUUUGCGCCCGUUGCAAGGAUGGAGACAAUUCGUACAGUACUAGCAAUUGCAGCACAAUUGGAGAUAAAAGUCUACCAGUUGGAUGUGAAGUCAGCUUUCUUGAAUGGAGAACUUGAGGAGGAGGUCUACGUGGAACAACCUCAAGGCUACAUCAUCAAGGGAGAAGAAAUAAAAGUUUAUCGACUUCGCAAAGCUUUGUACGGGCUAAAGCAAGCACCAAGAGCCUGGAACAGUAAAAUUGAUCGCUACUUUCGCCAGAAUGGAUUUGAAAGAAGUCCAAGCGAACCAUCGCUUUAUGUGAAACGAGAUGGUGCGGGUAAUUUUCUUAUAGUUUGUCUUUAUGUCGACGACUUAAUUUAUGCCAGCACCAAGCAAGCAAUGGGAGAAGAAUUCAAACGAGCGAUGAUGAAGGAGUAUGAGAUGACUGACUUGGGACUCAUGAGAUAUUUUCUCGGGAUCCAAGUACGACAAUCUCAGGAAGGCUUUUUUCUUUCUCAAGAAAAAUAUGCCGAAGACCUCUUGAAGAAGUUCCAGAUGGUCGACUGCAAACCAGUGACGACACCAAUGGCUGUGAAUGAAAAGCUAAGUAAGGAUGAUGGAGCAGCUAAGGCCGAUGCUUCACUAUUCAGAAGUUUGGUUGGUUCGUUGAUCUAUCUCACGAAUACAAGACCAGAUAUUGUUCAAGCAGUAAGCAUGAUAUCGCGCUACAUGAGUGAUCCAAGCAAACUACACUAUGCAGCAACAAAGAGAGUACUGAGAUAUGUCAAAGGAACGAAAGGAUUCGGCAUCAACUACAAGAAGGAGAAAGAUAACAAGUUAGUUGGCUAUACAGAUAGCGAUUGGGCAGGAUCAAUAGAUGACAGGAAGAGCACUUCAGGUUAUGUUUUCUUCCUAGGUACGAAGGUGAUCACAUGGUCAUCAAGAAAGCAAAAUACAGUGGCACUAUCGUCGGCAGAAGCAAAGUACAUGUCAGCAACAAGUACAGCUUGUGAGGCAGUAUGGCUUCGAAGAAUUCUGGCAGAUUUACAACAAGAGCAAGAAGGUCCUACUACUAUAUAUUGCGACAAUAUGUCUGCAAUAGCUAUGACCAGGAAUCCAGUGUUCCAUAGCAGGUCAAAGCACAUUGAGUUGCGUCACCACUUCAUCAGAGACUUGGUUGAAAGUGAAGAGAUCGAGCUACAAUUCUGCAGGACUGAAGAUCAAUGUGCCGACAUAUUUACCAAGCCACUUGGAGGUGAAAAAUUUCAUCACUUUAGGAGGAGCAUGAACAUUACAGAUUAAGUGGGGGUGUUAAAAAUGUAAUCUGUAAUGUCCAAGUCCAAGAAAAGCCCAGUCCAUAGAAGUGUCCAGAAGCAUAAAGAAUUAUCUAAUCCAUAGAAGUGUCCAGAAGCAUAAAGAAUUAUCUAGCAUAUAACAGUUAAUAGUUAAUAGAGAAAUCUAGAAUGUAUGAGAAAAAAUCAGAACUAUAUAGAACAAUUAAAGUCGGUUAUAAUGUCCUAUAAAUAGGGAGGUGAACAUGUUGUUUGAUCAAUCAAUCAAGAAAAGAAGUUCUCUAGUACUAGAAGUCCUCUUUUGUAAUAAAAACAAAGUUUCUUUUAUAAACUUGUUAUUUUGUCACAUUCUUCUUCUUGACUCUCAUAUACCCACUAACACUUCCAUUGUUUUAACAACCACCACCACUUCUCCUUUGAAAAAACAGAAUUGAUGGAGUAGAUCUGUUGAAGAAGAUGAAGAAAAUUGUUCUGCUCAUACAUGAUAUUCUAACAUAUAUAACCUUAAUACCUUAUUGUGCAGACCUUAAACCAUCAAAUUUCUUUCAAUUUCAUGUGCUUCAAACACAGAUUAUCGAUCGAAGAUAAUCAAACACAAAGUUUAGUUGCUUUGAGAGAGACUUUGCAGAUCUGAAUCAUCUCUCUUCUAUAAACCUUGAGAUGAUGAAGGAUAGAUGAAAAUAAGAAGGCAGAGUUGGGAAUACUGACUUCGAAAGAAUUUUAUUGAUUUGAAGGAAUUGAUGGUGAUAAGAUUGAAAGUUUGAAACACAGUUUAAAACAUAACUACUGUUGCUGCCACCACAACACCACUGUAUCUUACUAAGCUAUCUUCAUCAUCUCUCCAGCACCCCAUCGCCGUCGCCACCAACUGGUUCUCUCUCUCUCCAUCACCACCAUCACCGGCCGCCACCUGGUUCUCUCUCCCUCCUUCUUCACCACCAUCCACCGCCACCUGAACCUCCUGUUUAUUUUGUUGUUGUUUGAAUAGAUUUCGAUUUUGGUUUAAAAAUAGAUUUUGUUUUGGGUUUUAUUUCUCAACAAACAAAUGCAUAGGUAGAAAAAGAAAGAUUUAUUUUUGGUAAGAUAAGUGUGAGUCGGAGAUAACUGGUGGUGAUUGUAUCAUGUGUGAGAUUGAUGGACAGAUUGCUGAGGAAAAUCCAAUGGUCCAAAUAACGCAGCGUGUGUAAUUCAAAUAGGGAUAUUUUGGCUAUUUUAAAAAAUAUAUCGGUUCAACUAAUGGUUCGUGAUUAAAGUCUAAUUAACAGAACUUAAAUGUUUUUUCCCUAAUUAAUAUAUACUUUUAGUGACCAAAACCUAAAUACCCUUAGGGUUUAUCUUGUAUGCAAUUCUUUUGAUUUCACAACAUCAAUCUUCUCUAUUACCAUGGCUGCUAAAAGAUAUGAUAGCUUUCAUUCCAUUAGUGUGAAGUUGGUCGGAUGGUAAAAACUAUGCAUAUUAGAGCUAUGUUAUGAAGAAUUUUUUGAAAGGAAAGAAGAUGUCGGGAUAUGUUACUGGUGUUUGCAAAAAGCCUAAUGAAAGUAAUGCUAAAUAUGUCGAUUUAUUGGAUCUAUGGGAUGUUAACAACUCCAAGAUUCUCACUUGGAUCAACAACUCAGUUGAGCAUUCAAUUGGUUUUCAAUUGGCCAAGUAUGAAACAACAAAAGAGGUUUGAGAUCACUUAGCGAGAUUGUUCACUCGAUCCAAUUUUGCGAAACGUAUCAAGUUGAAGCAGAUCUACGUGUUAUCAAACAAGGUGAUCAAAGUAUUCAUGAGUUCUUUGCUACUAUGACUAAUCUUUGGAAUGAGUUGACUUUAAUGGAGUUUACUGAGCUUAAAGCAUUUGCGAGUGCUUACUAACAUAAUGCCAUUGCGAGGAGAUAGAUGCACCAAAUUUCGAGACUACUUGGAUUAACACAAAUUGCGAGGAGUAAAGACAACCAAUAAUCUUACAUAACCGGGGCAGGCAAAUAUUCAGGACAUGGAAGAUAUUCCUCCAGACUUUGGGUUGUUUGUAGAACCCUGGUCUGAUUAACUUGUAGGCCCCUGAGGAUAUGUAUCUUUAGUGUAUGGGAUUGAUUUCCUUGGUGUCUUGUACGCAACUUUUUUUUUUAAGAGGUGCUACUGUCUACAUUUCUUUGUAAUCAUGGUAUAUUGCUAUCUAGAUUUAGGUCUAGACUACAAGGUCAAGUGGUAAACUGCUAGGAGUUUGAAUCCCCCCUUCGAUGAAAGGGUACUAGUGUACUACCAUACUUGAAGUUGGCCAUUCUACCUCUGUCAUAUUCCAAAGCCGAGUGGAUAGUGCUGAGAUCUGUUGUUGCACCUAAUUUCGAGACUACCCUCAUGAGUGACAGUUCCAGCCACUGCAUUGUUGGCGUUACUUUCAGAAGUCAUAAAGGAGAACAUUGCUUCUUCUUGUCUUCUAGAUAAAGGUUUAGCGGUCAUAAUAAAUAAUCUAAUUGGGUGUGCAGAGUGGACUCUGUUGGAUUCUGUUGCAGAUUUCUGUGUGGAUUUUGAUUCGGUGAAGUACAUACUCAAUUUUUAGACAAGUGUGUAUGAAUACAAACCAUCCUAGUCUGCUUUAUCUUAGGGUGGCAUUCCAAUUGCCAUAUUAUCCUAAUGUCUCAUUUAGUGGAGAAAUCAACAACUAAAGUGAUUUGAGCCCCAUGUUUGGCGCAUCCCCAUGCAUGCAUGUUUUGUGUUGCCUUGGUACUUGGUAGCACUGUAGCAGAUAAUUCCUAACAAAUGAUUAAUAUGUCAGUUUUUUAGCAUGGUGGUGGAUAUAAAAAGGCAUUGUUCCUGUCCAUGGCUUGUAUAUUUAGCAAAUCUUUGAUGAAGUGAAAGGAAUAACAAACAUUUGGUACUUUUUAAAUGAGAAAAAUGAAACAUUAGAGAAAAUUGAACACAACGUACAAAGUGACCGAGUUAGCUUAGACGAUAAUAGAAUAGUAAUGAUUUGAUAAUAAAACUUGCACAAGGUUGAGUUUUUGUAUUGUUAUUGGGUUUAGGAGAGAUCAUCGAAUUAACAUGACAGUAAGUAAAAUGAAUCAAAAUAAGUGAAGAAGAAAGAGAGGAGAGAAGAAGAGGGAUAGAGUAAAUCAGGGUUCAUGCUACUGCUUUCUCCUGUAUUNNNNNNNNNNNNNNNNNNNNNNNNNNNNNNNNNNNNNNNNNNNNNNNNNNNNNNNNNNNNNNNNNNNNNNNNNNNNNNNNNNNNNNNNNNNNNNNNNNNNCCUUCAAGCUGGAGCAUACAUGUCAGGCAUGUUCAGCUUGGAACACAGAUACUCAGAUAUGGCUGGUGUGACUUAUUUGGUGAAGACAUCUGCCAAUUGAUUUCGAGAGGAGACAUGAGGUGUGCAGAUCUCCUUGGACAUAACCUUCUCUCUAACAAAAUGACAAUCCACCUCGACGUGUUUGGUUCUCUCACGAAAUACUGGAUUGCUAGCAAUGUGAAUAGCCGCUUGAUUAUCACAAUAGAGCGGCAGAGGCAUCUUUACAGAGAGACCCAAUUCUUGUAGCAAAUUUUGAAUCCACAUCAACUCACAUGUUGUUUGAGCCAUACCUCGGUACUCAGCCUCGGCACUAGACCUGGACACCACAGUUUGCUUCUUGCUCUUCCAAGUGAUUAGGUUGCCACCUAAAAAGUACAAUAUCCAGUAGUUGAUCUUCUAUUAGACACAUCACUAUUGUAAUCAGAAUUAGUAUACCCGAUCACAUCAAGAUGUCCAUAUGCUCGAUAAACUAACCCACGACCUGGAGAAUUAUUUAGAUAACGAACAAUGUGAACAACUUCCACAUAGUGUGGAACACGUGGUGCUUGCAUAAACUGAGACACCAUACUAACUGCAUAAGAGAUGUUAGGACGAGUAAUGGUUGCAUAUAUUAGCUUGCCAACGAGUCGACGGUAUCUCUCAACAUUUGAGUACAACUCACCUUCAUCUGAUUGGAGUUUGUUGUUUGGAUCCAUAGGAGUCUCAAGUGGUUGCGAUCCUAGAUGCCCUGUUUCAGUUAAGAGGUCCAACACAUACUUUCUUUGUGAGAGAUGAAUCUCCCUUGAAACUCUAGUCCCUUCAAUACCUAAGAAGUACUUCAACUCACCAAGAUCUUUGGUCUGUACGUGCUUUGACAAAUUUACCUUGAGAGUAGUAAUGGCUUGCAUAUCUGAAGCAGUAACUACGAUGUCAUCGACAUACACAACUAGAAUGAUUACCCCUUUCGUAGUUUUCCUAUAGAAAAUCGAGUGAUCACAAUGACAACGACUCAGGAUCAAAUGAAGUCUAGGGUGGAGAUUAGGAAAGCAAGUGUGGUUUCCUUAGCUGGUAGAGGGGUGAUGAUCAAAUAAGUGGCUCAAUCAUUACCAGUGUACACAAUAUCCACAUUCGUUGUACCAAAACACAAUUACAUGUAAUCUGGAUAGGAUUUGUAGAGAUUUUUGGUGGAAUGGGACAAAGGAAGGGAAGGCUAUUCAUCUCUGUCAAUGGAAUAAAGUCUGUUAGAAUAAGAAGGAAGGUGGGUUGGGUUUUAGAGGUUUUGCAGAUAUAAACUAGGCUUUAGUCUCUAAACUGCUAUGGAAAAUAAGAGUUGGUGAUGAUUCAUGUAGGGGUACUAUAUGCGCCAGCCAAUCAAAACACGACACGUGGCCUACUCAUCAUCCUCACAGGUCGUCCACUACACGACCUAACCAAAGAUCGAUCAGAAUAGCUCGACUAUAUGACCGAUGACAACCUCUUCAUAUGUACUUGCCCUAAAUCAUGCAUAGAGAAUAUCUCCAGCUGUUACACAAUCAUUGCAGCUGUUACACAAUCAUUGGAGAAUAUUACACAAUCAUAAAGAUGUCGAAGAAUCUGCAAGAUCCCAUGAUCUUCGCCCCAUCACCUUCUAUAUAAACAGAACUACGAUGGCUUGAUCUCUAAGUUCCAUUCCCUCGAGCUAGAGUACGUAGGCAAUCUCGAUCUCAUCAAGGUGCAGCCACCCCCGAUCUCAAACUCCCCCUUUGGUCAGUUCAACAACGAUCUGAUCUAGUGAAUGCAUUAAUCUAGAAAUAGGUUGAUACAAUUCACUAUGGACAAGAACAAUGAAGGCAAAAUAUGGGAAAUAUCUGCAACUAGAUAAUCAGACUGAAGUCCACCUUGGGCAUCCCCCAUGUUAAGAGGAUUGCUUAAAGCUAAACCAAUAAUCAAACAAGGUUUAAUCUGGUGUGGAGGAGAUGGAAGGAAGAUUAACUUUUGCACAAACCCAUGGAUCCCUUUUCUAGGAAGAUCGACUCGCAAGUAUUCAUGAGUUAUGGUCUGUCAGUCCUUCUACAAACAAAAAAGUUUCCCACUUUAUUAAACCUAAUUGUUCAUGGAAAUUACAUUUUUUUUUCCAAAAAAGGUGUUUUUUCUGUAAUAUCUGCUUAUUGGAUUGCUAGAUUUACAAAGCCCUGUAGCAAGCUCUUCUAAUGCAACUCCUUCUUUUGUGUUCUCUAAACUGUGGAAUAUGAAAUUGCCACCUGAUUUAACAAUUUUUCUUUGGAAAACACUUGUGAACAUAAUCUCAACUGCUGACAACCUAAGUUCUAAUCAUCUGAAUGUUGAUCCAGACUGUACCUUUUGUGGUUAUGAUAGAGAAACUUUCACCAUAUAUUCUUUUAUUUUCCUUGGGUGUCAAGAAUUUGGUUUGGGUCGCCUUUUUGUAUUAGAUUUUCUGGAGACAUGUGUGAAAAUUACAAUUGGUUUUUGUUUUUCCUUAAUCUAGAUAGACAGGAUGAUCAUGAUACAAAUGAAUGUUCUUUGUUGGCUUUGUACCUAAUGCUUGCCAUAUGGACAUCCAGGAAUCUUAUUAGAUUUGAUAGUAAGCAAAUUAUUUGGGAAUCAGUAAUAGAAAAUGCUUUUCAUAUGGACUGAAGCUCUGUCUCACAGUGAAAGUGCUACAGUUCAGACUCAUUCUACAGAUUUGUCUAACCAUACUUGGAUUAGUCCACCACCAGGGUGGAUUAAGAUUAAUUUUGAUGCAAGUUUUCUUUGCAAAUAGGAAGAUGGGAGCUUUAGCUGUUGUGGCAAGGGAUGCUAAAGGAGACAUUUUAACCGGAGGCACAAAAAGAAUACAAGCAACAAUGGAUGUUGAAGAGGCAGUAUUUCUAGCAGCUGAAAUGGCUAUCAAAUUAGCUUUGGAACUGAACUAGUUAGAUGUGUUUAGUGAAGGAGAUAGCUCUAAUGUCAUCUCAUGCCUUAUAGUUAAGGGACAAACAACUCCACCGUGGAACUCAACCAACUUAGUUAAUUUUAUUAUUUCUUGUAGCUCUAUUUUAAGGUUUAUGACUUUUAUCCAUGUCAGGUGGUCUGAGAAUGUAUAUCAGUUUAUAGCUGUUGGACUAUUUAUAGUUCACAAACUAUUUGUAGCUUGGUUGAUUUCGUGAAUGAAUUAGGGGUGUGUUUGAUUGCAAGCAUUUUCCCAAUGUAAUGAGAAAAUUUAUGUGUUUUCUCAGUGGACCAGUGGAAAGGGGGCACUAUUUAUGUGUUUGAUUGUUAACUUAAGCAGUGAGAAAAAGAAAAUCGUAUUUUCCCACUGUAUAGUUAUUUUCUCUAUACAGUGAGAAAACAUUUUCUUACCCUCCCCCUUAGAAUUCCAAACUAGUGAGAAAAUGGGGUUAUUUUCCCACUAGAGUGAGAAAAAAGGAUGGUUAAUUCAAAAUUAGUGAGAAAAUAAUUAGAAUUCCCACUAUCAAUCAAACACCAUAUUUGUGCAGAGUGAGAAUGACUUAAAACAUUUUCUUACUUAAGUGUGAAAAUAUUUUAAAUCAUUCCCACUUAAGUGGAAAAACUAUCUUUAAGUCAUUCUCACUCUCAUUUUUUCUCACUCCGCAAUCAAACGCAGCCUAGAAGAUCCUGCAUAGCACCAUCCUAUACAGACUCCAUUAUAAAUAAAUAAAUAAAUAAAUAUCAAUUAAUACUUAGGAGCUGGCUAUUGCCAAUUUAAUAUUUGCUACUGCUAAGGUACAUUUUGUUGUUAGAUUUAUUUGUCCUCUUUAAAUUUAAUUGAAGAAUUUAGUCUUUUUUAUUUUUGGGUGGGAUUUGUGCGAUAAAUACAUCUUGGCAAUAACAUAAAUUAGCCUUGCAAUAGCCGGCUCCUUAUAUUAUUUAAUAAUAAACAACAUGUUGGGAUAAAACACCAAUAAUGUGGAAGCGAUUUGUUCACAACAAGAUCUAGACAAAUAAAUGUGUAACCUUUAUCAAAGACAAUACCUUGAAGUAACUAAAAUAUUAAUCAAACAAGUAGACAAUCACAAAUAACUAGAAAGUAAUCAAGAUAACGAAAUCAAACAUCCACAACACAAGAUAUGCGUGGUUCAACGUAACCCUACGUCCACGGGCAAGAUAAAGAUGGUUUCAGUAUGAAGUAGAAAAUAUGUGAUACAAAGAGCACUCACUCGGACUCCUUCACCUCACACAAAUAAGUUCUCUCAAGUGAUUCUUGUAAAUCUCUCAAGAAAAAGCUCUUCUUCUUUUCUCUCAUCUCAAUCUCUUUCUUUUUCUCUCUUGAUGAAUUUGGAAGUCACACAACUCAACACUUAAAGUUUCCUACGCUCUCUAGGCUUUAUAUAGUAACCAUACAUGGAUUUUUAGGUUGACCACGUUAUGGGCCUAAAUUGGGCCCAUAAGCACCUCACCAUAUGCAAGUAUCGAAAACUCCAGCAACAAUCGACAUGACAAAACGUGUCCAGCGGCUAUCGACAUGACAAUUCCAUUCUUAGCCAAAUUUUCCAAAAUCUUCAGCGGCUAUGCAUCCUGCAAAUAUCUGUCAGAACUUUGGAGCCGUUUACCUGCCAAAUUAAAUAUCGGCAGAAGACGUGCCAUAUACCAUUGGAAAGAUGAGAGAGUCCUCUUUCCAACCCAGAAAAUAGAUUGACAUUCCAAUCACUGUGCAAAAUGUUAUGGACAUUCCAAUACAGACUGUCCAAAUGAAGAUACCGAAAAAUGGAACAACAAUUCUCCACCUCGGGGAAGAUUCACAAAUCUGAGGCAACACCAUCAAAACAUGAAAAUCCAAAGAACAUAAGAAACCACCCAUCACCAUCUUACCACAUAUACCCCGAAGGGCCAAAACGGUUGCACCACUAAGUAGUUGCCUACGUAUCCUCCUCCAAGGAAUCAAGCCAUCGUAGUUCUUUUCAAGCCCCGAAGGGUGAUCAAACAAUAAGUCGAAUGUGAAGCAAGUUCAAACAAUGUGUGAACUUCGCUCCAUCAACUACCUUAGUCAACAUAUCAGCUGGGUUGUUCUUAGUAUGCACUUUAGGAAGUGAUAUCACGAAUAAAGUGAUAACGGACAUCAAUAUGUUUGGGUCUAGGAUGAUGAACUUGGUUCUUGGCCAAGUGAAUGACACUUUGGUUAUCAUAAAAGACAUUAACCAAAUCUUGCUCAACACUUAAGUCACCUAGUAAUCCUCGAAGCCAUAUAGCCUCUUUUACACUAUCUCCGUCACAGCCAUGUACUCAGCUUCUGUAGUAGACAAAGCAACUGUAGACUGUAACAUAGAUCUCCAACUAACCGAUGUGCACCAUGCAUAACAAAUACAUAAUCGGUAAUAGACCUUCUACUAUCUAGAUCACCAGCAUAAUCUGAAUCCACAUACCCUUUGACAUGAAAAGUGUUCACAAACCCUUCAAUAUGACAAACAUCUCCACGAAAGACCAAACCCACAUCCAAGGUACCCUUCAAGUAUUUCAGAAUCCAUUUUACAACCCCCCAAUGUUGAGAACCCAGAUUAGCCAUGGAACGACUAACCACACUCACGGCUUGUGCAAUGUCUGGGUGAGUGCACAUCAUAACAUACAUCAAAGAACCAACCGCGCUAACAUAAGGAACUUUAGCUAUAUACACUCUUUCUGUUACGGUAGUAGGGGAGAGUUUAGCCGAAAGCUUGAAACGAACAAUGACCUUCUCAAUAUAAGAUCUCUAAGAUAGACAAAGUCGAUGUUGCUUUCGCUCCCUCUUAAUCUCCAUACCCAAAAUCUUUUGAGUUCCACCCAAGUCUUUCAUCGAUCUCGAACUCCGAAUUAAGUUGAGAUUUCAACAUAUCUAUCUCCACCAUGCUCUUAGAAGCAAUGAACAUAUCAUCUGGGUCCUGCUUCGCAUGCUAUGUAGGUUAACGCAUUUCUGUCCUAUUGCACUAUGGUUCGGCAAAAAUACUCCUCUGAGCUUUAUACAAUUGUGGUUUCAUUUUUGGCUUCAAAGUCUUCUUUCUCUUGGACUUGGGCUUCCUCUUCCUUGUAUGUAGGUUAAUGCACUUCUGUCCUAUUGCAUUUUGGUUCGACAAAUAUACUCCUCUAAGCUUUAUACAGUUAUGGUUUCGUUUUUCAAAGUCUUCUUUCUCUUGGAUUUGGGCUUUCUCUUUCUUGUAGGAGUCUUUGAGGAGGUCGACUUGGUUAAUUCAUUUUGAUUUAUAAAUCAUCAACUUAUUAAGUCCAAUAUAUGGUAUUUUAGGCCUUAAAUCAAAUUAGUAAGAGUUUAGUCCCGUGAAAUAUAAUAAACUUGAAAAUAAGACUAAAAAACAUUAAAUUACAUAGGAGUAAGUAAAAUGCUAUUCGGAAGGUAUUAAAAAUCUGUCACUGACUAUCUUUAGUAAAAAAACUUGCAAACUUAAUCAAACUUAUGAAUUUUAAUGAUUAAAGAUCUGUCAUUGACUCACUGAACAGUUGUAUUCGUGUCAUCCUGUGAUAUCGAAAAGGUUUGAGCACAAUUGAGUUCAGUUGGAAAAUAACCAUUGGGAGGAUCAAUUUUGCCCUUUGGCAAGAUCUGAUGCCAUAAUAAAUUAAAUUAUUUAUUUAUAUAAAAAAACAUCUUAGAAUAUGAACAAACCUAAAUAUACCAAAAUAAAAUAUGAAUUUAUGAGGGUUUGGAUUUGCAUAAUUUAUUAAAAAUAUUAUUAUGAUUAUACAAUCAAAUCCAAAUAAAAAUAGGGCUUUGGAUAUAGAUUUACUAAAAUUUGACCCAAAGUAUGGAAAUUUUCCUACACAUUACUCCCUCUGUCCCAAAUAUAAGUAGGNNNNNNNNNNNNNNNNNNNNNNNNNNNNNNNNNNNNNNNNNNNNNNNNNNNNNNNNNNNNNNNNNNNNNNNNNNNNNNNNNNNNNNNNNNNNNNNNNNNNNNNNNNNNNNNNNNNNNNNNNNNNNNNNNNNNNNNNNNNNNNNNNNNNNNNNNNNNNNNNNNNNNNNNNNNNNNNNNNNNNNNNNNNNNNNNNNNNNNNNNNNNNNNNNNNNNNNNNNNNNNNNNNNNNNNNNNNNNNNNNNNNNNNNNNNNNNNNNNNNNNNNNNNNNNNNNNNNNNNNNNNNNNNNNNNNNNNNNNNNNNNNNNNNNNNNNNNNNNNNNNNNNNNNNNNNNNGGGGUUUUUUAGUUGUUGGUUCGAAAUGAGCUCUAAACCCUAAUAAAGAUAAAAACCGGCUCCAAAACCUAAUUUAUACUAAAAAGUGGUGACCAAAACCUAAAUCACCCUGGAAUAUUCUACUUAUUAAGGAAACAUCAUUUAUAUUUAUUGUUUGUCAACUAACUCUACUUUCUAAUUUACCCCUUUUUAAUACUAAUUACAAUGUCUAAUUUUCCAUUAGAAUGAUUACUCUAAUCUCAAACCAAGGGUAGUAUAGACAAAAGAACCAUUUAACUUAAUUAUAUGUUUUCAAAAAUCAAAAGCGACAUAUAUUUUGGGACAAUCUAAAAUGAAAUAAGGUACUUAUAAUUUGGGACAGAGGGAGUAUUUCUUGUAAGUAUGUUCUCAGUAGGUUCCAUGUACAUAUAAAAUACUAAGACUAUAUUCCAUGAAUCAAAGUAAAAAGGACUCAAAUAAUAAUCAUAAUGAAUAUUAAUAACAAUAAGCAGGUUCCAUGUACAUAUAAAAUACUAAGACUAUAUUCCAUGAAUCAAAGUAAAAUUAAAAGAAAACAAAUAAUAAUAAUAAUAAUAAUAAUAACAAUAAGUAGGUUCCAUGUACAUAUAAAAUACUGACUAAGACUAUAUUCUAUGAAUCAAUGUAAUAAAAGAAAAAAAUGUAUAUGGUGUAGAUGCAUGCACAUUUUAUGUAAUUAAUGUGAACAAAUACACUUACUUGUUAUGAAUCAUCUGCUUUAUCUAUAAAUAAAUAGGAUAACCAUAACAAGGAAACUAAAGUAAAAAGAAUCAAACACAAUGGAGGCAACUAAAGUUCGAGUAUUAGUUCUCAUGGUUGUGUUUUUAACUUUGCUUGCUAAAGAGACAUCAGCAAGUUGCAUUGAAGAUUGUUACGCAGACUGUAUGAAUGACAGAAACGCGCGUAAGGUCGACUGUACUAUUUACUGUGUCUGGCACUGUCUUGAAAAGCCUUGUGAACUUUCUUGUGUAGAAAAUAUAUGCUCAAAAAUGGCUGAAGGUAAAAGAAAAACUCAUUAUCAUUAUUGCUUGUAUGUUUAAAAUAUUCACACAUCUGUUUGUUCGUUUAAGUCCUUCUUUCAUUCAUGGCAAGCGGUAACGAGUAGGGUUGGUCGUUAAAUUUUAAAAAUUGAGAAACCUUUUCAAACCGAAUGCUUUUUUUUUUUUUUUUUAAUACAUCGGUUCGGUGUUCGGAUCAUAAAAUUUAAAAAUCGAUAAUUUCAUGGUGUCGGUUCCCCAAUCUUCGCCUGCAAUAAUAACCGAUCUGAUUCGAUAUACAGUAACGCUUUUUUUACUUUCGUAUUCCUCUCUCUUAUCUCUGUGUCUUCCAAAGAUUUUUAAAAAUUCUUAAAUCUAUUUUUUCCAUAAUUAUAACAACAAAAUAGUCCAUAACACAGUUUGAAAAAAUGAAAAACAAUCAUAUCUACUUGUCUUGUGAUCUAAAAAAUUAUGGCACCAAGUUACAAACUUACAUUGACGAAUAUUGAUAGAAGCAUAAAACUCACCUUUUCAAUCGAUAUUCGUUGGAAUUGACAGAUUUUAACGGAUUCAACGGUACUAGUGGAUUCAGACUGGCAUUGAAAAUCCAUGUCUUCAUCACCAAUUUUUACAAGAUUUCAUCUUCAUCAUUAUCAUCAUCGAUCUAUGAGUUUUUUCUUCUUCAUCGUCUAUCUUAGCAGAUUUCCAUUUCGUAACCAAUUUUGGAUUGGUUAUAAAUCAUUUGAUCCUUUCACAUAAGAAAAAUAUCAAAAAGAAAAAAAAACCUAUUUUGUUUGUUUUGUUAAUAAUAGGUUUUCUUCAAACCGUUGGAUUAAAUCAAAUAAAAUUUAUUUGCAAUAAUUAAUAACUAAUAAAGAACAUAAUAUAUUUUAAAUUAGUUCUUCAGGAUUGUGGAUCCAAUCAAAUAUUUUAUAAUGUUUUUCGGAGUAUUAUAUUACAAUAAUAGACAUAAUUGGUAAAUACAUAUUUUCUUUUUUGAAGAUCACACUGUCGUUCGGAUAUUCACGAAUAUUCAUGAAAAAUUGCGGAAUUUCGUCAACCUAAACCUCCCCAUGCCCACAAAGGCUGUCGAAUACCAUUUUUUUAAACCUCGAAAACUUCGCCCGAAUUCAACAUUUUGAACUAUGGUUGUUUAUACUAUUGAGUAUUAAUAGCUUGGAGAUUACGAGGCCAAAACUGAGUAUAUACCAAUAAACAAAAUUUGUAAUGUACAAAGUUUUGUUUUAUAGUUCUGUAAAUUAAAUUUUAUCACAACAAACCAUCGUGUGCAUUCUUCCUUCAAAAUCUAUUAGCAAUUAUUGUGGUUAAAUUAUAGAUUCAUGUUUUCUUCAAACUUUCUGGUGGUCACAAUAAUCGAUAUAUGAUGACUAUGGUGCUUAUUCGUAUUGUUUCCUGAUAUGACAGAUAAACAGAGAAUGGGAAUGUGCCUAGCAGAAGUUUGUAACUGUAAACUAAUGCCUUAGCUCGUGUACCAAAAUUUGAUCCAUCGAUCAUAAAUCCUAUAUGUAAAGUUCAUGAAAUAAUAUCGAGGAAAAACUAUCUUCGGCACCAUUUUGGUGUUCAUUAUCCGUAAGAUAUCUAUGACAAAUUUUUUUUGUCGAUCUUUCGAUAAAAGGAGUUUUGAUUAAUUUAUAAAACCUAAUACAGCAGCAUACCCAUUGCUCAUUUGAUCUCGGGUCUCCGAAAAGAAAAAAGACAUAGAUACAUUAUACUCCCUCUGUCCCAAAUUAUAAGUACCUUUUGGAAUAUUCUAUUUAUUAAGGAAACAUCAUUUAUUGUUUGUCUACUAACUUUACUUCCUAACUUACCCCUAUUUAAUACUAAUUAUAAUGCCUAACUUUUCAUUAGAAUAAUUACUCUAUCUCAAAACAAGGAUAAUAUAGACAAAUAAACCAUCAAAAAUCAAAAGAUACUUAUAAUUUGGGACAAUCUAAAAUGGAAUAAGGUACUUAUAAUUUGGGACAAAAGGAGUAUAACUUUACCAAAAAAAUAAAAUAUAGACUACAAUAUAAAUAAUUCAAACACUUUGCCCACGCCAUAAAAAUUAAACUACCCUUGUUAUCUAUACAUGAUUAUCAGUAUAGUUAAUCUGUUAGAAAUUGAUAAUUGCAAUUUAGAACUGUUUGUUUAUUUAUUUACGCUAGUUCUUAUAGUUUAUAAGCAAUUGGAAAACACAAAAGUAUAUUUGUUUUUACAUCUAGUUAUAGGAUUAUAAGAUUUUCUAGUAGAAAUUGGCUAAAAAAGUGGCAGUUACUACAAGCUCUAUCCCCAAGCUUAUAAUAAAUAGCUUAUAAGUUAUAAGCUACUAGAUGAAAAAACAAACAACACCUUAACUAUUCUUGAAUGAAAAUUGAUAAUUGGAAAAAGAAGUUAAAAAAAGAAUCUACCUCAAAACAUCUAGCAAUGGACGAAAUUGAUCCUACCAAUGGUUAUUUUCAUUGCUAACUCAAUUUCCGGUAAAAAAAAAAAAAACCCUUCCAAAUACAUAAGAAAGGGAACCUUCAUGUCCUUUUGGCCACCUAAUUGUUGCACAAACUAACAUUAUUCAUCAAUCCAUCAUAAAUAACAAUUUUCUUGGUGAACAAAAUACCAUUAUUUUUUCCAACCUUAUUCUAUAUUUCAUCAUUCAACCUUUUCUUCUAAUAUUAAUUUAAAAAAAAACAAGACACAAUAGUAUUUAAGUUCUUAAGGCUUCUUCCAGGUAACUUAAUUUAAGUUUCUGCCCCAGAGAUCCAACUUGCAUACAUUUUAACAAAGCUAUGAAUGUUAAAUGCUUAAAGAAUGUCACUUUAAAGAAAACUAUAGCAGUGCCAACUAAAAGAAAGGAAUAAGGACAUUUUCCCUAACGGUUAAAGGAUGGCCAACUCUGUCACGGAACUAACUAUUGGCAGGGUCAAUUUUGCCCUUGGCAAAAUUUGGAGUCACAUUUAGUUAUCAGCUUUUUGGGACCAAGGACAAGAUUAGUAGUUUCAAUGGGCCUAAGGACAGCCUAAAAGUUUAGUUCAGUUUUAUGCCAAUUCAACCUAAUGACGAAGAUACCCUCAGUCUAAUAUUUCUUUCUUUACUCCGUGGUUUUCAUAUAAUCUAUUUUUUUUCUUCCUCCCCGAUCUCUAAUCUUUGGAAGAGAAAAAUGGAAAGUUUUUUUUACUAUUAACUAUAACAUGGAACUAAUUUUAUAUGGAUUCAUGUCUGAUCGAUCUCCAAUUCCGAUCUCUCUUUAAACUUAGAUCUAAUUAAAUUGUUGAAAAUCAUGGUCUUUAUUUUUUGAAUCUUAUCCUGAUGCAUAUAGUAUCUUUUUGAUUAAUGGAGUUUGUCAUUUUUGAAUAUUGAGACCACAAAUUGCAAAUGAUUCCACUUUCUCACACUAAAAUCAUGACAGCGUCAUCACCACUACUAACAAAAGUUCAAAUCACUUAAUUUCUCGACAAUGUUCUUUCUCAAAAUGUCUAAUAUCACUUUUUAUACCGAAUAUAUUAAAUUGUUAAUUCGUGACAUCUUUUAACUCUCGUUGAAAUUUAUUAAAGUUUUCAUAUUACUACUUUCAUGUACCCACAAAUAUACUAGAAGAACAAGGAGAUGUUUGCCAAUCAACUACUUUAACAUAUUAAUCAACUACUUUAUUCAACUCGUUAACACAUUAUUCAACUUAACAAUACUUGAUUAACAUAAUAAUCAACUCAACAAUAGUUGAUUAGUACAUUAAUCAAUUAAAAAUUUUAAAUUUAUUUUAUGUUUAGUUGAUUCGUAUAUUAAUCAACUCGACAAUAGUUGAUUAAUACAAUAAUCAACUCAACAAUAAUUGAUUAAUAAACUAAACAACUUAGCAAUAGUUGAUUACCAUAUUAAUUAUUAAACCUUCACUGUAAACCCUAAACCUUAAACCCUAAUGCAAUGUAAUUAUACCCUACCCUAAUGAAUCCUAGUUGGAGUGCGAUCUUAAACCCUAAAACUUUAACCCUAUAACCGUAAAAUAUAAUGCAAUGUAACUAAACCUAAACCCCUAAUAAGAUGUAACUAUAUACUGCCCAAGUGAAACCUAGUUGAAAUGUGGUUUUAUGCGAUCCUAAUGCAAUGUAACUACCUCCAAUGAACCCUAUUUGGAAUGCGAUAUUACACGAGCCUAAUACAAUGUAACUAUACUCUAUUCAAUGAACCCUAGUUGGAAUGCGAUCUUACGUGACCUUAUUGCAAUAUAAGUAUAUGUUAAAUCCUUGCUUCUAAUCAACAAAAGAAAUAUACCAAGAAAUAUAUGAAGAGCUUGUUGACAUUAAUACAAAAGUUGAUGAACACAUUAAUCAACGUACAAAAGUAAUCUAUGAAUAAUUUACUGACAUUAAUAUAAAAAUUGAUUAAUACAAUAAUUAACCCUUAUUCUAACUGAUUAGUACAUUAAUCAAGUCUUAUUCCAAUUGAUAAUUAGUACAUUAAUAAGAUUUUUUUUCCUGUUUAGUUAAUUAGUAUAUUAAUCAACUUAACUAAAAGUUCUAUAUGAUCCAAGGGUAAUUUAGUUUAUCGGUGAAAAUGGAGGAUUCGAGAUAAAAUUAAAAUUUUAGGAUAAGACAAGAAAACUCAAAGUGAAAAGAGAGUUCUAUGAUUUGUUCUUACGUUUAUAACCACUUACAAAUAUGUGCCUCUAAAAAAUGUACCAUGAAACAUUCCCACUCAAAUCAAACAGACCAUAAGAAAUUAAUAUUUUUUUUCUGUUGAUUAGUAUAUUAAGUUACAUCAAAAUUAGUUGAUUAGUAUAUUAAUCAACUAAAAAAUUUAUAUUUUUCUUUUUGUUUAGUUGAUUAGUAUAUUAAUCAACUAAAUCAUAGAUUAUUAGUAUAUUAAUCAACUUAACAAUGGUUGAUUAAUAAAGUAAUCAACUCAACAACAUCGUAUUAAUACUAGACGCAAAUUGAAUUCAGAUGGAUUCAAACCAUCAUCCUCUCAUUUAGUGAGCACUCUUACCAUUUAGAGCUUAUGGAGCCAUCUAACAAUAAUAUAUUCACAAUUUAAAUUGUAACAUUUCAGAUAUAACCAAAACCAAGCAAGAUGAGCCAUUUAAAAUAUCUAAGUUAUAAGGUACAAGGCAAUCUCAACUUUGGGAGAAAAACAUAUAUAAAUUUUGACAUUGACGGACCAGAUUGCAAGUUAAGGAUCGAUAUCAGAUCUGGAUCCUUGGUAUUCUUUGAUCACGGUAUAUCUGUGUUGACAUAAUUAAGGUUAGCGUGGGUUUAAGUCAAAAUCAUGGUUUGGGCCUGAUAUUAGCUUCUAAUAAUUAGGUUAGCAAAACUUAAUUAUCCUCUCUCUUCAAUAUAUGUGUUAUACAACUUAAACUGCUAUCUCCAUCCCUCUUAUUCUUCUUCCUCCCUUUUCUCCUCUCUCCACAAAUCUCAACUACAUCACAAGUAAAAGUUCACAUAUUCUCAUACAGGUGUAUCCUUAUUUUAGGAACUUAGUUUUCCUUUUCAUUAUGGGACAAGGAAAGGAAAGUUUUUAUAAGAGUUUUCCUUGUUACACAAGCAUAAAAAUGUUAGAAAAUAGAAAAUCAUUUUCCUUGGCUAACUACAAGUUGGCCAAAGCCUAUAAAUAUUGAUGUUUUGGAAUAAACCAAAACAUAAACCAAGACAUACAGAAACAACUAUUGAUUAGCUUAUUUAGAGAGACAACUAUUGAUUAGUUUGUUUAGAGAAACCACUAAGGUUAGAGUGUUUAGAAAUUUUGAGACAACUAGGGUUUAGUUUGUCUAGGGAUUAUUGUGAGGCAGAGAUUCUUGUAAUCUUCAUAAUAUUUAGUGAAGAAGAUAGUUUUCUUCGACAUCUUGUGUUUUGUUUAUCUUAUUUACUUCUAUUGUUUAAUUCUGCAUUCAAUAGUAUAUUUGCCUAGUAAUUUAUAUCAAGUUGGUAUCAAGAGCAAAUUGUUCGAUUCUCUGGUAGAGUUUUCUGUGGUUUAUGGUCUUAACUCGUUCACAGUACAGAAAGCUAGGUAAAGUUCUCGUGUCUUUAGAAGAUUCUAAGAAGACAGGGAAAAAGAAGAUGACAGAAACAGAUCUGAAGAAUUCAGAGGAGGACGAGACACCUACUCCACAGUAGAAACUUAGUAUAGAGGAAACAAUGGCUUUGUUUCAGAUUCAAAUGCGGUCAAUGAAUUCUAAUUUGUGAAAGCUAACCGAUUUCAUCAUCAAAGAAGGGGAGAAGAAAAACCCGAAGAAGAAAAAGAAGAGUUCGUUUUCUGAGCAAGAUGACUCGGAUAAUGAUGAGGAGGAGGAAGAAGAAGCAGACAAAGAAGAAGAAAUCGACAACUUCAAAACUUCACAUCAUGGAGGUAAGAAUUCUUUUCGAAAUUUAAAACUUGAUUUCAAAGUUGAAAUUCCUAUGUAUGAUGGAAGUGUUGAUGUGGAAAAACUAGACGGUUGGAUUGAACGAGAAGAUUACCUUCGUGACUUUGAAACUGUCAAGUCAUGCAUUAACUUGGUGAAAAUCCUAUUGCAAGUUUCAUGAUCAGAAAGGGGCAGUUUAAAGAGUUGCUUAAGAAGCAAUUCUAUCCAGUGGGAUUUCUGAAAGAAAAAUGGCAGAAGUGGUACAACUUACGCCAGAGAUUCAAUCAAUCCGUUCAAGAAUAUACAACCGAAUUUCAGAAUUAAGCAAUGGUUUUGGAUAUUAAUCUCAAGGAAUACUUCAUAUAGAUGAAGUAUGUGGCAGGUUUGAGUGAGUAUAUUCGGAAAGAGUUGAAGUUGUUUACAAUAGAAUGUAUACGGGAAGCUACUGUAAAAGCUAUUGCCAUUGUAGGCACGUUGAAGAACAAUACAGAAGAAGGGAAAAAUAAUCUGGUGGUAAGUUUAAUGGUUCUAGUAGCAAACAUGAUGAUGCUAAAAAAAAGGGAAAAUGUAAGUUUGAUGGGAUGGAAAUGUUGAUUUGCAGUCAUUGUAAAGAAACGGGACAUACGAUUCACAUAUGCUGGGAAAAGUAUCCACAUCUCAAACCAAAAGGGUUGAAGGAGAAGGAGGGAAAAAAGACGACAACUUUGGUCACACAACGUCCAACGGAAGUACCGGGGAUGACAGAGCCUAACCUCAAGCUCAACAUGAUGGUAGAGAAUUAUACACGUUUUGAAGAAGAUGACCCCAAAGAACAACUCUUUUGUGUCAAGUUACAGGUGAAGACCAGUUUGGUGGAUGCUAUUGUAGAUCCAGGAAGUCAAAAAAAUCUGAAUUCAAAAGGUUUGGUCUAAAAGGUUGGUUUAAAAACAAUGAAACAUCCUAAGCCUUAUACAUUGGGAUGGAUUCAGAAGGACGUCGGCUCGAGUGUGACAUAUUAAUGCACAUUUAAGUUUGUUCUUCAUGAGUCUUAUAUUAAUGAGGUGACAUGUGAUAUUGUUCCAUUUGAUGUUUGUCAGGUUGUUCUAGGAAAUCCCUACUUGUGCGAUAUGUAUGCUCUUUUUAAUAGGAGGGCUCAGAAGUAUAAAUUCACUAAGGAUGGAGAACAAUUUGUUAUUCGAGCAGUUCUACCUCCAAAAGGAAGUGACUUGGUAACGACAACACAUGCUAAAAGGUUAGUAAAUGCUUGUGGGAAGUUUGUCUUGAUGAUGUCCUUGGGUUGAUCGAGAGGAGACAUUCAAGGAAGAUUCCAUAUUGGAGCGCAAGGUGACUAAGACACGAAGUGAAAGACGGUUAAUGUUUCACAUUGGGCGUGUUGGUCAAGUUCCAAGCAAAUUAAAUGGUUCAGUAAAAUCCAGAGUGCUCUCGAGUUCCCUAAACACCAUUUCUAACUUAAACGGGAGUUUAAGUGAGUUUAAGUUCCUAUAGAGGGGAGCCAUGAUACAGAUGUAUCCAGUGGCGGAGCUACGUUAUAGCAUACUGGGGGACGUGCCUCAGGUGGAUUCGAGAGAAAAAUUGAUAUUUUUUUUUUUUAAUUUUGCACAAUUACAGUCAUACAUAGCUAAGAAUCCGGAAACCAAAAUAUGCUACGUACUUGUAUCUGUUUCCUAAGCAACUCUAGUGUAGAUAUGAUCGUGCACACCUUAGAUAAAACAUAAGUUAUUAUCUAGUACACCCACAUAUAAUUAAUUAUAAAACAAAAUUAUCCUAUAACUAACACCCUAACAGUAAUAGGUUUGUUUCUAAUCUGAAUUUAUUACUUCUAAUUAGCUUUCAACUUAUCCCAUGGGUAAUUGGCUUAUAUGCAUAUUAUGAUUUAUGAGACCGCACCUAGUCUAUAUGUUACAGUUAAAUGGUAUAUAAUUAAAUUUUAAACACUAGUGUUGGUGGUGCUAAAAACAUGCUCACAAUCUCAAGUGAUUUUUAAAAUCUAUCAGAAAAUCAAGAAAUUUAGGUUUCUUUCGCUACCUAUUUAAGAUUUUUUUUUUUUUCUUUUUGUAUUAAAUGAACGAUCGUAAUUGAAUAGUUUUUAUAUUUAACAUAUGAAUGAAUGAUAAUAAGGGAUUUAAACAGACGGUUAAGAACAAUGCUUGAAUUGAGAUUUUCAUGGGUUGAAUAAGAAUUAGCGUAAUUUGUCAAAGUGCCCCAGGUGAGGUAAAUUCCUGGCUUCGCGCCACUGGAUGUAUCCUUAUUUUAGGAACUUAGUUUUCUUUUUCCUUAUGGGACAAGGAAAGGAAAGUCUUUAUAAGAGUUUUCCUUGUUACACAAGGAUAAUAAUUUUAGGAUAUAAGAAAUUUUUUUUCUUGGCUAACUACAAGUUGUCCAAAGCCUAUAAAUAUUGAUGCUUUGGCAUACAACAAAACAUAGACCAAGAUAUAGAGAAACAACUAUUGAUUAGCUUGUUUACAGAAACUACUAAGUUUAGUGCGUUUAGAAAUAUUGAGACAAAUAGGGUUUAGUUUGUCUAGAGAGUAUUAUGAGGCAGAGAUUCUUGUAAUCUUUAUAAUAUUCAGUAAAGAAGAUAGAUAUGGACAUGUAGUAGAUGGGCUUGUAGAAGAAUCAACUAACAGUAGCGAGCAGAAGUGUUUCUUCUUGGAGAUAUUUUGCUGCAUUGAGAGGACCUGAACUAGACCAACUCAAGGUAUGUCGUUUACGUUAAACAUGAACGAACGAACUUAUUUGUUAAUUACAGUAAGAAUUUUCAUCAGUUGUUGUUUUUUCUUUUUUUGUUUUUGACAUCUUUGGGAGUGAUUUGUAUGGUAGGCCAAGAAUUACAAAACGAUAUUUGUAAAAGAAUUCAUUCAGUCAUAUAACCCGGUUUAACACAUUUUCUACCUGGACAGUGCUAAGAACUAAAAUAUUUAGACUCUAUAAUAAGAAUAACAAUUUUCCUUUGGGGUUUUUAGACUUUUGGACGCCUAAAUGAUACCCAUUUAAAAAAUAGGAUGUUUUUAAUUGAUAUUUAGAGUUUGGGGGACCUUCCGUGAGUUGACUGUUGUUUGCUUGUUAAUUUUUUUAAAAAAUAACAAUAUUACCCCCCCCCCCCCAUAUGUACAAAAUCGUUAAUAACAAAAUUGUUACAUGUGUCGUUAUAUCGUCCCUUGAUUCUAUCUUACGGUUGAUAAAUUCACACGUGUCGUUAUAUCAUCCUUUCUAAACUUUUUAAAAUUUUAGUUAUUAGAGAAGAAGACACUUGUGUUCAAUGAAAUUGAAGAAUAGGAGUUAUUCCAGGGUAAUAUGAGUAUUUACAAAAUAUGAGUUAUUUGACUUAAGUGAACUGUUAGUCAUAACAGUCAACUGAUGAGAAGGUGCCCCAUACUCUAAAUACUAAUUAAAAGCGUCCCAUUACCUAAAAUCCUAAUAGACAUUAAUUAGGUGGACCAAAGUCUAAAAACCCUUUUUCCUUGUGCAAGAAUAUAAAGGUACUUUCCUUCCCAAGGAUAAGCAACGGCCCUUCGAUCUUCCUAAGAUUCUCUCUCAAUUCCUUUGGUAUCCAUCUCGGUUUGAGCACCCUAGCAAUUUUAUAGUAAUCACUUGCAUAAAGCCCUACCACUAUAUUCCUCCACAUUGGUCCUCAUCAAGCUUUUCUUGUGAUUUCUGGCACUUGCUGUCAUGUUCUUUAUUUCCAUAACUUACAUACUUAAAUGUACAUUCUACUUCAAAGCCGUUCUACAGUGUACUUUCAGCGUUUGCAUGUUAACUUCUUCUUUGCUCUUUGGAUUGUAUGUAUGUUCCUUACCAUCAGUGUACCUACUAUUAUAGAACCAGGGAGACUGCACCCUUCUAUAAGGUGCAUCUUCAUGCCACCUGUUUUCCUGCUCAAGCUCAAGAUCUAUAGCGAAUGGUAAUCUAGAGGAAAAAGGCGUCUGUAAAAGGUAGCAAAUUUGUCAUCACAUGUUGGUUUUUUUUUUAUAUAUGUUCUUUACAGGUGCAGAAAACGUUUCAAAAGUAGUUGGUUCGAACGGGUUUUGGAGACGUUCGAACGGAUCUGGGUUUUCAGGUGCAGUUGGUUCAAACGGAAUUUUGGAAUGUUCGAACGGAAAAAUACAAUUUUCUGUUUGACAAGUUGGUUCGACGGGAUUUUUGGGUGUUCGAACAGAUCGAUAUUUUUUGCUCAAUGGGCUUAAUUUAUGAGUUGGUUUUGCUUUGGUAAAAGCCCAAUUUCGAAUAGGCGUUGUGUAAGGCUAUGUUAUAAAGCCUAUAAAUAGGAAAACCUAGCGUAGGAAAAACUAGGUCAAGUGCGGCAUAAGUUUAGAUCUAAGUCUUCUUGAGACAGAUUUUCUUGAAGAAAGAUUGAAGAAAGAAAAGUGAGGAAUAACUUGUUCUUGAGAGAUUUGAGAGUUUGUUUGUAAGGAGAAAGAGUCGAGUGAGUGCUCUUUGUAUCACCCUUUCUUCUUUUUCAUAGUGAAACUUUACCAUCUUGCCCCGUGGACGUAGGCUUAUGUCGAACCACGUUAAAUCUUGUGUUGUGGUGCUUGAAUUUUUUAUCGUGUUUAACUUUCUAGUUACAUAUACUUGAUUGUUAUUGAUCUAGUAGUUAGUUCUUUAUAUUAUUUGUGUUGACCCCACUUAACAGGCUCAAGCCCAAGUCAAUUACAAGUCAAAGCCCAAGAUUAUAAUCAAUAAGAGCCUAAGCCCAAUUUAAUUAGUAAUAAGGCUUAUUCCCGUUACUGCAUUCAAUAUCAAUUAUGGGCUUUAUCUAUUUUAAGUUCGUUCAUUAUAUUCAAUAAGAUUAAUAUGGUAAUUGCACAUCUUUGUAGAGAUUUUCUUAACCUAAUCCAACUACAACUCCAAUAUCUAUACAACUCCUAAUCUAAAUAUAACUCCAAUAUCUCUACAACUCAUGUUCCUAACAGGACAUGAGGUACAUUAUCUUGUCAUUAUAUGGUCCAACUACAUGGGACUAUAUCACUACAAUACAUUAGGGAUCAUUGGAUCACAUCUUAAUCCUAAUCAAACUCUACAAUUGAACUACGUUAUUAAAGACUUGAUUUCAUCUCUCUUAUGGAUACAUAGACAACUAAGAAACAACUUAGUGCAGCCAUAAUCAAUCACCAAAACCGUAUUUUCCUUCAUCUUCAUCUUCUUCAAUACCUUAGAUCAUAACAUUAAGUGUUUCUUCUUGAUUUUACAUCAAAAUGGUGUGAAAUCCGGUUGAAACAUUAUUGUCUACAAGUUAUUCCUUAAGGUAUUAUCUUCGACAAAGGUUACACCUUUAUUGGUAUAGAUCAUGUUAUGAACAAAUCGCUUUCCCAACAAUUUGGUAUCAAGAGCUUUGGUUACAAUCUUGGCGAUUCAAGUUUGUUUUAAUUAAGGUUUUGAAGUUGUUGAAGAUAAAGGUGUUUGAAGAAAUUACUCAAAGAGUAUUUUGGAUAGUUGUUUGCUAGAAUGGAAUCAAGAGGUGGCAAAUAUGUAGGAAAGUAUGAGAUUGAGAAAUUCAAUGGAAAGAAUGAUUUUGGGUUUUGGCAAACUCAAAUCAAAUAUGUGUUGGUUGCACAAAAACUUCAUAAGACAUUGUUGGGUAAGAACAAGAAACCUGUAACGAUGACGGAGGAAGAGUUUGAUUACAUGGAUCUUGUAGUCAUUGUCGUUAUAUGUCUUUAUUUGGAUAAAGAGGUUGUGUAUAAUGUCAAAAAUAAAACUACCGCCACUGGUUUGUGGCUAAAACUUGAAUCUUUGUACAUGUGUAGUGACCCGACCUAUAUCACCAACGAUAUUGUCCCCACUUAACCACUGCGGACAUCCGACAGUGUGGGGUUUUAUGGGCAGCAGCCUGCUUCCCAGGAGGUCACCCAUCCUGAGACUACUCCCACCCGAGCAUGCUUAACUCCGAAGUUCUUUCGAACCCUGGAGCCAAGUGAGCCCAAAAGGCCUCGGUGAUUAUAUGACGGAUCUAUACCUAUAUUCCAAUGUCAGGACAUCCUUCUCUCACGUGCCGUAGGACACACCCCUCGGCAAACCACCUGCCAACCCGGGGUGUUACAAUCCUACCACCUUAGAGGAGAGUCGUCCUCGGCUCUGGAAUAUAUAGCCCCAGAUCUCCGACGUUCCCUGCCCCUCGCGAGACGAGUACCCGGCGCAACCGUCACCCCUUCCUGAGCUAGGCGCCUUUCCAACAUACUCUCCCACCCUCGAUAGGAGAACCGUCGUCGGCUCUGAUACCAUUUGUAGUGACCCGACCUAUAUCACCACCGAUAUUGUCCCCACUUAACCACUGCGGACAUCCGACAGUGUGGGGUUUUAUGGGCAGCAGCCUGCUUCCCAGGAGGUCACCCAUCCUGAGACUACUCCCACCCAAGCACGCUUAACUCUAGAGUUCUUUCGAACCCUGGAGCUAAGUGAGCCCAAAAGGCCUCGGUGAUUAUAUAUGACGGAUCUAUACCUAUAUUCCAAUGUCAGGACAUCCUCCUCUCACGUGCCGUAGGACACACCCCUCGGCAAACCACCUGCCGACCCGGGGUGUUACAACAUGACAAAGAAUGUAAUUAACAAGAUGCUUUGUAUGAAGGAACUCUACACCUUAAAGAUGGAAUACGACACUUCAAUGAGGGACCUUAUGGCUAAAUUCAACCGAGUAACGUCCGAUUUGAAGGGCUUGAAUAAAAAAGUUUGGUUCUCCAGUGGAGUCGAGGUGUUAGAGAUAACACGCAGUAUCAAGUCGCAAGUGAAUGUUUGUAAUUGAUAGGUUUGUAAAUCUUAUAACAUUAUAGUGGAUUGAUUUGUUGUCGAGAGUCAACCGUGGACGUUCCCUAUCUGGGUUUUACCCAUUAAACAUUGCAUGUUCUUUACUGUUUUUGUUACUUUCAUAUUUGUUUGAAAUUUGUGAUAGCAUUUGUUUGGGGAUUACAGUAUCACAUUAAGGCGGGGAAAUAUCAACUCCCACAUCUAAAAUUCUAUUACAAUGACAUUAGAUCAAAAUUAAAAAUGCAACAAUAUAUGGUAACUAGAAAUCUUAUCAACUUUUUUUUUGGGGUAUCCAACUCAACUCAACUCCAUGCAAAGCUAUGCUUCCCUGGGGUUUUUGAGAGAUUGACUUCAGAGUGUCUUAUGUGCGUACAUCAAGGUUCUCUGGUGGAGUCGAGGUGUUAGAGAUAACCUGCAGUAUCAACUCGCAAGUGAAUGUCAGUAGUUGAUAGGUUUAUAAAUCUUCUAACAUUAUGGUGGAUUGAUUUGUUGUCAAGAGAGACAACCGUGGAUGUUUCUCUGUUUGGAUUUUACCACGUUAAAACAUCGUGUCUUCUUUACUGUUUUUGUUACUUUCAUAUUUAUUUGAAAUUUGUUAUAGCAUUUGUUUGGGGAUUACAGUACAACAUUGCGGCAGGAAAAUAUCAUUUCCCAUAUCUAAAAUCCUUUUACCACAUUAGGUCAAACUUAAAAAUGCAACAAUGGUAACCAGAAAUCUUAUCAACUUUUUUUGGGGCAUCCAACUCAACUCAACUCCAUGCAAAGCUAUGCUUCCCUGGGGUUUUGUGCUUUUGGCAUAACUCCAUUUCAUUUAGUUCCCAUUUCAUCUGCAUUUCAAAUGAAAAAUAAUUGACAAGGAUACAAAAAGGUUGGACAUGAUAUCUUUCACACCUCAACAUAUUGCCAAGUAUUUUUUGGAUAUUAUAAUCAUUAAUAAUAAUUAUUUUUGAAUAUAUAAAUGUGGAGACAAAAAAACCACGUGCUUGCUUCCCUUAAUCAAACUGGACCGGUGGGCCCCCAACUAAUCAACCAGGAAGAAAACGACAUCCUUAUCUUACUAUCCAUUGAUUUUCCUCGAUCACAACACUAAAUAUAUAAAUCCAUUCAUUCAACCCAUCAUCAAUGACAUCAUCACUAAAAAGGUUUUCCAAUCAUCAAUGACAUCAUCAAUGACAUCCAUUGAUUAUCCACAAGUCUUUGUUCUAGUAUAUUACCACGUGGCAUUAAUGGGACCCACUUUAUUUAUCUGACGUGGAUAAUAAAAGAUCUUAUACUCUCUACCGUACACAUAGCUGUCUUGAGUACAGUUUCUCCUUCAUUUAAACGCGUGAUUUAGAUUAUAUGGACCCACUUGUCAUGUUUAUCUUGUUGACACGUGAUGCCUAUCUUGUUUUCUCGGUUAAAAGAAAGAGCACAAGUUUCAAAUCUACUUUCAUACUAUAGCAGAACGCUAGAAACUGCACAUAAAAAACAUUCUCUCACCUAAUUAACCAAAAUUGAUAAUCUAAUUGACAAGGAUUUCAAACCAAUUCCAAUAGCUAGAUUAGUAAUUUCACUUAUAAAUUUAGGUGCGCCUUAGAAGUAAUUUCACACCUAAAAAUAAUAAUGAUUGCUACAUUCCUACUAUCAAUCAAUCAUCAUCCCUUUCCUCUUUUAAGUAAAUAUUUUAAACCAACUGUAAAGCUACCCAUAAUGUUUGGAAAAAAAUUUGAGAUACCCCCAAUUCAAGAUGUGGUGUUAUCUUAGCCGUCCAUCAUAAUCCAUCAUAAAACUUACCUACGGCUGUAAAUCUCUUCUGUCUUGAAUUGGGGGUAUCUCAAAUUUUUUUUCAAAUGGGGGUAUCUCAAAUUUCGACUUUCAAAUGGGGGUAUGUCCAAAAAUCUCAUUUAUCAACUGCCGAGUUAAUUUGGAGUCGGUGCUAUCUGGGUUAAAGAGUUAAUGUUGAGUCAGCUCAUUUAAAAUACAGUGAUUUGUUUGGUUGGAAUUAGCGAUUUAUUUGUCGGCUCUAAAUAAAGUUGUUUAUAUCUUCAGAUCUUCAAUGCUUAUGUUUUUUGAAAAUCAUAUUUGUUUUUCGAAAACUUAAGAAUUAAAGUUCUAUAAUUUUAUCAUAAAAUUUUCCAUUGUAUAUUUUAUUUUUUAUUUAUUAUAAAAAAUUAUUUUAUUAAUAUAACAAUUAAUAAAAAAAAAUAAAAAGUGACACAAAAAAUCGAUGGUUCCAACCAGAACAGGUGGUUUCACUCGACUCGGAUGAUUCCAACUGAUUACUAAGAAUUGAUCGAUUAUUUUAAGAAUCGGGUUUUUGAAUUAAAAUCUGUGCUACCCGAUUCACUUUAUUAAAGGCAAGAUAUUUUUAUCAAUAAUUCAAAAGAAGACAGAGAUCUAUUAUUGUUUCUAGUCCUUUCCAUAAAUGUAACAGAUCCAGAAAGCUAGCUAGUGAGUGAAUAAUAGAAGUUGAAGAUUUCAACCUAUAUACAGUGAGUUAGUUGAAAAUUGAAAAACUUAUUAUUAAAUGUCACAUUAAUUGUCAUGCUCCCCGAAAUUGGUCAUUGUUGGAAUUAUAGAUUUUGCAUAAUCAUAGAUUUUAUUAUUUGAUUUUGCAUAAUCUUAAGUUAUUAUUUUAAGGAUGAGGCUAGAGUUAUAGAUUUUGCAUAAUCUUAAGUUAUUAUUUGAUGUAGCACGUGCGUGAAAUUUUAUUUUAGUUAUAUAUUUGUGUCUCAAUCAUAUAUUUAUUUCUUUGUACCCUAAAAGAAGCACAAGGGUCUAUUUUUAUUUAUUUUUUGUUAAACUAAAGUUAAAAAAGACGAUAACGAGUAACGACAACCAUAGGUGAAAAAAUAGAAAAUAUCGAGCGGAUAUUCACGAAUUUUUUCAGAUUUUGAAAAUUCUGAGCGGUAUGGCAUGCGAAUAAUAAACGAAAUAUAAACCUCCCCAUGCCGACCGGAUUUUUACAAAUAUUCGUAAAAUAUUCGAAAAGUACGAAAAUUACGAAAUUUUUGAAUUUGAAAUUAACACAUUUAUUUUUAAAUAUAAUUUCCACAUUUAUUUAAUACAAUUUUUUGAAUUUUUCAUGAAUAUCCGCGAAUAUUUUGAGCAAUAUUUCGCGAGAACCAUUUUGCCAAACCUCCUAAUUCCGACACUGGGGUCUGGAUAUUCGCGGAAUAUACCGAUUUUUCAACGGUCGGAUAUUCGAGUUUAUUCAAAAUUUUCACCUAUACCGACAACUAUAUAUAGAGGUAGGUAGGAUUGAUUUUUUCUAAAUCUUAUCAAAACCAGAGAUUUCAAGUGAUUUUAUUUUGUAUAUGUGGUUGUAAGAUAUAAUUUCUUAUUAAAUUAAAAUAAUGUUUAAAUAAAAACAUAUUUUAUUAAUUUUUUUUUUUUUUUUUUUGUUCAUGUAUUGGUGAGUUUGAUGAUGAAAAAUUGUUUUGAUUGUAUGACAAAAGGAUAGGUUGUGCACUGCAAUAUCUUAACUCAUUUAUUUCCCAAAAGAAAUAAGUUUCUUAUUUUGAUGAUUGUCUUUCAUUUCUCUAUUAUGGAUGUGAUUGGUAGUUGAUCUUCUUGUUUGGACAAUUUUCUUUCUAUAUGUAUUAUAAGGAUAAAUGUGAUUGUAACUACAAACUUAUUGUGUUCAAAAUGAUACAUGCUGAGUGGUUUGAUUCAUAUCUUUUCCCUUUUGUUGCUAAUCAGUAUUGUUAAGAGCCUUGGUUUGAAACAACCUCAUAUAAGCAGAUAAAAUUUCAUAACAUUAUAACAGACAGAAUUUUUUUGAGUUAGACUUACAGAGUCACAUGAGGCUCUUUCUUCAGUUUUUUUUCCCCAGCAAACAAACAACAACUAGUGUACACUGGUUGAAUUGGCAAAGUAACCACACAAGGUGAAACAACAAUUACAGCACCAGACUAGAACCCCAUGUCAUCUUGCUCAUUUCUGUCAUUGAGUUGAGCACAUCUUGGUGCAAAUUUACAUCUCAUGUAUUGAAAAAUGUCAUGACAUAGGAGAAAUCAGAAAUGUAAAUGUUCUUCUACAUGCAUGUCCACUAGUCUGAAAGAGAAAUAAUUAGAUUUAACAAAAUUUCAAUAUGUAUUUGGAAUUUGACUACCCUAUCAGUCACUUUUAAUUAGAUAAAGCUUUUAAUAUAAUUUAGAGAGUGAUUUCAUCCCAAAAAAUUAGUGUAGGAGGGGUUCUAGACUUCUAGCCUCUAGGGGGGCAAAAUAUAUUUUGGUUUGAUUGAAACAUAUUUUCCCAUAUAAAGAAACUUUAAUUUUGCAAUGAUUUUAGUUCAAUAUAUUACAGAAAUUCCAUACAAUAAAAUCGAAAGAAUUAUUCUCUAUCAACAGUUAUAUAUAUUGUCCAAUGAGUUAUGUUGAAUCAAACUAAGAGAAAUACAAUGAAAUCGUCCUUCAAUUUCUUCUUGUUUUCUUCUGUUCUUCUAUCCUUGGUCUUUCUCAAUGGUGUUAAGGGUGAUAUCAUUGCAGAUAUAUGCAAAUAGGUUUUUAGUGACGUUAUUGCAUCUAACUUCUGUGUAGAUACUCUUCAAGCAGACCCAGGCAGCAACACUGCUGAUGUUCGCGAGCUCUUAAACAUCUCAGUAAAAUUAGCCAAAGCUAAUAUAACAUAUGUGGAGUCCAAUAUUCAAAACCUUUUGAAACAACAGCAGUCAGAUGCUAGUAUGGAAACUUGUUUACGAAAGUGUUUGGAAAUGUAUUCCAUGGGAGAGUCUUUUAAGCAAGUUAGACCAGCAUUAGUGUCUCCAUUGUCGGCAAUGAAUGAUAUUUGUACUAAAGUGCUUAAUAUUGCUAAACAAAUAAGCACUUUGUUUUUAUGAUGAUCUUUGUUGUGAACAUUGCCCAUCAUGGUGAUGUUUAUUAUGACAAGGAUUUCAAUCCAAUUCCGAUAGCUAGAUUAGUAAUUUCACUUAUAAAUUUAGGUGCACCAUAGAAGUAAUUUCACACCUAAAAAUAAUAAUGAUUGCUACAUUCCUACUAUCAAUCAAUCAUCAUCCCUUUCCUCUUAAGUAAAUAUUUUAAACCAAUUGUAAAGCUACCCAUAAAUCCAUAAUGUCAUAAUUGAAAAAAAAAAAAAAUUAUUUUACUUUGUAAUGUUUCUUCCAUUAUUUGUUCAAAACAUACGUCAUUCUCAUAUGUCUCUCUCCCAUUAAAAGUGCAUAAUUCACAAAAAGUAAUAGCAUAAUUUUUGUUCAAAAGCUAUUAAAUCAUUCCCCAAAUAAUAUAUUUUUUGUUGUGCGCAGUUGUGCUAGUGUACGAAAUAUGACAAACAAAGUAGUAAAGAAGUAAAUCUACUUCGUAACGUCAAACAAUAGAGAUAGGCAUCAAUAUGACGUGGUUCGACUUGAUUGCCUACGUCCACGGACACACAAAUAGAACUUGUAGUAUUGCAGAAGAUACUAGCUAAAAAACUCUCAAACAAAUAGAGAAACCAAAGGUUUCCUCCAUUCUCAAAUUCUCAUCAAAUCUUUGAAAAAGACAAUCACUAAUUGAGGAUGCAAACGCUCUCACACUUUGGAUGGAGAGGACCCUAGAAAGCACUCGUGUUCUUCCUCACAAUGAAUUCUCUCUCAAACUCUCUAAUGGCUUUCAAUAGAUGUCUCACACAAUAAGUUAGGGUUUUCAACCUAAUUAGGCUUUAUAUCAUAGCCUUACAAGUAAAUUAGGUUUUCCAUGUCAUGGGCCCAAAUUGAGUCUAUUGCCACUUCACCAAAUAGUCCAUCCGAAAUCUCCAGCGGCAAUGCAUCUAUAAAAACUGUUGUUCAGCGAAAAUACCACUUACAAUUCCAUACUUGACAAAAUUUUCAGAAAUCUCCAGCGGCAAUGCAUACUGCAAAAAAACCUAUUAGAACUUCGGAGCUGGUUUGCCACCAAAAUACUUAUCUCCGGAGGACGUGCUAUAUAGCAUUGGAAAGCUGAGAGAGUCCUCGUACCAACCCAGAAAACAAAUCGACAUUUCGAUCACUGAGCAAAAUGUUAUGGCCAUCACAAUAUAUAUUGUCCAAACUGAAAAACCAACCAAUGAUUUUGUAUAUGUUUUGUGACGGGAUUCAAAAGUUUUUAAGAUUUCUGCUUACUAUAUACAAGAAAACACCCAUAAAGAAGUUUAAUAUCCAAAAUAACAUAAAUUUAUAUAAUUUAUAGGCAUAACUCAUAAUACUUGAUAUAUGUGUUGUGUCAACAAAUUGAUUUGACAUAUUGCUGAUAUGUUAAUACAUGGAUGAACUCUGGUGAUGAUAUGUUAAAUUAAUAUUAUUUUUCAUCAACCAGGUUGGUGCGGUAAAAAUAAAAAAAAUAAGUUAGAGUUGUUUUUGUGUGGUAAAAAUAAACAAAUAAUUAUAGCUGUACAAAUAGCAAAUAAAAAAAAUUCUACAGUAACGGUAGGAGAUUGUGUGGGGAUUUUUUUUUUAGGAAAGCAAAUUUCAAUUAACAACUUUAUUCAUAGGAAAAGAAAAUUUAUUGACGAAAAACUCAUGCUUGUGAGUUGUCGGUAGAGAUUUGUUUAGCAUGCUUGUGAGUUGUCAGUAGAGAUUUGUUUAGCAUGCUCGUGAGUUGUCAGUAGAGAUUUGGUGCAGAAGAAAAUUUUGGUGCAGAAGAAAAUAGUGAGACAUCUGGAUAACAUUAUCCCUUCCAUGCACUAAAAAUAAUAUUUAUCUUCUGUCUUCACUGAAUUCAAGUAAUGUACAAACAUUUAUCUGAUCUCUUCAGUAUUCCCCAUUUCACUCUAACUAACAUAAGGGUGGGGAGGGUAGCCUCAUUCUUUUCGCCAAAUAAUUUGUCGUCCUUUACUGAAAUUUAGAAAAGUAAUACAGAAGAUAAAUUCAGACAGUGGAUACAACCAAAGUUGCCAAACAAAGGACUCUUCCCAUAAUAAUGUUGUAGGUAGUGCAGAUGGUAUCUUAUUCAUGAACAUGAUAGGGCAGCUGAUAGGUGCUGCGAGACUUCAGAAUCCAAACCCCAAACAAAUCACAAUUUCACAUGCUCUUAUUUUAACAUGACAACACACUCAACAGUAAUAGCCUCGAUCUACAACCUCAAGAUCUUUUUUUUGACAAUACGAUAUCCGCAAACUAUCAUCUUACCAUCUGAAUCUCUUAGUAAAGUACCCACCGCAGCAGUUCUUGUAUUCUUGUUAAUACCACCAUCAAAGUUAAUCUUAUAAACACCCACAGAAGAGGUGAUCCAUUGUUCUAUAUUCUAGCUAAUCGCCUUAAACCUUUACUUAACAAAAUUAUUUCACCCUAUCAGAAUGUUUUUAUUAAAGGCAGAGCUAUCUCAAAUAAUACGUCUUUGGUCCAUGAAUUAUUUUAGAAAAUAAAAAAGAUGAAAAAAACGUAAACAGGGUUGGGUAGCUAUUAAGAUGGAUAUAUGGCUAAGGCUUAUGAUAGAGUGGAAUGGUAUUUUUUGAGAAAUAUUAAUUUCUUAAUAUAAAUUCCACUUAAUAAAUGAAAAAACAAAAACUUACUUUUAAAUUUGAAAAAAUCCAAUAUAAAUGAAGGAAGUAGAAGACAAAGAGAAUUAAGAUUUUGAUUUUCAACGAUAAAUUUUUUUACAAAUUGUUUCUCUUUUUGGUGUUCGGAUCGGAUCGGUUUUUUCUUUAGUAUUAUCCAAACCAAACCAAAACAAUAAUGUAUAUCAAAAAACCAUUUAAAGUGAUCCAUUAAUCCAAAUGGAUAUCCAAAAAUCUAAAAUAAUGGAUUGGAUCGGUUUUGGAUCGGUUUGGAUCUCGGAUCGGUUUGGAUAGUUGACAGGCCUAUAUGGGACAAGGAAAGGAAAGUCUUUAUAAGAGUUUUCCUUGUUACACAAGGAUAAUAAUUUUAGGAUAUAGGAAAUCUUUUUUCUUGGCUAACUACAAGUUGUCCAAAGCCUAUAAAUAUUGAUGUUUUGGCAUACAACAAAACAUAGACCAAGAUAUAGAGAAAUAACUAUUGAUUAGCUUGUUUACAGAAACUACUAAGGUUUAGUGCGUUUAGAAAUAUUGAGACAAAUAGGGUUUAGUUUGUCUAGAGAGUAUUAUGAGGCAGAGAUUCUUGUAAUCUUUAUAAUAUUCAGUAAAGAAGAUAGAUAUGGAUAUGUAGUAGAAGGGCUUGUAGAAGAAUCAACUAACAGUAGCGAGCAGAAGUGUUUCUUCUUGGAGAUAUUUUGCUGCAUUGAGAGGACCUGAACUAGACCAACUCAAGGUAUGUCGUUUACGUUAAACAUGAACGAACGAACUUAUUUGUUAAUUACGGUAAGAAUUUUCAUCAGUUGUUUUUUCUUUUUUUGUUUUUGACAUCUUUGGGAGUGAUUUGUAUGGUAGGCCAAGAAUUACAAAACGAUAUUUGUAAAAGAAUUCAUUCAGUCAUAUAACCCGGUUUAACACAUUUUCUACCUGGACAGUGCUAAGAACUAAAAUAUUUAGACUCUGUAAUAAGAAUAACAAUUUUCCUUUGGGGUUUUUACACUUUGGGACGCCUAAAUGAUACCCAUUUAAAAAAUAGGAUGUUUUUAAUUGAUAUUUAGAGUUUGGGGCACCUUCCGUGAGUUGACUGUUGUUUGCUUGUUAAAUUGUUUAAAAAAUAACAAUAUUACCCCCCCAUAUGUACAAAAUCGUUAAUAACAAAAUUGUUACAUGUGUCGUUAUAUCGUCCCUUGAUUCUAUCUUACGGUUGAUAAAUUCACACGUGUCGUUAUAUCAUCCUUUCUAAACUUUUUAAAAUUUUAGUUAUUAGAGAAGAAGACACUUAUGUUCAAUGAAAUUGAAGAAUAGGAGUUAUUCCACGGUAAUAUGAGUAUUUACAAAAUAUGAGUUAUUUGACUUAAGUGAACUGUUAGUCAUAACAGUCAACUGAUGAGAAGGUGCCCCAUACUCUAAAUACUAAUUAAAAGCGUCCCAUUACCUAAAAUCCUAAUAGACAUUAAUUAGGUGGACCAAAGUCCAAAAACCUUUUUCCUUGUGCAAGAAUAUGAAGGUACUUUCCUUCCCAAGGAUAAGCAAUGGCCCUUCUUCCUAAGAUUCUCUCUCAAUUCCUUUGGUAUCCAUCUCGGUUUGAGCACCCUAGCAAUUCAUAGUAAUCACUUGCAUAAAGCCCUACCACUAUAUUCCUCCACAAUGGUCCUCAUCAAGCUUUUCUUGUGAUUUCUGGCACUUGCUGUCAUGUUCUUUAUUUUCGUAACUUACAUACUUAAAUGUACAUUCUACUUCAAAGCCGUUCUACGAGUGUACUUUCAGCAUUUGCAUGUUAACUUCUUCUUUGCUCUUUGGAUUGUAUGUAUGUUCCUUACCAUCAGUGUACCUACUAUUAUAGAACCAGGGAGACUGCACCCUUCUAUAAGGUGCAUCUUCAUGCCACCUGUUUUCCUGCUCAAGCUCAAGAUCUAUGGCGAAUGGUAAUCUAGAGGAAAAAGGCGAAUGGUAAUCUAUGUCAUCACAUGUUGGUUUUUUUUUAUAUAUGUUCUUUGCAGGUGCAGAAAACGUUUCAAAAGCAGUUGGUUCUAACGGGUUUUGGAGACGUUCGAACGGAUCUGGGUUUUCAGGUGUAGUUAGUUCAAACGGAAUUUUGGAAUGUUCGAACGGAAAAAUACAACUCUCUGUUUGACAGGUUGGUUCGAACGGGAUUUUUGGGAGUUCGAACAGAUCGAUAUUUUUUGCUCAAUGGGCUUGAUUUAUGAGUUGGUUUUGCUUUGGUAAAAGCCCAAUUUCGAAUAGGCGUUGUGUAAGGCUAUGUUAUAAAGCCUAUAAAUAGGAAAACCUAGCGUAGGAAAAACUAGGUCAAGUGAGGCAUAAGUUUAGAUCUAAGUCUUCUUGAGACAGAUUUUCUUGAAGAAAGAAAAGUGAGGAAUAACUUGUUCUUGAGAGAUUUGAGAGUUUGUUUGUAAGGAGAAAGAGUCGAGUGAGUGCUCUUUGUAUCACCCUUUCUUCUUCUUCAUAAUGAAACUUUACCAUCUUGCCCCGUGGACGUAGGCUUAUGUUGAACCACGUUAAAUCUUGUGUUGUGGUGCUUGAAUUUUUUUAUCGUGUUUUACUUUCUAGUUACAUAUACUUAAUUGUUAUUGAUCUAGUAGUUAGUUCUUUAUAUUAUUUGUGUUGACCCCACUUAACAGGCUCAAGCCCAAGUCAAUUACAAGUCAAAGCCCAAGAUUAUAAUCAAUAAGAGCCUAAGCCCAAUUUAAUUAGUAAUAAGGCUUAGUCCCGUUACUGCAUUCAAUAUCAAUUAUGGGCUUUAUCUAUUUUAAGUUCAUUAUAUUCAAUAAGGUUAAUAUGGUAAUUGCACAUCUUUGUAGAGAUUUUCUUAACCUAAUCCAACUACAACUCCAAUAUCUAUUCAACUUUUAAUCUAAAUACAACUCCAAUAUCUCUACAACUCAUGUUCCUAACAGGACAUGAGGUACAUUAUCUUGUCAUUAUAUAGUUCAAAUACAUGGGACUAUAUCACUACAAUACAUUAGGGAUCAUUGGAUCACAUCCUAAUCCUAAUCAAACUCUACAAUUGAACUACGUUAUUAAAGACUUGAUUUCAUCUCUCUUAUGGAUACAUAGACAACUAAGAAGCAACUUAGUGCAGCCAUAAUCAAUCACCAAAACCGUAUUUUCCUUCAUCUUCAUCUUCUUCAAUACCUUAGAUCAUAACAUUAAGUGUUUCUUCUUGAUUUUACAUCAAAAUGAUGUGAAAUCCGGUUGAAACAUUAUUGUCUACAAGUUAUUCCUUAAGGUAUUAUCUUCGACAAAGGUUACACCUUUAUUGGUAUAGAUCAUGUUAUGAACAAAUCGCUUUCCCAACAAUUUGGUAUCAAGAGCUUUGGUUACAAUCUUGGCGAUUCAAGUUUGUUUUAAUUAAGGUUUUGAAGUUGUUGAAGAUAAAGGUGUUUGAAGAAAUUACUCAAAGAGUAUUUUGGAUAGAUCUUGUUGGGUAAGAACAAGAAACCUGUAACGAUGACUGAGGAAGAGUUUGAUUACAUGGAUCUUGAAGUCGUUGCCAUUAUAUCUUUAUUUGGAUAAAGAGGUUGUGUAUAAUGUCAAAAAUAAAACUACCGCCAUUGGUUUGUGGCUAAAACUUGAAUCUUUGUACAUGACAAAGAAUGUAAUGAACAAGAUGCUUUGUAAGAAGGAACUCUACACCUUAAAGAUGGAAUACGACGCUUCAAUGAGGGACCAUAUGGCUAAAUUCAACCGAGUAAGGUCCAAUUUGAAGGGCUUGAAUAAAAUAAUUUGGUUCUCCAGUGGAGUCGAGGUGUUAGAGAUAACACACAGUAUCAAGUCGCAAGUGAAUGUUUGUAAUUGAUAGGUUUGUAAAUCUAAUAACAUUAUAGUGGAUUGAUUUGUUGUCGAGUGUCAACCGUGGACGUUCCCUGUCUGGGUUUUACCAAUUAAACAUUGCAUGUUCUUUACUGUUUUUGUUACUUUCAUAUUUGUUUGAAAUUUGUGAUAGCAUUUGUUUGGGGAUUACAGUAUCACAUUAAGGCGGGGAAAUAUCAACUCCCACAUCUAAAAUCCUAUUACAAUGACAUUAGAUCAAAAUUAAAAAUGCAACAAUAUAUGGUAACUAGAAAUCUUAUCAACUUUUUUUGGGGGUAUCCAACUCAACUCAACUCCAUGCAAAGCUAUGCUUCCCUGGGGUUUUUGAGAGAUUGACUUCAGAGUGUCUUAUGUGCGUACAUCAAGGUUCUCUGGUGGAGUCGAGGUGUUAGAGAUAACCUGCAGUAUCAACUCGCAAGUGAAUGUCAGUAGUUGAUAGGUUUGUAAAUCUUCUAACAUUAUGGUGGAUUGAUUUGUUGUCAAGAGAGGCAACCGUGGAUGUUUCUCUGUUUGGAUUUUACCACGUUAAAACAUCGUGUCUUCUUUACUGUUUUUGUUACUUUCAUAUUUAUUUGAAAUUUGUUAUAGCAUUUGUUUGGGGAUUACAGUACAACAUUGCGGCAGGAAAAUAUCAUUUCCCAUAUCUAAAAUCCGUUUACCACAUUAGGACAAACUCAAAAAUGCAACAAUGGUAACUAGAAAUCUUAUCAACUUUUUUUGGGGGCAUCCAACUCAACUCAACUCCAUGCAAAGCUAUGCUUCCCUAGUAUUUUGGGCUUUUGGCAUAACUCCAUUUCAUUUAAUUCCCAUUUCAACUGCAUUUCAAAUGAACUACAGUAUUUGUCAAUUUCAUCAACAUUUCAUGUUCAUUUCUAACUUUUUUUUAAAAAAAAAGAAAAAAAAUUAUUUCUGCCCAUCAAACUAAGAAGUUCAUGACAUCUGUAUCAUAUUGUAAUAGUUACAGCAUUUUUUGCAUGUUGUACUAAAGAAAAUAAAUUCUUAUAAGGGAAAUGCUAGCUUACUGCAGAAGUGACCCUUGAGGGUUACUGUCUCACACAAUUCUGCCACAUGUACUACUGAAAAUGGGUUAAGGAAAGAGAAGGUUUAGGAGAGAGAAAGAGAAUCGGGAGGAGAGAAAAAAAAAUACCAGUAAAGAAAGAAAGAUCUCUUUUAGAUUUGAGAUUUUUCUAGAUGAUUAGAUUUUUUUCUUGAAUUGAUUUGUGGGAAUAUAGAAUUUAUUCCUAUGAAUAGAUUUGAUGUUUUCAAUUCGGAAGAAAGAAGAGAAGAUGAACAAAUUGUAAUUUAUUAAUCAAAACUACAACAUUUCUCUUUUAUCAAAGGUAAAUUGUUAAUUUGAUUAGAUUGGUUUCGAAGAGUUUAUGUAUUCAUCAAUGGCAAUACCUUAGUAAAACUAAAAUUGGAAGUCUACAUAAACUAUUUAAAGUUGCAGAUACAAAUUAGAGAGAUUGUAGUGUAAGUUUAUAACCGUGGAACAAGGUGUUGAUAUUGUAGAGAUAGAAGGUACCUUUUUCUGGUUUUUUUAUAUUUUUAUUUUUCUCCUUAUUUCUCUCUCUUUCUCUUUCUCUCUCUCUCUUUUAUUUUAACUCAAACCUUCUCUUCCCUUAGCCGGUUUCCUAUUAUGUACGUGGCAGUUUCUAGCUUGGCAGUAACCCUCGAGCGUCACCUCCGCAGUAACGCUAGCAUUUCUCUUCUUAUAAAGAGUUGGUAAGAUCUGAUGAAAAGCUAUUAAAACGACCAGAAGAUCUCUUGUAGCUUCAUUCCACCCAAAAACCAAAAUGGAGAGUAGUGUGAUAGUUUUAGCCUUGGCAUGCCUAGCAGCACUAUUAGCCUUUAUCUCAAAGAAAACCCAGAAUACCAAAAAGAGAAAUCCACCUGGUCCAAAACCAUGGCCUAUUAUUGGCAAUCUACAUCAGCUUCCUCCCCUCCCACAUAUUUCUCUUCACUUGUUAGCCAAAAAGUAUGGAGAAAUUAUGCAGGUAAAAUAUGGUUCUGGCACAGUUGUGGUUGCUUCAUCGCCCAAAAUGGCAGAAGAAUUUUUGAAAACACAUGAUAAUGUGUUUGCCUCUAGGCCUCCCUUGGCUUCUGGCAAAUACACUGGUUACAAUUUCCAAGACAUGACAUGGACACCUGCAGGACCUCAUUGGCGAAAAGCACGUAAAGUUUACCUAACGGAAAUAUUCACUCCCAAAAGGCUUAAUUCCUUUGAAUAUAUUCGUGUUGAGGAAAGACAAAGGUUCCUUUCUGGGCUUUACGCUAAGAGUGGAAAUCCAGUGUUGCUCAAAAACGAGAUCAGGCGAUAUACUCUCUCUAGUAUAAGCAGGGUGGUAUUAAGGGACAAGUACUUCAGUGACCAUAAAACUGACACUUCACUUGUGUCAAUAAGUGAAUUUCAUGAGAUGAUCGAUGAAUGGAUGGUGCUUAAUGGUGUAAUCAACAUUGGCGAUUGGAUACCAUGGCUGCGUGUCUUUGACCUCCAAGGAUAUGUUAAGCGAAUGAAAGUCUUAAGGGACAAGUUCGAUGCUUUUCACAACUAUGUAAUUGCUGACCACAUGGCUCAAAAGGAUUUAGCAGGCAAGAAUUUUGUUCCUAAAGAUAUGGUAGAUGUGUUAUUGCAGUUGUCUGAGGAUGAUACUGAUCCUGAGGUUAAGCUCUCUAUAGAAGCUGUCAAGGCAUUAGUCCAUGUUAGUAUUUUAUCAUCAUUUCACUCUCUAUCUAUUAUAAUCCUUACUUAUUUUAUUAGUACUGUAUAUAUGUGUAUAUAUAUAUAUAUAUGUCUGCAGAUUUUUUCAACAAAUUAACUUUUAUGUCGAUCUAAUUCACCUUUGCUUGUGUUUAGGACUUAAUGCCUGGUGGCACGGACACGUCUGGAACUACUAUGGAAUGGGCAAUUCAUGAAAUUCUUAGACAUCCCGACGUCCUUGCAAAGCUAAGGGAAGAACUUGACAAAGUAACUAAUGGUGGAGAAAGAUGGGUGCAAGAAGAUGAUUUCCCCCAAAUGCCUUACUUAGAAGCUAUUAUUAAGGAAACAUUAAGGUUACAUCCACUAUCACCUUUGUUGGCACCACAUUUUGCACUCGAGGAUUGCAAUGUAGCAGGUUAUGACAUAGCUAAAGGAACAACUGUCUUGAUAAAUACAUGGAGCAUAGGGAGGCACCCAGACCAUUGGGAGGAUCCUUAUGAAUUCAAGCCAGAAAGGUUUUUGCAGGGAAAGGAAAUCAGCAUGACAGGACAAGAUUUCACUCUGUUGCCAUUUGGCUCGGGCAGAAGAAAGUGUCCUGGCUACACUCUCGGACUUAGGCUUGUUCGAACAACAGUUGCUAACAUCUUCCAUGGUUUUAACUGGAAACUUCCAGAGGGAAUGAAAUCUGAAGAUAUAUGUAUGGUGGAGCGCUAUGGUCUGACUACCUGUCCUGAAGUCACCCUUAGUAUUAUCCCAGAGCCUCGACUUCCGAUCCACCUUUAUAAGUAAAAAAAUUGUAUUCCACUUUAUUUUGUCUUGUGUUUUUUUUUUUCUCGUGGGUGUCCAGCCCUUGGUUACUCUCAAGGGCCUUGGUUGGACAUUUGAAUGUUUUUGCUUUGUUUUGUUUUUGUUUGGUUAUUGUUUUAAAAAUAAAUAAAUCUGUCUUAAUAAAGAAAAAUGUCCUGCACAUCUACCAUUAUGGUAGUAAAUAAAUCUUGUUUUCUCGGUUAAAAGAAAGAGCACAAGUUUCAAAUCUACUUUCAUACUAUAGCAGAAUGCCAGAAACUGCGCAUAAGAAAUAUUCUCUCACCUAAUUAACCAAAAUUGAUAAUCUAAUUGACAAGGAUUUCAAUCCAAUUCCGAUAGCUAGAUUAGUAAUUUCACUUAUAAAUUUAGGUGCGCCAUAGAAGUAAUUUCACACCUAAAAAUAAUAAUGAUUGCUACAUUCCUACUAUCAAUCAAUCAUCAUCCCUUUCCUCUUAAGUAAAUAUUUUAAACCAAUGGUAAAGCUACCCAUAAAUCCAUAAUGUCAUAAUUGAAAAAAAAAAAAAAUUAUUUUAUUUUGUAAUGUUUCUACCAUUAUUUGUUCAAAACAUACGUCAUUCUCAUAUGUCUCUCUCCCAUUAAAAGUGCAUAAUUCACAAAAAGUAAUAGCAUAAUUUUUGUUCAAAAGCUAUUAAAUCAUUCCCCAAAUAAUAUAUUUUUUGUUGUGCACAGUCGUGCUAGUGUACGAAAUAUGACAAACAAAGUAGUAAAGAAGUAAACCUACUUCGCAACGUCAAACAAUAGAGAUAGGCAUCAAUAUGACGUGGUUAGACUUGAUUGCCUACGUCCACGGACACACAAAUAGAACUUGUAGUAUUGCAGAAGAUACUACCUACAAAACUCUCAAACAAAUAGAGAAACCAUAGGUUUUCUCCCUUCUCAAAUUCUCAUCAAAUCUUUGAAAAAGACAAUCACUAAUUGAGGAUGCAAACGCUCUCAUAGUUUGGAUGGAGAGGACCCUAGAAAGCACUCGUGUUCUUCCUCCCAAUGAAUUCUCUCUCAAACUCUCUAAUGGCUUUCAAUAGAUGUCUCACACAAUAAGUUAGGGUUCUCAACCUAAUUAGGCUUUAUAUCAUAGCCUUACAAGUAAAUUAGGUUUUCCAUGUCAUGGGCCCAAAUUGAGUCUAUUGCCACUUCACCAAAUAGUCCAUCCGAAAUCUCCAGCGGCAAUGCAUCUAUAAAAACGGUUGUUCAGCGAAAAUACCACUUACAAUUCCAUACUUGACAAAAUUUUCAGAAAUCUCCAGCGGCAAUGCAUACUGCAAAAAAACCUAUUAGAACUUCGGAGCUGGUUUGCCACCAAAAUACUUAUCUCUGGAGGACGUGCUAUAUAGCAUUGGAAAGCUGAGAGAGUCCUCGUACCAACCCAGAAAACAAAUCGACAUUUCGAUCACUGAGCAAAAAGUUAUGGCCAUCACAAUACAUAUUGUCCAAACUGAAAAACCAACCAAUGAUUUUUGUAUAUGUUUUGUGACGGGAUUCAAAAGUUUUUAACAUUUCUGCUUACUAUAUACAAGAAAACACCCAUAAAGAAGUUUAAUAUCCAAAAUAACAUAAAUUUAUAUAAUUUAUAGGCAUAACUCAUAAUACUUGUGAUGCAUAUGCAUAAAGAUACCAUGUGCAAGGCACAUGCCUCAUAGUUCCUGCAGAUUCCUAUAUGGAUUAGAACAUCCCUAGUAGUAGUUUCUAUUUACUUAGCUUUCUAGUGUAGUUAGGAUUAGGUUUAGGUUAUUAUAAAUAGGGGAUUGCAAACCCUAUUAAGUAGGUUAGAUUGAAGAUUUGUUUAUGUCUUGAGACAUUAAAUUCGUUUUUGUGAAGAACCCUAGUUUUUGGGUGUUCAAACCAUUUAUUUAAUUGGUGUUCUUAUUAUUGUUUGCUUCCACCGAUAGUAUUACACCAAAAUUGGUAUCAAGAGCUUGUUUUUUCUGGGUUUAGAAGAUAAAAACCUGAUUUUUAUUACAAGAGCCGCGUUCAUGUUGGUGAUUUGAAGAUGGGUUAUCGUAGAAGAGGUCAAAGAGAAUUUUCGUCGCCGCCGGAUCGCUGGAGUUUACAUGAAUCGAAGCGUUAUACCGAUUCUGAAUAUAAAGCUCCCAACUUUGAUCCUAGCCGCCGCUUUCCUCUUUCUAGAAGGUAUGAACCUCCCUCUUCCUCUCGUUCCCUUCUCCCCCACGCAGGCAACAUCAUAGUUAUUAUGACAAUGGAUAUUAUUCCCACCACCAGCAGGACACGCACCCUCCUCGAUGUGGUUUUCAACAACAAUAUGUUGCUUAUGGUGUUAAAUAUUCCCAUGGAAACCGUCCAAAGACUUAUGAUCACGAUGGUCUUCGUAGUCGCAAUUCUAAGGUUACUCCGUAUGGAGAAUACCCACACUAUAUUGAAUCUGAAAUCGAUUCUAAGAGCGAUGCCUUCAUGACGUCACCAAGCAUACAAAAAGAUUUGAAGCAACUUUUAAAUUGCUUUACUAAAUUAAAAAGUCAAUUUGCGUCUUUUAAGGAAGAAUUUGUUGAAGAAGAGAAACGACUUGACAAAGAAGCGGAGAUUAAUUUCUUACUCAACAUGUUUGAAGAAGAAAAAUACGUCACUCGUACUCGAAUUGGUGGUUUACAAAGUUACAAUCUUGUUGAUUUCUUUUCCGUUUUUGGUGAUGAUAGUGAUGAUACAUCUAGUUUUGUGUCUCUUGAGUUAGACGUUGCAUGUGUGGAUCAAGUAGAAGAUUUGAUUGAAAAAUCUGCAAGGGAGAUAAAUAAGAAGUUCUAUUUGUUGCCCAAGCAAGGAAACCUGGUUGUUGUCCAUGACAAUGGUAAAGAGGAUGAACGUUCUCAGAAUUUCGCUCAUCACUCCCAUGAAUCAAUGAAUUCCAUUGAUUCCGACCGACAAAUUGAUGAUUUUUAUCAUCCCCACAAAUUCCGUCCCAUAAAAGUAAUUGGUAAUUUGUUUGGCGGUUAUGUUGGCCUUAUCUAUUCCAAGAUGAGAAUGGAUUUUCUCCAUGGAAGGACAAACACCUUCAAUUCUUAUUUCUUGACAUGCGGCUAUAUUGCUUCAAUCAAUUGGGUUGUCCUAAUGAUGCACCUAUGACAUUAAUGUCCAUCAUUUUUUCUGCGAGCAACUAUCUGGGGAAGAUUCAUGGCCGGAUUUUCUGCACCAACGUAAGGUUGAGGUUGAUGUACAAGAGUGGUUUUGAACUUUGGAGGAUGUUAGUACACAAACUCGAGGACGAGUUUUUUUCAAGUUGGGGGGAUUUGAUGCAUAUGCAUAAAGAUACCAUGUGCAAGGCACAUACCUCAUAGUUCCUGCAGAUUCCUAUAUGGAUUAGAACAUCCCUAGUAGUAGUUUCUAUUUACUUAGCUUUCUAGUGUAGUUAGGAUUAGGUUUAGGUUAUUAUAAAUAGGGGAUUGCAAACCCUAUUAAGUAGGUUAGAUUGAAGAUUUGUUUAUGUCUUGAGACAUUAAAUUCGUUUUUGUGAAGAACCCUAGUUUUUGGGUGUUCAAACCAUUUAUUUAAUUGGUGUUCUUAUUAUUGUUUGCUUCCGCCGAUAAUAUUACAUCAACUUGAUAUAUGUGUUGUGUCAACAAAUUGAUUUGACAUAUUGCUGAUAUGUUAAUACAUGGAUGAACUCUGGUGAUGAUAUGUUAAAUUAAUAUUAUUUUUCAUCAACCAGGUUGAUGCGGUAAAAAUAAAAAAAUAAGUUAGAGUUGUUUUUGUGUGGUAAAAAUAAAAAAAUAAUUAUAGCUGUACAAAUAGCAAAUAAAAAAAAUUCUACAGUAACGGUUGGAGAUUGUGUGGGGAUUUUUUUUUAGGAAAGCAAAUUUCAAUUAACAACUUUAUUCAUAGGAAAAGAAAAUUUCUUGACGAAAAACUCAUGCUCGUGAGUUGUCAGUAGAGAUUUGUUUAGCAUGCUCGUGAGUUGUCAGUAGAGAUUUGUUUAGCAUGCUUGUGAGUUUUCAGUAGAGAUUUGUUUAGCAUGCUCGUGAGUUGUCAGUGGAGAUUUGUUUAGCUAGGAUUGCAGAUUGUAUUUUAAUGUAUAUAGUGAGUCUAUCCUGAUUCUGAGACAUGUGUUUGUGGUUUUUUUUAUUGUAAUAGAUUCUCUUUUUAUUAAGACAAGUUGUUGAACCCGUGCUACGCACCGGGAUUUGUGUUAUUCAAUAAAAUGGAAAUCACCAAACUUUUUUUAAUGUCCUUCUCAACCUAAAUUUGUAGAGAUUUUAUAAUGACUUUAUAAGUGAUUUGUUGAAUGAUGCCCUUCUUAACCUAAAUUUGUAGAGAUUUAUAAUUAAUAUUUUUUGUAUUUAGUAUGAUUUUUAUAUAUGAAUUAAGAAUUUUAAAUAGAAGAAGAAUUUAGUAGGAAAAAGAGAUUUAGAAUCAAGUUCUAAAGGGUUUUAAGGUUUCUAUAAAUCUCUGUUCACAUUGAAGGUGGAUUUCCUUUUUAACUACAACUGGGCUUCAAUUGGGUUGAAAGUUGGGCUUAAGUUCUAUUCUCAAGUUGUUGAGAACACGCCAUGUGGCACUUGUUAGGCUCCACUAUUAUAUAGUAUAUAGAUAUAGAUAACACAGAAAAUUUUGGUGCAGAAGAAAAUAGUGAGACAUCUGGAUAACAUUAUCCCUUCCAUGCACUAAAAAUAAUAUUUAUCUUCUGUCUUCACUGAAUUCAAGUAAUGUACAAACAUUUAUCUGAUCUCUUCAGUAUUCCCCAUUUCACUCUAACUAACAUAAGGGUGGGGAGGGUAGCCUCAUUCUUUUCGCCAAAUAAUUUGUCGUCCUUUACUGAAAUUUAGAAAAGUAAUACAGAAGAUAAAUUCAGACAGUGGAUACAACCAAAGUUGCCAAACAAAGGACUCUUCCCAUAAUAAUGUUGUAGGUAGUGCAGAUGGUAUCUUAUUCAUGAACAUGAUAGGGCAGCUGAUAGGUGCUGCGAGACUUCAGAAUCCAAACCCCAAACAAAUCACAAUUUCACAUGCUCUUAUUUUAACAUGACAACACACUCAACAGUAAUAGCCUCGAUCUACAACCUCAAGAUCUUUUUUUUGACAAUACGAUAUCCGCAAACUAUCAUCUUACCAUCUGAAUCUCUUAGUAAAGUACCCACCGCAGCAGUUCUUGUAUUCUUGUUAAUACCACCAUCAAAGUUAAUCUUAUAAACACCCACAGAAGAGGUGAUCCAUUGUUCUAUAUUCUAGCUAAUCGCCUUAAACCUUUACUUAACAAAAUUAUUUCACCUUAUCAGAGUGUUUUUAUUAAAGGCAGAGCUAUCUCAGAUAAUACGUCUUUGGUCCAUGAAUUAUUUUAGAAAAUAAAAAAGAUGAAAAAAUGUAAACAUGGUUGGGUAGCUAUUAAGAUGGAUAUAUGGCUAAGGCUUAUGAUAGAGUGGAAUGGUAUUUUUUGAGAAAUAUUAAUUUCUUAAUAUAAAUUCCACUUAAUUAUAAUUUCUUAAUAACAAUUCCACUUAAUUACGAUUUCUUAAUAGCAAUAUAAGAUAUUUUGUAAACUAACUUGUUGUCAAAAAAAAAAUGACUAAUUAUUAAUGUGAUUGUUUGACGGGACUAAUCCAUAAUGCCCAUCUAUAUCUGCAUAUCUAUAUAUUAAUAAACCCAUGUAGUCUCACAUUUUCUCUCCUAGGUGGGAUCCUAAAUGAUCUCCAAGCUUUCAUAAAUUUUCAUAUUUGUUUUAAAUAAAAAUAACAUAAUUAGUUACUUUAAUAGCUUUAUAGCUAGUUUUUGUUUUUCUCUAAAUUUCUUCUCAUUUUUCACUAAAACAAAAAUCUCUACACUUUUUAUCAACUCUCUCACUAAGCACAAACCUCUCAAAUUAAAAUCAAAACACAAAAAUAAUCAAAACAUAAAUUAAUCAAACAUAAGUAUUACGGGGUGUCUAAUAAAGCUCUUUCUCAUACCCCCAAUGCAUAGCACGAGUUUCUCAACUUAUUUAUAUAUCUAUAUAAUAGCUAGACCCAGUGGGUCCCACACUCUCUCUUCUAUGUGGCACUCUAUAUGAUCAUCAAGCUCUCACAAAUUUUCUCCAAUAAAACAAAUUAAAAAAAAUAAAAUUAUACUAAUUGGUUCUAUAACUAAAUUUUUUCCAUUUCUCACUACACCCAAAAAAACUCUACCCACUUUCUUUACUCUCCUAAUAAAGUAUAAACACAAAUAUUUCAAUGCAAUUAAAAUCAAAACAACAAAUAUAUUCAAAACACAAAUUAAUCAAAUAUAACCAAAUAUAAUAAUUUAUUAUAUAUACAUAGGAGAGAGAAUGUGGGACCCUAUAUAUCUAUAUAAUAGCUAGACCCAAUGGGUCCCACACUCUUUUUCCUAUGUGGCACUCUAUAUGAUCAUCAAGCUCUCACAAAUUUUCUCACAUAAAUCAAAUAAAAAUAAAAAAAUUAUACUAAUUGGUUAUAUAACUAAAUUUUGUAUUUCUCUACACUUCUCCCCAUUUCCCACUAAACCCAAAAAAUCUCUAUCCACUUUCUCUACUCUCCUGAUAAAGUAUAAACAUAAAUAUUUCAAUAAAAAUAAAAUCAAAACAACAAAUAUAUUCAGAACACAAAUUAAUCAAAUAUAAUUAAAUAUAACCAACUAUAAUAAUUUAUUAUAUUUACAUAUAAAUAAAAAAAAUAGUACAGAUAAAUUUAAUAUUUUAUAAAUUUAAAAUUUAUAAAAAAUUUCUCUUACAAAAUCUCGAAUCCUGGUGCGUAGCACGGGUCCACAACUAGUUGCUUAAUAGCAAUUAAGAUGGCAAUCAUUUCAAGUCUAUCAAUUAUUGCAUUGGUAGGACUGAUGAUCGAUAGCAAUGCUGAUCAGACCAACGAUAUUUUUGUGAAUUGAUUCGAGCUUGGUGUUUCAACGAGAGUAAAGAAGCAAGGGAUCCAUAGAAGAAGUACAGUCAGGAUUUCCUUGGACAAUAAUUAGCAUUGAAAUUGAAAAAAGAAGAGUAGGCUGAAGAAGCAUGAGCAUGAAGAAUCUCACACAAACUGCUUGGAAAUCAAAACAAAUUCCUAACAAAGACUGGCAUUAUAUUUGCAUGUGAUUGUGUUCUGAUACUUAUAAAUAGAGAAGCAUAACAUGGCUUAUUUAGUAGUUCAUACUGAGCAGAGUUGGUGUUUGAAUAUGAGAAUUGGAUGGGAGCAAACCCUUCUCCAUUUUAUGGUAAACAGAGGGUUUGGUUUCCUCCAAUAUCUCAUCUUCAACAAUUUCAACUACAGUAUAUAUAUUUUUCAAUUAAUAAUCCAUUCUGAGGCUAGAUUUGAAAGUGAGAGUUGGAUGGAACUAAAUCCUUUUGUCCUCUAUGGUAGAAAAGGGUUUAGUUUCCUCCAAUAUCUCACCUUCAAUAGUUUCAAUUACAGUUUGCUUGGCAGUUCACCAUGAGACUAGAUUGAAUGUGAUGUUGGAAUUUCCACAUAUAAAGCCCAACCCAUAAUGUGGUCCAUGUACCUUUAACCUUGGUUUAAUAUAGAAAUAAGCUAACUAGUAAUAGGUUAUGUGGAAGUCAUAUCUACCGUAGAUCUUAACUAUGAUGGACGGUCUAGAUCUAAUGGGCUUAAGUUUGUAGAUUUAGGUCCUCCCUCCACCUCUAUAAAUUGGUGUAUGAUCUCCAUCCUCAUACACUUACUAUUACAACACAUAUUAAGGUUUUAAAGGCAAGGAGAGAGAAACCUAGAUCUUGUGCAACUUCUCAAAUCAUCAAUAGCUAUGGACAAAGGUAUGUGUAGUGAUUAAUUAUAUGAUUCAUGAUCCUUAUUGUUUAUCAAUAAUAUUAUUAUGUUUAUAUGUGGUAUCAGUCGCCAAUAUGAAUCAUAUUAUUAGUUCUAUCAUCCUCAUUUAAUUUAAUACUGUUUAUUAUGAUUCCGCAUUAAAGAAAACAGUAAUUCUUAUUUUUAUGGUUGAUGUUUCGUAUGAUUAAGAUGAUAUUCCUUGUGAUUAAAUACGGUAGUAUUUCUUUCCGUUAUAAAUUACAUCAAGAUUAGCGUUAGUAUGCUUUUGGACUCAUAAAUUUUUGACUGUACGUGAUCACUAAUUAAUUGAUAUGGGACCUUUGGGUAUUAUGAACACUUAUGAAUUUUUGGUUAAUGGUUGGCAGUAAUAUAUAUGGUGUUAUGGUGCAUGAAUUCUCGAUGCAUGAUUAGUUGGAUAAUAAGGACAGAACAACCUCAACAAAGUUUUGUUUAAUGCAAUAUAUGGUUUUAGCUGCUUCUUCUAGAAUUAAUUCAUGAUUAUUAUGAUUACUGUUUGAAGCUAGCAGGAUUACUGUCAUUAAUUAUAACAUCAUGUUUCGUCCAGUAGUGACUUUGUUAAUCUUGUUGGGUUAUGGUUUUGGUGUGUACUGCAAUAUAAGUCCAAUUGUGGGCUUGAUUGCUAGCCUAAUAUAAUGCUUUGUAGUCCCAAAAUUGAUUGAUAUUAGCAUGUCUGGUAGUACCCCUUCUAAGUAACGUAUAAUCCUUAUUAAUCUGGACUUUCUUUACUAGCUGAAGUUUAAUGUUAAUCCGUAGAAUGUUAAAUUCUUAUGUAACCCGGUUCCAAAGACCCCAUUCAUUCUUACUGGCUAAAGUUUAAUGUUUUUUUUUUUUGGAUAAUUUUCCUACUUCGAUUACUGCCAUAGCACACAUCUUUCCAAAGGAGAUGAUAAUCUGGUAUAUCAUUCUUUGGGUUUUGGGCCUUACUGUUACAACCCAUAUUAAGUAUUUUUGGUCCUAUAGUAUACUAUUACUUUGGGUUUUUGUGCCUCACUUAGUGACAAGAACCCAACCAAUUGUAUUAUGAUGAUGUAUUUUACUGAUUAAAUAUUGUGCAAAAUUAUAAUGGUCAUAUUUAUAACAAGAAACGCAUUGGUAUUCACAGUAGUGGUUCCAACUAAAGUGUUAUCAAAAUUGUUUUUUCUUAUUCAAUAUUCGUGUUAAGGUUUUUAUUGGUAUUCACCACAGUGAAACCAAGUAUGUUUAUGAAUAUUGAUUUUUAUGAAUAUACCAUAAAGUAAAACUGAACCAAUUUUUGUUUUGGAUUUAACGCUUUGUCCAUUAGUGUUUUGGUAGUUUGGUAUUUUCAAUUACUCUUUGCACAAGAUUUUCGAAUUAAUGUUUGCAUAAGCCUUACAAUCACAACCCAUAGUUAAUGUGUUUGGGACUUACAGUUAGAUUUUUUUUUUGUAAUAGUUUAUAUUAUAAUGUCAUUUACUUCUAUGCCUAAUUCAUACUUGUAUGCUUAUGAUUAUUUUUUCGUUUUAAGACCCAUAUUAUGCAUGUGCGCUAGUUGAAUUUAUUAGAUUGUGCACUUCUUAUGAUUAAGAUGCAUUAUGAUAUUUUGAUCUUGUAGCAUUUAUUCGGCUGCAUGUUUAUUCCCUUAAGAUUCAUAUCAUCAUGAUUUGGUAUCACCACAGUGAACCAAUUACGAUUAUUGACAUUGUUUCCUGUUUUAUAUUCAUAUCAAGUUUUCUAUUGGUAUCCAUUGCAGUGAUUCCAAUAUGUUUAAUGAAUAUUAAAACUUCCUUGACCAUUCAUAUUAUGAUUUGGUUUUCACCACAGUGAACUAAAUAUUGUGUUGAAUGUUAGGCUAAGUACCUUAUUGCCUAUUUAUUCACUUGCAUUAUUGAGCUACCCACAGGUAGAUCAAACAUAUGUUACAUUGGAUAAACUUAAGGGGUUGCACGUAUUUGUGAUUAAAUGAGUGUAGGAUAUCCACAGAUACCAUGCUUAUUUUGAUCAUGUGAUAUGUCACCCAUUUAUAGUAUUACUAAAAAUCUUAGUCAUAUUUGUUUAAUUAAUGUGUUGACUAAUGUUGUGAGCAUGCUUAUUCUUCAAGUUCUAUUAUUCUUAUAUUUUGUAUGUUUUUAUCCUUAAGAAGACUAAUGUAAUGAACUAGAAUGAAUAAGUCUAGUUGAUUUUAGUGGGAGUUCUAGCUCUUGGCAUAUGUUUCCUUAUUGUUGAAUCUACUGUUAUUUUUUAUAAAAAUAGUAAAAAGGAGAAAAUUAUGCAUUAUGCAUGAACUCGAUUGAACAUGCAAAUUAAACUCAAUGUUUAUGUGAAUAAUUGUUGAUGAAUAAUAUUAAGAAUCAUUUUGCACUGCUAGCUGAAAAGUUAAUUGUUGAACUGAUUACUAUUGAUAGUACUCAUAUAUAGUAUGCAUGAUUGUAUCCUUGAGUUUUCCAAUUUAGUUGUUAAAUCAAAGAAUUUUGGCAUGUUAGUGGAUGAUUACUUUGUCCUCCAAUUUGUUCUAAAUUUCUUGUCUACAUAGUAUGUUUAGUUUCACUAUUACACUAUUAAAGACAAGUGGAAUGUGAAUUAAAUGGCGAGACUACCAGUUCAAGUAUAGGCAAGACUUAAAUAACAUUAUAAUCAUGUCACUCAAGCUUAAUUCAUGUUUCAAGGAGUUGAAUGAACAAUUCUCUAAUUGUGUUUGGAUAUACAUUAUGUGUGUGCCAAUGCCAUUUAUGUGAAUAUGGCGUUUGUUUGAUAUAAAAGGUAAGCUUUUGGUUUUAGUAUGUUUCGAUCAAACUUAAUUGGUAUUCCUAAUACUUAGUGAAUUGAUUAUGAUUAAUGUUUAUCUUUCUUGUGGCAUAAAAGACUGGAUUAUACAUCUAGAUGAAAAAUAGACUAGUAAAAGAAAGGGUUUUCCCGAAUCUUGACUUCACUAAUUUUGGUGUAUGUGGAUUGCAUUAAGUUAAGCAAACCAAACACACUAAAAAGAGCCAUAAGAAGUAAGCUUCUUGAAAUAAUUCAAAUAGACAUAUGUGGACUUUUGAUGUUCCAUCUUUUGGUGGAGAAAGGUAUUUCAUUACCUUUAUUGAUGAUUUUUCUUGUUACUAUAACUAUCUAUUGCAUGAUAAGUCUCACAUGUAAAUGUUGUUUAAAUUUACAUAACUGAAAUUAAGAGACAAUUAGAUAGAAAGGUGAAAAUUUAUGUUCCGAUAGAGGUGGUGAAUUUCUUGGAACGUAUGAUGACACGGGACAACAUCCCGGUUCUUUUGCCAAACUUCUAGAACGGUUAGGAAUUUAUGCCUAAUACACAAUGUCUGGUUCUCCAUGACAGAAUAGUGUAGCUCAAAGGCAUAAUCAAACUCUUAUGGAUAUGGUUUGAAGCAUGAUGAGUAAUUCUAACUUACCCAUAUCAUUUUGGAUGUAUACUUUAUGAACUAUAGUGUAUAUAUUGAAUUAGGUUCCUAGUAAGACAGUUACAAAGACAUUUUUUUUUUGAACUGUGAAAAAGUUGGAAACCUAGUUCAAGACAUUUACACAUUUAGGGUUUAUCCAAAAAAAAAAAUCCAAAGUGUAUAGAUUUUACUAUCCUAACCAUACCGGCCACUAAAAUUAUUGAAACUGGAAAUUAUUGAUUCGUUAUGAACGACAAAAUAAGUGGGACUGAUCAUAUCAAAGAGGUAAUCAUUAAAGAAAUUAUGGUACCAAUUUUGUUACCUCAAUUUUGUAAUGAUAUUAUUGUUACUUCUGUUGUUGCACCGCUUAACAACAAUAAACAACAAGUUGAUCCUCAACCACUUAAUGAAAUUAAUGUCAUUGAAUUGAAUGUAAACACACACAAGAAGUAGCAUUCACUACACCAUAACAAGCGAUUUGCAAUGGUAAUAUGGCAUUGCAAAUUUUAUUUGCAACGCCUUUCUACCGUUGCAACUACGGCGUUACAAAUAACGUUGCAAAUAUUUGCAACGGUUUAUUGGCGUUGCUAGUUUUGUAUUUGCAACGGUUUAUUGCUGUUGCUUUUUCCAAUAAUUGCAACGCCCAUAGUGGGUUGCAAAUGUUUUAUUUUGCAACGGUCAUUGUCGUUGCAUAACUGUUUUGUAAUUGAUAAAUAUUUGAAAUUGCAACUCCUGUAGACGUUGCAAAUGUUUGUAAUAACGGUAACCUGGUACUUUGCAACAUGUAUUUGCAACGCCUUAUAGGCGUUGCAACCUAUAAAAAAAAAAAAAAAAAAAAUUGCUAUUAUCCGUUAAUGGCGUUACAACUACGGCUAUGUUUGGUUUCCCAUUCUCUGUUUAAACUCAAUGAGACACUACAACAAUAGUAGUGCUAAGACCAACUAAAGCAAUAGAAAAAGAUAGUUUUCCUCCAAUUGUUCUAAUGCUUUUUAUACACAACACUUAUAGCUAUUCUCACACUAAACACAAUCGAGAUUCUUAUUUCGCUUAUCUAAGCAUUUGGUGUGAAAUAUUCAAGUUCAUACACCAAUUAUCACCGUAUUCAAGAAAAAAGGUUCAAACCUUGAGAGCAUUCUAAAUAAGCAGGACUCCGAUUUUCUGGUCAAAAUUUGCAGUUUGUAGCUUGUCCAGGUCCUUUGAUGCAUAAAGUAAGGCAACACCACCACCUGCAGAUGGAAGACUUUUAUAAACAUGCUUUCGAUACCCAAGUAAUUUAACAAUGAGUGGCAUGGUCAUCCUAUAAUAAGUUUACCAGGUACGAUUCCAUCCUCAACAGCUGCCUUGGUUGCAUUCAGAGCAUCAGUAACUCUGUCAUUUUUCUCCCCUACUUCAGUUUCACUAGCACCUCCAAUCUGCAACAAAACACAUACCAAACAUCCAUUAUUUUGUAAGUAAAUGAAGUUGCAGUAAUGGUUAGCUAUCUCAGGUAUUGAACAAAAACAUUCUAAAUUCAACAACAUUAAAGUCAGAGAGAUUAUAUUGUCAAUGAUUAAAAAAACAGCCACAUUUUGUUCAGAAUGGGACCAAACCUUCAACACGGCAACACCUCCAGAAAGCUUAGCGAGUCUCUCUUGCAACUUCUCUUUGUCAUAAUCAGAAGUGCUUGAUUCGAUAGCAGACCGUAUCUGUACAAUGGUUACAGGGCGUUACUGCUAUAUGUUAUCAUGCACUUAUAAACCCAUACUGAAUGAAUUAUCCAUUAGCCACAAAUAUUUUGGAGAAAACUAACACAAACCUAUUCACAUCUUUCUUCAAGAUCUUUCUUGUCACCAGCCCCAUCAAGAACCAGUGUCAUCCUUGGAUAUUGUUACCUACAAAUUCAUGUACAUAUAACUCAAAAACUAACCCGGAGAGGAAAAAUUAUCAACACAUGAAGAAUAUAGACGUAGCUAUAAAAAUUCAAGAUGUAAGCUCUGGAUUUUUCGCACUUACUUUUUUACAGCACAUAGCAAAGUAUUACGUAAACGUUACUUUCUCGCAUUUUUAGUUGCAUCACCAAAGCUUUUCAACAAGUUGGGAUAACAUUGAUAAUUUGUAACAAAUUUUAAACAUUUUACUUUAAAAAUUAACUAUGGUAACGUGUGGGAGGCUGGCCCCCAAUUUGCUCAAUAUGUGAUGGCAUGAAGCGGCCACUGGCCACAUUACCCACAGCAGUGCAGCCAUGGUGGAUCUACAACAAUGUACAUGUCCAAGAUAUCAACAACAAAAUUUCAUCUGUAUCGAAGGCUCUUAAACACGUAAAAAAGCAUAACACAUCAAAUAUAUCAUAUAAGCAUCACAAAACAGCUACAGAAUUUUACCAUAUAAGGCAUCUCCUUUUUCAGCAUGAUCAAAUUCAGAUAAGGGCAUCACUAUAGACUGUAGCUUCACUCUCCCUCCUCGCUUGUUCUAAACAGCAACAAAACAGCAAAAUCAGGGAUUGAACAUGACACAUAAUAUUUACAAGUCCUAGCACAUUGUUAGGUAAGCUAGGUAAAUAGUGAACAAGGGCAUUAGUCAAUCACCUGAUACUCCAUAAAUUUUUCUGCGUGACCCCUUUCUUCUUCGCUGGCCUCCUUGAAGAACCUGAUUCAAACAACACCAUACAUUAAGCUAAAAAACUCAGAACAAACAUCUAAUAAAAAAUGCCCAUAAGGUAGUUGAGGGGUUAUAUCUUACUUAGCAAGUCCCUUAAGCGCAACAUUAUCCCUAUCGAAGUAGGCAUACAAGGCAUGAUACACAUAUGACACAUUGUAUUCCACACUGCAAUUUCAAAAACAAAGACAUAAGAUUCAAUAAACAAUAAUAAAACCCCUUAUAUUAACCAUUCCAACAAAUAAAAGAACCCCAGAUUCAAAUAAAUAAAAAUACCCAACAAAGAAAUCGAAAAAACAAAGAAAACCCAACAUAGAUGGAAUUAAAUAGACUAGAAAAAAAAACAAAAUAACAGAAAAGAAAAAGACAAAAACAAAAUAACAGAAAAGAAAAGGACAGAAACAAAAACACAGGAAUCUAUUAAAUAGAAACAAAAUUGAUAUUUGAAUGUUACCCCAUCAAUCUCACACAAACAACAAUUCAAGAUACAAAAUUGAAUAGAAAUUUUGCGUUAAAUUACUAUUAUCCAUCUCACACAAACAACAUCUCAAGAAAAAAAAACAUAGAAUAGACAAAGGAAGAGAGGCAGAAAAGAGAUUUACCGUGAUUGGAGCGACGAUUGAAAACACACAGCAGCAGCAGCGCGCGGAUGAGUAAGAGGUUGCAGAGGCAGUGAUGGAAAUUUCAAAAGAAAAAAAAAGAAGAAGGAGAAGCAGUGAUUGAAUUGUUGUUUGGGUGAGAAGAAUUGAAAUUGUUGUUUGUAUGAAAAGAAGAAAUUAUCGAGUUUCAAUUCGAGUUGGGAAGGAGAAGAAAGACCGAGGCAGGAGAUGAGUUUUAAAGAGAAAGAGAUUGAGUUUAACUCGAUCUUAAGUUCCUAAUUGUUUCUAAUUUGCAACGCUGCACGUGCUAAACCGUGCCGCGUUACAUUUUCUGUUUCGGUUACCUAUAUAUUUUGCAACGACUACUGUGGGUUUCAAACAUAAUACCAACAUAUAAGAAAAUCAUAUUUCGAAAAAAUAUAUUUGCAACGGCAUUAAGGUGUUGCAAAUUUGCAAUGCUAAAUAACCAUUGCAAAUUGAAAAAAGCCUAGUUGCAAAUUUGUUGUUUUGGUGUAGUGAUUAAAAAGAUCUUAAAGAUCACGACCAACUACUUUGGAUGACCACGUGUUGUAUUUACAAGAAUUUGAAUUUAAUGAUCUAGUUACAUUUUCACAAGCCAUUACUUAUAGUUCUGAUAAAAAGAUUCAUGCCAUGAAUGAAGAGAUAAAUUAAGUGUGGAUUUUAACUAAGUCUGGGGUUAGUAGAAUUGACUCAAAAGGUUCUAUUGAAUGCCAUAAAACAAGACUUAUAUCAAAACAGUUUACUCAAUAUGGUGGCAUUACUUUCUCGUGCGUGAAACCUUCACUUAUGUGUUAAAGAAGAAUUAUCUUAGAAUCAUUAUGGCAUUGGUGACUCAUUUCGAUUUAGAGUUACACCAAAUAAAUGUGAAAAUGAUAUUUUGAAUGAAAAUUUGGAUAAAGUCUACAUGGUUUAAUUAGCCACACAACUUCAUAAAGGAAGAACAAGAACACAUAAUCUAUUUGUUAAAGAAGUCAAUAUACAGACUUAAAACAAGCUUCUCGAAAAUGGUACCUAAUGAUUAAUAGUAUCAAACGUUUGAGUUUAAUGUACAUACCCAAAGUUCAGUGGGAGUAAGUUUAUUAUUUUGAUUAUGUAUGUUGAUGAUUUAUUGUUUCACAGCAGUGAUUUUCGUUUAUGUAAACAUUUUUUUUCUGUCUAAACACUUUGCAAUGAAAGUUAUGGUGAUGUGUCAUAUGUGAUAGAAAUAAAAAUAUUUCGGGAUUUAUCACAAUAAUUGUUGGAACGUCUCAGAAAGAUUUCAUUAAUAAAGUUUUGGAUAGAUUUAAUGUGUUAAGGCAUAAUUGUAAUGAUGUUCCAAUUCAGAUGGGGGAAUAUUUGAAUUAAAUCAAGAUCCUAUGAAUGAAUUGGAACAAGAACGAAUGAAAGAGAAACCGUAUUCUCAUAUUUUAAGAGAUUUAAUCACCUUGAGGUGAUUGGUUUUACAAAUUCGAAAUUUAAUGGGUGUGUGGAUAGUCGAUAAAACAUUAUUGUUUCACCCACCAUAGAAGCCGAAUUUGUAGCAUGUUGUAAAAUAACUACAUGCAAUGUUGUAUAGUUGCAAAACUUUAUAUCAUGUCUUAGAGUUAUUAAUUUCUAAGUCGUUUGAAUUUUAUUGUAAUAAUGUUGCAACUAUAUGCCUUUGUAAGAAUGAUAGGUAUUCUAAUGUUUAGCACAUGAUAUAAAAUACCUAUCGAUUAUGGCUUAAGUUUAGAACAAGUGAGUGUCAAUGGAACACAUUAGUACACGUGUUAGUAAAUCCACUAACUUAAGAACUAGAAAUAAUGAUAUUUUAGAAUCAUGUUAACAAGUUGGGUUUUGAAUGUAACCCAUAACUUAAUGAUUUUGUGGAUUACUUAGUGCUUAUUAUUUGACAUUAUUUUGAGCUCAUUAUUAUUGAUUAAGUUCUGAAUUUUCUGUUUUCCAUUGUUUAUGUACAUGUAUGUGAAUGGAUAAUUGUUGACAGAAAUAGUCUUUUGCGAAGACAUUACUGGACCAUUAUUGUUACUUCCGCUUAUAGACCUAGUUAAUUAAAUUGUUGAUAUCGUAGUACAUGGAAGGAACCAUGUCAUUUAUGCGAUGUGGAACCGCCAUGACUCAUAUUAGUGGUUUAAUUAAUGACGGUAUUAUGAUAACCAUUUCGGAAACUAAUUUUGCUCUUAUUGCGCGCUUUAUGUAUUCUACAUUAAACCGCAUGUGAGAUUUUACUAUAGACCAAGUGGGAGACUGUUGGAAUUUCCACAUAUAAAGCCCAACCCAUAAUGUGGUCCAUGUACCUUUAACCUUGGUUUAAUAUAGAAAUAAGCUAAUUCGUAAUAGGUUAUGUGGAAGUCAUAUCUACCGUAGAUCUUAACUAUGAUGGACGGUCUAGAUCUAAUGGGCUUAGGUUUGUAGAUUUAGGUCCUCUCUCCACCUCUAUAAAUUGGUGUAUGAUCUCCAUCCUCAUACACUUACUAUUACAACACAUAUUAAGGUUUUAGAGGCAAGGAGAGAGAAACCUAGAUCUUGUGCAACUUCUCAAAUCAUCAAUAGCUAUGGACAAAAGUAUGCGUAGUGAUUAAUUAUAUGAUUCAUGAUCCUUAUUGUUUAUCAAUAAUAUUAUUAUGUUUAUAUGUGAGAGUUGGAUGAAACCAGAUCCUUUUGCUUUCUUAGAUAUGAGAGGGUUUGGUAUCCUUCAAUAUCUUACCUUCAAUGGUUUCAAUUCAAGGACACAAUGACUGGGCACUUCAUCAUUAAUUAAGCUAGAUAUGAAAGUGAGAAUUGGAUGAAACCAAACACUUUUGCCUCCUUGGUAUAAAUGGGCUUGGUUUCCUCCAAUAUCUCAACUUCAACAGUUUCUAGUUUCAACUACAAAAUUGGUGAACAUCACUUCCUCUGCUACUAAGCUUGAAGCCUUGAAGGUAAACACAAAAAAUCAAUUCACUCCUGAUUUCAAAGAAUCCUAGAAUUGGUUUGAAAUCAUUCUAAAAUGCUGAAGGACAUAAUGAUGAUAAUUGAUUUCAUUGAAACUGGUAAAGAAAGUUGAAUUUACAGUGAAAUUAAGAGUAAUGGUCACUCAUGUCCAAUUGUUCAUGGGAAAUGCAGGAAUAUAAAAUUCUAUGUACAUUAAUCUUACGAAUUAGCCAUUGAUAAUCCCACCGUUUUAAUCUCAAACAACAAUGGUGUGGAGGGUGUUGUAUACACAGAAUACCUGAAGGGGUCCGCACCACCCUUGGGUCUUCCUCUUCUGAGAAGUAAUCGUAACAUGCUUCUUCAAGCACUGCUGAUCUUUUUGCUUUCAGCCUUCUGAUGAGCCCAUCUAGGUUAAGCGUGAGUACGCUUCAAUGCUUUCACCCCUAGUGGAUUGUUCUUGCUCUGGUGCAUUGGAAUAAAUAU